rnacentral:lncRNA from 1 species
CAGUAAGAUGUGUUUGGUUCAAGUAUAAAAUGAUGGGAUUGGACAAUUUUAAGAUUAAAUAAUCCUAAUGCAAUGUUUGGUACCAAAAAUAAUUGUGGGAUAAAAAUAGUGGACCCCACCAUUUAAUCCAACACAAUGUCAAAAUUUUAUCACAAAGGGGGGUGUGGGAUAAGCUAAAACUUAAACGUAGGAUAACAAAAAAAAAGCCCAAAAUUUUAUACAACACAGUGAUUUUUUUUUUUUUUUGAGUAUGUCAUCAUCCAAUGAUAGUAUAUAUGCCAGAACACUCUUUUGACGUUAAUGAUAUGUAAUAUUUUCAUAUAUACAGCUAGUGACAUUGUUAUGUAAUUUCUUUUUCAUUUAUAGAUUUAUAUUAUUAUUAUAUUUGUUGAUGAUAUUCUUGUUAUGUUUAUAAUUAUAUUAUUUAGUAAUUUAUAAGUUUAAAAACUAUAACAUGUUAAAUAUAAGAAAAACUUUAAGCGAAGAUUUUGUAUUUUUUAACAAAUUUACCAAUAAUUUUUUAUUUAAGUUAGAUUAUAUUCCAUGUCAUUUUAAAAUAAAUCUAAGAUAAUUUUGAUAAAUUAAUAAAUAAGACAUAUUAUUAGUUACUAACCAAUUUCAUGGCAUACCAAACAUGAGAUAUGAUUAUUUACAGUCUAAUCCAACAUUGCACCAAACGUAAUAGAGUAUUAUAUAUAAUCCAAUGUUAUCAAAUCCAAUCAUAUCUUAUCCAAUCCGAUCCGAUCCAGUCUAAUCCAAUUUGACAUACCAAACAAGCCCUAAUUAUGUUAAAAACUACAUCAUUACCAAACUGACCCUUAAUACAAUCUCAUACAUACAUACAUAUAUAUAUAUAUAUUAAAAAUUAAAAAUUAUCUUUAUUUAGUUAGGAAAUAAAACCAUUAUAUUUAAAUAGAUUAAUAUUAUUACUAAUUAUAUUCAGAUAACAAAAUUAAUAAAAUAAAAAUAUUUGUUUGAUUUAUCAAUUAUUAUACACACAUAUUUAUAAAUGCAUGCGUAAAUAAAAUUUUAUAGAUUUAGGCCAAGGCGGAUGUACGGUACAGCAGUAUCUUUAUUUAGUUAGGAAAUAAAACCAUUAUAUUUAAAUAGAUUAAUAUUAUUACUAAUUAUAUUCAGAUAACAAAAUUAAUAAAAUAAAAAUAUUUGUUUGAUUUAUCAAUUAUUAUACACACAUAUUUAUAAAUGCAUGCGUAAAUAAAAUUUUAUAGAUUUAUGUCUAUUUAAAUCAUUUGCAUUCUUAUAACAUUUUAAAAAAAGAAAAGAAAAGUGAUUUACCAAAUACAUGUAAUUGUUCUUCAAACUUACAACACUUUUAAAAUAGAAUUUAAUAAAUGUUUAAUUAAUUUUUUCACAGCUGAUUAUUUUUAUGGUAUAACUAACAAUAAUCUAUAAACUUAUGGUAAAUAUUUGUGUGAAUGUUGGUCCAUGUAAAGAAGUAAAAACAACGCAUAUAUCAAGCAAUAAGAUAUCAAAACUCUUAGUAAAAUACAUAUACUAAUGAAAGAAUGACAGCAAUGCAAUAAAUAAGAUUAUAAUAUAAAUUAUUAAAAUUGUAUAUUAAAAAUUGAUGUAUGAAAUUCUUUUUAUUUUAGUGAUAGAUAAUGUGAUAUAUUUGAAUAAUUUGAUUAAAUGAAAAGAAAAAUAACAAGUAUGGUUGUGGAGGAAAUAAACCAUUGAACUGUGGAAUGUUAUUAAUUAUUGCUAUUUCAUUAUGUAACGUCCUGAUAAUAAGUACAGUGUUAUAGUAUAUUGAUGGGUGGUGAUAUUGUCACCCCUUAAAUUGUGUAAAGUCAACCUCAUUUACAAAUUUUUUGAUAUAAAUUAAAAAGUACAUUAGUUUUAAUAAAUUAUAUAUUUAUUGAAUAAACUAGAACCGUUAGGGAGCUGUAAUGUUAGCACUGUUUUAACUUAUUAUAAAAAAAAAAGUUAUGAUUUGAUCAUAACUCUAAUUUAGAAAAGAAAAAAGAGUUGAAUUGCUAACAUACUUAAAAAUAAAAUAAAAACAUUAUUAUUAGAUGAAAAAUUGUAAAACUUAAGGGGGCAUUUGCAAGUCCGCCACUACUCAAUAGAGCAUUAUUCAGUACUCGUUAAUAUAUCUCGAACUUUUAGGUUUUUUUAAUAUAUUUUUAAUACAUUUUCUAGAACAUUUAGAUAAAAAGAGUCAGUACUCCAAUUGAGUUGUGAAUAAACAUUUAGAUAAAAAGAGUCAAUACUCCAAUUGAGUUGUGAAUAAACUCAUGUUAAAAAAAAAAAAACUCAUUUUCACACUUGAAACGAUUAGUAAAUGGGUGAUACGAAUUUAACUUGGUCAAUAAUAUAUACCAUCUUAAGUUAACUUCAACUCAUUGAUCUUCUAUAGGGUUGAUCAGCCUGCCACAAGGCCCACAAAUUAUCACCUCUAAUGCUUUUGCAACAGUCGUUAUAAAUGCUGACAAAAUGAAACUUCUAUAUAUUUUGGUUUUUUUUUAUUUCUAUGAAAUAUAAGGCCCUUAUGGCAAAUUUCCAUCCAGCGUGAAAUUUGCUAGUUUGGCCUUGGUACUGUGGCACAUGCGUCAUGCAUGCGUGGCUGAGAUGCUUCUAAAACUAAUAAAUUAUGAAGAAUUCCAAAUUCGUACCAAAAAUAAGAGAAUAGGAGCUUGUCAUAGGUGUCCGCGGAUCGGAUUUUAUGGGUUAAACAUUAAUUCAUAUUUGAUUCGUGAUUUUGUAGAUUAUAAAUUUUUAAUUUAAUUCAAUUUAUGGAUUAGUGAAACUCAAUACAAAUUCAAUCCAUAUAUAUGCAAAUUAGAUGCGGAUUUAACCCAAUGCAUAUUCAAUCCAUCAUUUGGCGGAUUGAUUUGCAAAUUAAAAGUUUUUAAUUUUGUCCAAUCUAAAAAGUAAUUAAAUUAAAAAAAUCUAAUAUAUAAAUAAUUGAUUAAAUAAAAAAAUCUAAUGUAAAAAUAAUUUUACUACCAAUUAAAUUCAAAAUUGAACAAGAUUUAAAUAAAUUUAGAAUAAUACAUUCAAAAUUUUAAAAUAUAACACACCGAAAAAAAAAUUCAUUUAUUUAGAUCAAUACAUGAAAAUUAACUAAAAUUAUGAAUUUAAAUGUUGAAACUUGAAAGCUUGGAUGUAACAGGAAGAAUUUAAGAAACUUGAAGAGCUUGAAAAGAAAGUAAGAAAUUAAGUUUAAUUACCUCAAGUGGUGAAGUGAAACAGUGAUUGGCUUGUGCGUGCGGUGGGAUAGAGAUUUGGUGUUAUAUGUCAAAAUAUUUUGUUUGGCUUGGGGUUUUUGUUUUGCUUUAGAAAUUUUAAUGUUUAGGAAACUAUAUUUGCUUAUUUAAUUAUUUCUUAUUUUAUAUUGUUAUCGAAUAAAAUAUAAUAUUUUGUUAAUUUAGCUAUAAUUUUAUGCUGAAUAUAUUUAUUUAAAACGAUUUUAUUAAAUAAAUGUGCAUAUUUAACGAAGGUCUCUGAAAUUUCAACCUGCCUGCUAAUGAUAGCCAAUACGGCACGACCCACCAAAUGUCGGCCCACGCGGGCUUGUGGGCCAUGACGACUUUUUUUGUAAGGGCCCGGCACGGCCCACGGCACGAGUCCGUGCCCAAAAAAAGCCCACCUACCUUUUUUUUUUUUGUCCACAUGUUCAGCGUGCCUAAAAAAACCCACGUGCCUGACGUGCUUUUUUAAGCCCACCAGCCUAAUAGUAACAACAACAACAACAAUAAUAAUAAUUUCAUAGAAAUAAUUAAUGAAAAAUAAAAUAACAAUUCUAGAAUAACAAUUACAUCUAAUUUUAUUUGAACAACUAAUAUUAUAAUUGCACAUAAACUCUAUUGAAUGAAAAUGUAAUUUUUAAUUUAUUAUAAAAAUAUUUUGUUCAUAAUUUUAUUUUUUUGUGCGUAAAUAUGAAAAAUAUUUCAUUCACAAAUGAAACAUAUCUCCAUUAACUAUUAACUAAGUUAUGAUUUCAUAAAUGAAAUAUUAAUGUCGUAAAAUUUUUUAUUUAUCAUUUAUAAAAUCAUGAUAUUUAUUUAUCCAUUUAAUAAAUUAUAAACAUAAAAAAAUUAGAAUACUUAUUUAAACUAGGACUUAAAUUAAUUUUAAAAAGCCUAUACUAAAAAAAUAUAUUAAAAUUUUUAAUUUCAAGGUAUUUAUAAAAUCAUGAUAUUUUAUAUUUAUUUUUCAUUAAAAAAUUUUAUUUUGAUAUACUUUGGCCCACGUGCUAUUGGUGGCCCACGGGCCGCGUGCUUAGCCCACCAAUAAAGUGUGCUUAUUACAUGCCUUUUCGCGUGCCGUGUUUUGCCCCAUCUCUAAUCAUACCGUGCUUUUAAGGCCUGCGUGCCUAAAAUUCUAGGCCCGCCAGCCGUGCCGUGCCGUGCCGUGCCUCGUGCCGCCUGGCCCAUUGGCCAUCCCUACUGCCCGCCAACCACAUUUGUCCAAGAUCAAUUUGUAGGAAAAAAAUUUGAAAAUCAAUAAUUUAUUUAAUUAAUUGUUAAUGUAGGCAUUUGAAUCCCCACAAAAUCUGGGUGUCAGUUCUAGACUUCUGGUGAUAUAUUUUUCUAAUUAAGGAAUAAAAUAUUUUUGUCAUUUUUUUAAUAUUUUAAUUUACCAGGCAUAUCAACUAAUUAAUUUUUCUACUUAGACUAUUAAUUCAUUACGUGCGCAAUCUGUAGCCCGGCGCUCCAAUCCCAUGCAUGUUACACACAACUCAAUCAUUAUUUAUUUAUUUAUUUAUUUUGACCAACAACUCAAUGUUUUUUAUAGAGCUGUCAAAAUUUGACACGACCCGAUUACCCGACACGAACACGACAUAAAUAAAUGGGUAUGGGUCGUCAAAUUUAACACGAUUAUUAAAUGGGUCGGGUCCGGGUCAACACGAUUUUUUUCCGUGUCGGGUUUUGGGUUAAAAUUCUUGACCCAUUUACCCGAUCAAUGACCCGAUUAUAUUUUCUAUUUUAAAAUAAUUUACAUAUUCUUAUAAUUAAAACUCAAAUAUUAGAGAUGAUUUUCUUUUUUUUUAUUCUUUAAAAGGGUGAUAUAUUUUAUAAUAUCGAUAAAUUAUGUAUGUAUGUAUUUAUGUACAUACGUAUGUAUGAUAGUGUGGAAAUAUUUUAUGUAACUUUUGUUCAAUAUAUAGAUAUUAAACGGGUUAUUGGGUAACCCGAUUAUUUUUCCGUGUCGGGUUUGGGUCUCAAUAUUUUGACACGAUUAUUAAAUGGGUCGGGUUUGGGUCGACCUAAAUUUGACACGACACGAAACUGACACGACAUGAACACGACCCGAUGACCCGUUUUGCCAGCUCUAGUUUUUUAAUAUGAAAAGGUAUUGGUUAGCUUUGUCUUUAGUUUUUUCAACUUAUAAUAAGUUUGUAUUAAGGCUCCCUUUGGUACAGAUUUUCAAGUAAAACUUAUUUAGGGUUAUUUUUAGGGACCUCCCCUGAGGUUUGGUGUAUUAACAAUCUGAUAGAAAGUAUUCACGUAAUUACAAAGACCUCCCCUGACAUUUGUAUUAUGUUAAGUGGACUGUUAUUGACUAUUGAAAAUCCAAAAAUACCCUUCCUGCCAAAAUAUUUCUUUAUUCACUGAUGAACUGAUGGGUAAUUCGUGCCAAAAUCACAAAUUACUUAAGAAGAUGAAAAUAUCCAUUGGAUAAAAAAAAUGAAAUUGCUUAAUAAAAAAAUUGACAUUGCAUAAUAAUAAAAAAAAUUGAAAUAAUGUGCGGCGGCAUAGCUGCAUCUUGCAUGCAUAUUAUUAUUGUGAUUUUUUUAUUACAAACUCCAUCCUGCAUGCUUAUUAUUAUUGUGAUUUUUUUUAUUACAAACUACUUCAUAACUAAUACAUGCCACAAGAGCAGAGCUAUUAAAAGAAAUGAUUUUCAUAUUGUAAACUUGAUAGUACAGGUGUUGGCACCGACCAUAAAACCCUUAUGAUACCAAUCUUUGCUCCAUCCAUAUUUAAAUCCAGAUCAAGUAAAUAUUAAAUUGGAUUUCAGGUCCUGAAAAUCCCACUCUAUAAUUGAUAUCUUCGAGUUUUGUUGGUGCCUCAAACCUGGAUCUAGAGCAUCAUCUCUGUCAUACUCGGAACACCUAAACUAAUGGACUUGCUGCAGCUGCUUAUUCUUCUUCUGAAAUGAUGCACGCAGAUAGAUUACAGACUUUGAAAUAAGAAAUACAAUAAACAACAUGUAAUCGAACUUAAGAUUUCGGCAAACUUGUUUGAAAAUUAGAAUCAAACAAGGAAAAUGGCAAGUCAAUAUUUUUUAAUCUAGAAAAAGGGCAAUUUCAAAGUUUAUCACAUGCCAAAUUCAUAGUCUUGCAUCCACUAUUUUCUAGUUUGAAUAACAAACAAAAGCCUUAGACAAAAACACAGAGAACAUCUCACAUGGGAGCAAAAAUUGUGUGUAGAACAAUAUACUUAAGUUACAUGUGAUUACAAUCACAUUAUUUAGCAAAUACAAAAUUACCUUCUCAAAAAAAAAAAAAAAAAAAAAAACACCACCAAAUUAUUGAAGGUAUUACAACAAUAAGGCAAAAGAACACCAAAGGCAUGCACAAACCGAAACUAACACACAACUCAAUUAGUGUCAUGACCCCAAACUGAACAAUCAUAUAAACCAUUGUGGGCUCUCUAAAAGAUUAUCACAUUAUAAGCAAACAGAAACCUAUAUUUGAUGAACUACAUCUAGUACUUACACAACUCUUAAAUCAUUAGGAAAUUGCUCUUAUCAGUCAUUACCCAAUAGUUUUUUUCAACUCAACACUAACAACCCCAAAGAGAAACAACAUCCAGCACCAUUUUCAUUAAUUAAAACAGACCCAUUGUUAUUUUUAAUCAAUAAAAUAACAACAAUAUCGUGUAAGCCACUGAUUCAAGCAUUCAAGCUGUGUUUUCGAAGACUGACCUCUUCUUGCUAUCUAAUUCCAGUCACGAUAGACGCUAGAUGCCGGCAAUACUCGCUUCUUGGAAGCUCUGGACCACCGCACGACGUCAUCUUGUGCAGUAGAUGAAAAUAAAUCAAUGAUUUCAGAAAUUAUUUGUGAGUUGCAGACGCUUCUUCUCCAUGGAUGAAAAUGAUGGUGGGUUUUGUUCAAGUGUAAGCUGUGUUUACGAGGAGAAGUACACUUUGUGAAAAAAUCAUUUUCUUUCAUCUACUGGAUAAUGACUUUGGACUGGGUAAUGGUGUGUUUAAGUCUCUAUUUCACGGACAUUGAAGCAUAUUUUGCUUGAAUUUUGAUUUUGUUUAAAUUUCAAGUUUACUUUUACUUGUUUACCCUUUUAUACUGACGCUUAUGUAUUUUUAUACUAACGUUAAGGGAGGUCUUUGUAAUUAUAUGAAUACUUUCUAUCAGACUGUUAAUACAACAAACCUCAGGGGAGGUCCCUAAAAAUAACCCAACUUAUUUAAAUAGAACUUUUACAAAAAAAAAUUUAGUUAUUUGGUUGUCAAUAAACUUUUCAAGUAUACUUUGUUUGGUACAGCUUUUCAAGUAAAACUUAUUUAAGUAGAGCUUUUACAAAAAAAAAAAAAUUAGUUGUUUGGUUGUCAAUAAAAAUUUUUAUUAAAAAAAAUAUGAAAUUACUUUAUUAGUCAAGUUUUUUUAAAGUUAUGCUAUGAAAAGAAUAAAAUAAGAUUGUCAAAUAAAUAGAAAAUAUUUUAAAUAUUUUAACAUUUAAAAAAACUUUUUAACCUUUAUUUUCAAAAAUCUAAAAUUUAAACUUUUACUAGUAAAGGCAAAAUAAUUUAUUUAAACUUCAAAAGCUUUAUUAGAAAAAUAAUCAAACAAUAACAAAAAUUAUUAUAAAAGCUUAUCGAAUUAAAUAAGUACUUAUAGUUAUUAAAGAAGUUAUAUCUAACAGACACUAAUGCCGAAAGCCCCUUCUAAUUGUGGGUGUAAAAGUUUGAAUUAUGCAUACGGUUAAGGAGUUAAGGUGUGUUUGGCAACUGCAUUAAGUGGAAAUUUUUAUUUUGUUUCGAAUAAAAAUACAGCAAGCUCGUGUUCGGCUCAAAAUAAUGGAACGUUUAAUUUGCAACCGUCGGCGGACGAAGCACACCGUUCACGGCCCUUCGUAUAAAAUUGCAUAUGUAAACGUAAAUAGGUCCGGAUUCAGAUUCGUUGCUGUAGAGAGUGGCACGCACGAUCGGGCUGCUGUCGGUGGUAGGUUGGCAUUGGAAUUCUCAUCACGCGCUUCCCCAGGCGCCUACUUAUGGCAAAUUGACACGUGACGCGUGUGGAUUGAAUGGACAGAGUCCCGGGCAGUGUGUCCAAAGCUGCCAACCGUGCUCUGAUUUUUGUCAUCCAUAAUGGCUAACGACUAACGAGGGAGAUUUCCGGGCAGAAAGAAAUUGUUGUCGUUUCUGAAGGGGAAAAAAAAGUUAUUUAAUUUGUUGUUGAAGACAAAAUGAAGAUCUAAAUAAAUAAUGGCUAAUUUUGAGUGUAAAGCAACGGUAAAUGCAUUAUUAAAUUAGAUUUAGGGUCUGAUUGAGAUUAUUUUUAGAUUUAAAAUUAAUUUUGAAAAGUUAAAAUUAAUUUUGAUGUUUAUUAAUUUUUAUUAAAAAUUAUUUUUGUCAAAAUCUCUCAUCCUCCAGCAUAUUAUAAAAAAUAAGGAAGAAAUAAUUUUUUAAAAUUUAAUUUUAAGAAUCAGUUUUAUACUUAAUAUAAUCCACAUAUAUCCUCGUAAAUAUUAUAAAAAUUUAAAAUUAUUCUUAUUUAUUUAGGAUAUAAAAUUAUUAAAUUCAAACAUAUUAUUAUUAUUAUUAUUAUUGUUAUUAUUAUUAUUAUUAUUAUAAAUUCACACACGCACACACAUACUUAUAAAUUUAUAAAUAAACUUUAUUUAACAUUUUGUUCACUUAAAUCAUUUAUAUUCUUAUAGCAGUUUAACAUUAUGAUUUACCAAACACAGAUAAUUAUUUUUAAAAUCCAUAAUAUUUUUUAAAAUAAAUUUUAAUAAAUGUUUAACUUAUUAUUCUGACAACUGAUUUUUUUUGUAAGGUAUAACCAUUAAUAAUAAAUAUUUUAAAAGUUACAGUAUCCCCAAAUUGGCCCUUACUAAUACUCUGCGUUGCCAACUAAAUACUAAUUGUAACAUUAAACAUCUGGAAUAUUUUUCUCUAACGAAACAACACAAUUAAUUUCCCUCUAAAAAAGAAAAAGAAAAAGAAAAAAUAAACUACCAACCCCACCCCUUUAGACAGCAGAGUUUUAGCUGAGGCGGCUUGCUUGCAUAAGCAUUAAGGCUGCUCUUCACCAACCAUUGAACAUUCUUUCCAUUUGAUUGUUACACUUUACUUCGCCAUCUCAUGUCCAUGUACAUUGUUUUGAAAUGAAGACUUUGCGUACAACUAAUCUUUUUCAAUUCAUAAUAAAAACUCUUUUAAUUAGUUAAUAGCUAUAGCUUCCAAUUGAGACUAUAUAUAAAAAUCCAUAUUGACUGACCAAACCAAUAAUUUUUAAUUGGCUUGAGCAUUGUCUUACUUACUUCAAAAUCGUCACUCUCUUUGAAAAGAACAUGAGAGAGUUCACCUCCAUCUCAACCCUUAACCCUAUAUCUCAGUCAAGAGAUUAUUCAUGGAAAAUUCAGAAAAAAGAAAUGUUGCAAUAUUUACGAAACUCACGUCACGUGAGGUAAGAUAAAUUAUUCCUUUCUGCUUUAAUUCAUGUACAUAAUCAUGAGAAUAACUUUAAUUAUAGUUUAUUUCUCCGUUUUAAGAUUUUUCCUUUUUUUUUUUUAAUUAAUUAAUUAUAGUUCAUUCAUUAAUCCCAUAAGAAAUUAACACCUUUGCCGGUAAAGUCACACAUACAACAAUAUUUUAGAACAAAAGGGAAGAUCAUGCACGAUCAUGAUGUUUUAUUAUAUCUCUAGCAAUAUAAUUAUCUUAUAAUUAAUUAAAAACAAAACAGGUAAUUAAGCCAAAGUGGAUGGCAUGCAUCAAUCAUCAUGCAGAACACCUCCCCUUGUUUUAAAUAUAAAUAAAAGAAAUUUGUGCCCAGAAGACUUAAUUAAUACUUCUCGUUUCUGAAGUGCUCACAUGAUAUAUAGUCGGACGCAUUAUAUUUAAUUUCAUGAAUUAAUCGUACGGUUGUAUUUUGAGAGAGAGAGAGAGAGAGAGAGUGACUGAGUAAGAUAUGGCUUAAUUUAACCAAAUCUACGUAUAAAAUUUUAAAAUGAAUUUUUGAGUUUUAACUUAGGAAUUGUCUAUGAAUAAAAGUGUUAAUCAAAUAUUUCGUGUAAAAACAGUCAGCUGUAACAUUUUCGGUUGCUUUAACAAAACUGUAUAUUUCUGUAAUUUCCUAUAUGGGCCAAAAGGAACAUUUUUCUCAGAAAUUAAAAACUUAUGGUGAAAAAGAUAAGAAAACCAACAGGUUCAAAGGUGCGAGUAAACUGGGCUCUGGUGCGCCCAACUCCCUCUUUUGAUUUUGAGACUCUAUUGACCAUUGAGUUUGAGGCCCCAACGGCCCAGUUUAAAACUGUUAUGAAAAGAAAAAAAAUAUAACUAUAAAAUUAAAAUUAAUAAUGUUUGAUAAAUAUAAUUUUUAAAUAAUAAUUUGACAAAAAUAAUAUAGGGUCUUGUGUAUAUUUUUAUUUGGCAUUUCAAUUAAUCUGCUUAUAUAUAUAUAUAUAUAAGUUAAUCUAUAUUUCUUGCAAGAAGAUAGUAUUUCUUUAAUUAAAGUCAUAACUAAUAUAUAAAUUAUCAACUAACCAUCAAACAUUUAUCUCAUUUUAUCUCCACCACGAUCAUCACCAUUCAUCCUGUCACGAUCUUUAUGUAACUACAAUUAUUUUUUCUUUAAUAAUGUCAACCCACCAACCCCAUAACAAUAUCUCCAAACAUCUCAUCUCAAAAUUCCUAAUAACAUAAGUGUUUAUGUAUGAAAGAAAAUGUGAAAUAUAUAAUCAAAAAGUAGUUUAAUAAUAUAAUGUUUAAAAAUUAUGGUAAAAAUAAGUGAGAGUUUGGCAUGGCAAGUUAAUAAAAAGAUAAAAGCUCGGACACUUGAUGCAUCAAAGUAGCAAUGUCUGUCCAUCAUUAUCAUCAUGCGGGUUUAGGUGCUUCUCAUGAUAGCAUUAGCUGGUAAGACCAUCAUGCAUCGUACUUUCAUUGUUAUACAUUUUGAAGGUAAGAAUGGUUAUGUUACGUCCCUCCGAUUAGGUGUAUUUUUCUUCUUCUUCUUCUUCUUUUUCUUCUUCUUGUACGUAAUAAUUUCUCUUUCUUCCAUGAAGAUUUCUUUCUCUCUUUCUUUUUUUUUUUUUUAUUAUAAAUAAAAUGAUAAGAACUAAUUUCCUUACUAAUUGGUAGGGUCGUUUAAUGGUUCAGAUCCAUUAGAUUUUGUCAAAUUCAAGUCCAAUCCAUCAUAUAUUCCAUUUUAUAUUCCGGAUCCGAUCACUAAUAGAAAUCCAUUAUAAUUUAAAACAAUAAAACGUCGAAUCCAAUUUAAUUCGAUAUGAUCAAUCCAAUUAAAAUAAAAAUUUACAAAUAAAAAUCAUUAGUUGCUCUCUCCAGUUAUAAUUCUUAACAAUUAAAAAAAAUACAAAAUAUCAACUCCUUUAAUAUUUCAUGAUUCAUGUACUUUAUUAUCAUAUGGUUGGAAAAAAAAGUUGAAAUUUGAAUAUUAAAAGCAAAUGUUGGUUGCGACCUGCUGUUUGUAUUCUAUAUUGUUAUAGUAUAUUUAUAGUUAUUUUUUUAGCAAGUUAAAUAUAAAAGUGACAUAUAGUUUUUUUUUAUAAAAAAAAAUAAAUAAAGAAAAUAAAAAAUUAAUUGGUUGGAUUGGUUUAUAUUGGAUUUGAACAUAUAGAUCCAUAGACCAAUCUAAUAACAUUAUAUUUUUUAUUUUGCAAUCUUAUCCAAUCCAAUCAAAAUGUCAAUAUGACAAAAGUUGGAUUGGUUUUGAUCAGAUCGAUUGGUUUGAUUGGAUUGAAUUGAAUUAGAUCUUGAACAUCCUACCAAUUAGACUUUCCGUGAUUUUUUUUUUUCCAAAUUUAAUAAAGAGACUUCCCAUGAAUGUUAAAUGCAGUUUUAUUGAUGAAUUCUGCAAUUUUAAGAAAUGUUUGAUACACGAAUAAUGCAUCUCAUCAACCAAGUAACUGCGUCCCCUGCAGCAGCCGCGGCUUCAACUGGAAUACUGCAGCCACACCGGUCUUGAGACUCAACAUUCGGCCGAAACUCAAGCAAAAGUUGAACAAUAUCAGGCCUGCUUUGAGCUAUAGCAAUAUGAAGCAAUGUUUGUCCCUGCGCACCAGCAGAAUCAGCUGGGUGGGUUCCAAGCAGGGUCACUCUGUUCAAGAACCUCUCUUAUCUCAUCCAUUUCACCAUCCUUAACUAGCUGAACCACAACAUGGGACCCAACAAACAUGAUCUUGAUUCCUAUUGAUGAACGCUGGCUUCUUCCUUCUUGUGAACCAGUCACCAGGAACCGAAUCAAGCAUCAAUGUUGCAUCUUUAAUUGCAGCUGCAGGAACGACAACGCUAUGCAAGAGGAAGGAAUCAUCACAGUGAGGGAAAGUAUGAAGGAGAACUGAUCCUGGAGGAAGAUGAUACGCAAUCUCUAUGCUUACUGUUCCGAGUGGUUGCAUUGACCUGAAUAGUUCGAUCUAUUUCUCGUGUAUCUACUUGCGCUGCACUUUCACUCGAAGAACCUACAAAAUUAUUCAUAACCCGGCAUAAAAAAGACGUAAAGUUUUCAGCGCGAGCAUGGUAACUUCAAAACCCGUUUCAUACCUAUCAUAUUUCAUUCGUCCCGCACCCUCAUUUAAAAGACUAGAGCUUAUAAAAACUAGAAGUACCUUACCCAGAACAUAAAAGCAGACAAAACCCAGUCGAGUAUAAAUAUAACGUUGAAUAACACCUACCAUUUACCAUUUCAUUCAAGAACACCACACAAUUAACGAAACCAACAUCGGUAUGUUUUCAGCCGUUGUACUUUCAACUUAAUUUUGAAAGCGCGGCAGCUAAAGCCUAAACUGUUGUUUGAUAAAAGUCCACCCACUGACUGCUACCUGGCGGCUACCGAUUCCAUUCAAUAGCAGUCAUAAAAUAAAAAGUACAAAACAAACCUAUGUACAAAAAAGGCAAUGAAGCAGCCAUGGAUUCAGUUAUUUGCAUGUUUGGGAUUGUGGUUGAUUCCAAAUUGAGAAUAUACUGCGAAAUUAUGUUUGAUAAGCAUUUAUCUGAUGAUUGCUACUUUAUUGAGUGCCUGUUUGGUAUGGCUUAUUUAAAAGCCAUAAGUGCUUAUUUAAUCGUAUAAGCACUUUUUUAAAAUUUUUAUGGUGUUUGGUUAUUUUUUUAGUAGAGUUUUUUUAGCUUAAAUAAGCUAAUUUACCUCUACUAGCAAAAGCCCAAAAUUUGAGCUUUUGGGAGUAGAGGUUAAAGAGCUUAUCUAAAAAAUAUAUAAUAAAAAAAAUAUCAUACAGUUUAAUGAUUCAAAAGUGUUUUUUUUAUUGACAACCAAACACCCAAUGACUUUUUGUCCAAAAACUCUAUUGGUAUAAGCUCUACUGCUAUAAGCUCUAUUGUUAUAAGCUCUAUUUAAUAAGCUGUACCAAACGGAGCCUAAAGCAUUCAUUUUUUUUUUUCGCGUUUGGCCUCUUCACUUUUUAAAAAAUUUUAUGGUGUUUGGUUAUUUUUUUAGUAGAGUUUUUUUAGCUUAAAUAAGCUAAUUUACCUCUACUAGCAAAAGCCCAAAAUUUGAGCUUUUGGGAGUAGAGGUUAAAGAGCUUAUCUAAAAAAUAUAUAAUAAAAAAAAUAUCAUACAGUUUAAUGAUUCAAAAGUGUUUUUUUUAUUGACAACCAAACACCCAAUGACUUUUUGUCCAAAAACUCUAUUGGUAUAAGCUCUAUUGUUAUAAGCUCUAUUUAAUAAGCUGUACCAAACGGAGCCUGAGUCUUCAAAGAAAAACUCAAUCAACUAAUGCUCGAUUUUUUUUUUUAAAUGACAAAUCAAAAAGUAUUUUGGAGUAGAUUCUCAAAAGAGUGAUUAUUUGAUAAUCCACCAUAAUCCCACUUAGUUAUCAGAAAUAAAUUAAAAUCCGACGAAUGUUACUUAAGCCAAACAGCAUUAUUUUAUUUUGACCACAAGGACCACAACCCUCAAGCUGUCAAGCAACCGUUACCGUUAACGACCAAUCUUUCACCUCUCCGAAUCUUUGCAAGUCACUAUCAAGCAACCGUUACUAAUAUUUAAUCAAUUAUUAGGAUUAUUGGAUUUCUCAAAUACCUUAUGUACUUUGGUUCACUUUCUACUAAAAUAAAUAUUACAGGAGCUUUCAAAGUCUAGGCUAAGGUUGUUGUAAACAUAGAGAGAUUCAGAGAUAUAACAGCUUGUAAUUACAUACCACAAAGCAUAACUUUGUUCGAAUGAUAAUGAUCAUAAUCCAGAUUAUAGACGUAGAGAGAGGAGAAGUCGUACUUGAGGGGCAAAACGCGGCGUUUUGGCUCGUGGAUGAGGUGCUGCUCCUGAUCGUCGUAGAUUGAAGGGAGGAGAGGUCGGUCGAGGAAGUUUAGGAGACGGUGGAGGCUGAAUUGGUGAAUUUCGAUGAAGACUGACGAAUCCAAUGGGGCUUGAGGGUUUGAUUUGCAAAGAUGAAAGAUAAGAGCAUUGUUUUGGUUUCUGUGCAAAAAAAAAAAAAAAAAACAUGACAAGCGUUGUUUUGGUUUUGGUUCUAAAAAGAUGAAAAUUUGACUGCAAUGGAUCCAUACGCAGUCGGUGUCAAAUAAGAGGAGAAACAAAUAUGUUAAUCACUCGCUCAAUCACUCAUGCGAAGUGCCUUUUUUUUCGUUGCUUUGGCUUCUGAGAAAUAUAUGCAUCAGAUAUUACAACUCUCGAGGAUAAUGCAUUUUGUUCCGGUUUUGACUGAUAUUUAGUGGCAUUUGAUAAACUGAUACCUCAGAACCUGGUAGAGAGUUUAUUAAAUACAAAGAGAACAAAAAUAUAUGACUAUAUAAGCUUUUACACGGUUGAAGAUCCGGUCAAAUUGGCUUUAGUUAGCAAGAUCAUUUAAAACUUUCAAAAAACGAAUGGUAUCAAAAAGCUCUGAGAAAAAGCGGAAAAAAGGCACCACAAAGAUCUUGCAAUUAUUAUCACAGCUUGAUAAGACAUGGAAAUGUAUCUUACAAAUUGGCCUUCCAAGCAUCAAAGAAUUGGGUGGCGACAACUCCCAUUCCUAGCUGCUACCGUGGCCAGUCCCUUCUAACUAAAAUGGGACAGGACCAAAAGCAAGGUCUCUCCCACUCUCCUUAUGUAUAUAAAAUUCCCUACAUUCGAAUAAAACUACAGAAAAAGAUUUGCACAUCAUCUUCUUUCACCUUAUUUUGCAAUCUUCAAGAGUUUGGAAGAUUUCAAAGCACUUGUUAGAAUGUAGCACUCCAUUAAGCAUUCUCACCUUCCCCACACCCCAAUGGACCUCCUUAAUCCUAUCGGCAGACCUACAAAUUCUGCUGCAACUCCAAUCAAAUAAAGCAACACAAUUGUUGCCUGCCUAAGCCUUCCACUCACAGCCUGCAAUGACAAGUUCAUGAUACAAAAUCAGAAACAUUAAUAAACAAAAAGAUAUUACCAUUACUUGCAGAGGGGGAUUUGUUGCAAUUAGUAAAUGCCAUACUUAUCACUUUCAUUGCAGAUAUCAUCAUCAUCAUAAUACUAGCAAUCCAGCACUAAUAGUCAGAAUAAUAAUAAUAGUAGCAUGAAUAAAGAAUUUCUGCAGAGUAAGCUCUAAAGAUGCCGAAAGUGUCAUCUAUUAUGUUAAUAAUAAAAAAGUCUAUCAAGAAUUCAAGGAAAGAAAACUCAUUAACAAAGAACUAAACUUUUUAAUAAUGUUUAAUAAACUACGUACCUAUGAUUUUCUAUUAUUAACAUAAAUGACACUACGUACAACUGAUUUUCGCUUUCUAAUGUUUCAAAUCAUACCGAGAAAUAUAACAAUUACCAAGUCAGUAAGUAGCACAAUUACUUAAUAAGACUUUGACUUGUCUAACCCAAAAUUGUACCCAAUUCUAUACUCUACCAUGAAAAGCUUAUGAAGCCGAACUUACUUUGACCAAACAGUACUAUUAGCUCAGUUAAAGGAAACCACAAUUGAACAAAGUUCAGCUGAAAUAACUGAACUAAAAAAACUUGAUAAAAUUAAAAGUAACUUAUAACAGUUUAGUAAAGAAGCAUACAAAACAUGAAGAUAAAUAAACAUAGGUCUAUUUUCUUGACACUACCAGGUCCUUUCCUUUUUUUUUUUUCAGAUAAGAUCUCGAUACUACCAAGUUUUGGAUUCAAAAUCACCAUAUUACAAUAAUAGUUGUGAUUCAUGGGAUACAAUAUGUAGCAGCUUAUAUGUCGGCAAUUAUAGUCAAAGAUGGUUGUCAAACAUCAUCGCAAAUCAAGAAGCUAAUAAAGACCAUGUCACACUACAUUAACAUAUAUCAGUUCUUUGAUACAAAGAUAUUGAAUGUUAUACAUUUCUAAUCCCAAGUCCUGAAAUACAAAACAAAAGUUCACUUCACACAGUCAUAAAGCUAGACUGCUAGAUAAAUGGACAAUAGGCAUUGGAUAUGGGUCAAUAAACUAUUAAGCUAAUUAAUGCACACGAAGGAAUCCGUUAGAGCUAGUAAAAUAGCCCUUACCAGAGAACUCGCAGAAGCAUUCAAUUUCCUCAAAGGAGAUAACUUACAACAUAAACAUUUUGAUAAGCAGCAACACACAUAAAAUAGCUUCACUCACUAGCAACAGAGCAACUUCUUCAACACAUUAAUAAAUCCAUUUUCAUUUUUAAACAACAAAAUAAUGCCCAGUUUCUCCAGCACAAAUAGGGUAAGCAGUAAUAGAAAAACAUGAUACAUAGGAAUUACCGGCCUCAAGAAAUCUCCAAGCUUUCUGUCCUCUGCUUCAAUUGCUCAAUCAAGAAUGCCCCAGACGUUGCGCUAGCGUGGUGGUGGAGCGUCGCGAAGCGUGUGGCGGCGGUGUCGGCGAAGGCAGGUCAUGAAGAUAGUUGGUGUCGCGCAGCGAAGGCAGUGCAGCUGGUGUCAUGCGGCGAAGGCAAAUCGCGUGGUGGUGGAGUUGGGGUCGCGCGGCAGUGGCGGUGCGGUGCUGAGGCAUAAUAGUGGCGGUGGCGUUGUGCGACAGUGGCAGUGUGGAGGCAGAUUGCGUGGAGCUGGCGGUGUUGAGGCAGAUCGCGUGGAGGCAGAUGCCGCGGUGGUGGAGUUGCUGUCGCGAUCAACGCCUGUGAAAGGGAAUGAAAGUGAAGGAGAUACCUACAAAAGAAAGAACGAGUGAAAUUUUUUUUUUUGUUCAAGGGUUUCAAACCCACAUAAACCCGACUCUCACACGGGUUCAGUAAGUUUAUGCGGGUUUGACUGCAUUACAAAUUGGUAUGACCACAACAACAGUACAAUGAUUGGUAAUUACCAAACAUGCUAUUUAUGUUGGUAUUAAAUUAAUUUAAUACAAUGAGGAGUGGUAAUAUCAUACAAUGAGGACUGUUAAAUAUGGUGUGUUUAAUAUGUUGUAUUGUAUUAUAUUAUUUUAAUACAAAUAUAUUAUAUUAUCUUGUAUUAUAAUAUAAAAUAAUGAAAAAUAUCGAAUUUCAAUAUAUAAAAAAAAAAUAAAUAUAUUUUGUUAUAUUCGAUCUGCUGUACGGCCAAGGCGGAUGUACGGUACAGCAGAUAAGAAUUUAAAUACAUACACUUAUAAUACAACUUAGUUUUUCCACAUUGUCGAGGGAUCAAAACAACCCAUCAUUGGAGUCCAAUAAGUUAUGUGGCGACACAAAAAAGUAAUUCUAUAUUUUUUACGUCAUAAAUAUGUAAAAAAAAUUGUAUUAUAUCUUAUUAUUAUUAGUUUUUUUUCUUCAGUUUUGACAAGUAUAGUUUUCUUGUUGAGUGGCUCAACAAGGCUGGUUACAAUUUCGAAAUAAUGUUCCAUCUGUAUCUGUUUUCCUUUUGUUUUUGAUUUUGUAGUAUAGUUAAUUUGUACGAAUUUGUUGCCUGGUUGGUUUUUAUGCUGAAAAGUCAGUUCAUUGGAAAUGACAGAAAAUUGUUUUUCUUUUUCAUUUUUACAGAAAGAGAUUUGCAACGUUAUAAAAGUAAGAGAUCCUAAGAGAUCCCUGAAUCAUAUUAAAUAUUAAACUUAAGAUACAGUCAAGGCUUUUAUUAUGUUACUAAUCAUGUAACGAAUAUAAUUAUGUAGCAGUCGUUAAAUACAAAUUUAACAGUUAUAAAAAUAACAUGAUUUUAUUAUCUUAUAUUUCUAUAAUCGUUGAAUUUUUAUCUGCUGUACCGUACAUCCGCCUUGGCCGUACAGCAGUAUUGAAUUUUAAAAAUUUAAUAUUAUUUUUUUAAUAUAAAUAUUAAAAAAUAUCAUAAUUCUUCAUAGAAAUCGAAGUUCAUGGCAUUAAAUUUUUAACGCCGCAUACAUAAUAAAAAAUUUGAUUCUCUAGUGCCAAUAUAAUAGAAUACAUAAAAACGAGACUGAGAAACUACGAAUAAAGCUCAUCAUCAAGGACUCCACAACAUUAUAAGAAGUACUAUGUAACAUUUGCCAAAUUACAACACCACAUCAAGACAUAUCACAAUGUAAAAUUUUUCCUAGAGAUUUGGUAAUUGAAAAACACAAUUCAAGUUGAAAACUGAUAGUCGACUUGAAAAGUUUUAACAUAUCCCAUAAAAGAAAUGUGCCAUGCCAAAAAUCCUAACCCUUGGCUCUUUGACGAUAAGAAAAUAUUGAAAAUUCCAAAGUACAGUGCAAUGGGAGAAAGAAUGCCUAUAAAGCUAGUAAAGAUAUUCUUAAACUACUAUUGGGAUGUUGGGCUGGUUGGUAGCAAAACCCAAACCCUGCUGCUGAUUUCCGAUACCACCAUCUUGGAUAAGCCGCUCUCCCUCCUCUUCCUAACUCCUAAGCCCAAUAUCUUUCCAAAACCUUCACAACCCACUCAUAAAUCUCAUUGUUGUCGUGGAUAUGCAAAUUCUCAAUCUUUUCUACUCCAUCACACUCAUCAAUCAUUUGGGUAUAAACAUUAACCCAAUUAUCCAUUCCUAUUUCCUUGUUAACCUCACCCACCUUGAAAAUGUUCUCAAGACCCUAUAGACAAACUGUGACGAUCCUUUGGUCCAGACAAACCAGAAGAUCACAGAGCGGUUUGAUGCAACCUUGGCUCACCAGGAAUCUGCAGGACCAUGGUACCAUAAGUGAUUCUAUCACAUGAACAUCAUUAGAUUAAAAAAAGAAAAAAAAAAGAAACAUCUAUCGUAUGAACAUUGCUGAGUGAAUAAAAGAAACAUACUGAAUAUGUUCAUGAGAUCCUCCAUAUGUGGCAUUUAAGACAGGCCAUGCAGCCUCCUUGAUUUCAAGUUCUGCAUGUUGAAGAAGAGGUGCACAAAAGGAAGGAUAAGGAAGGAUGAUAUUGGCCUCCAUAACAGCCUGUUGAACAAAAAUUCGACAAAUUAUAAUUAUGAGUAUAUUUAAGUAGCAAUUUUGUCAGAAUUAACUAGACUUGACUAUUGAGGAAGUCACAUUCAAAAAUAGAAAAGACGAGCAAGCAAUUGUAUUCAUGCUAUCGGGACCAAAAUACUAUGAUGCAAGCAAGAAAGAAAAACAUACAUACAUAUAAAACACUAUCUUUGAGUUGGGUAUUUUCUUUCAAUUUUGAUAAUGGCAACUUUGGAUUCUUCUGCUGAAUUACCACCACCACCACACCAUUGUAGUUUCACAUACUAAGAAAAGGCAGGUUCAGCUCCCGUGCAUGCCCAUAAGAAUAUGAUGUAUUAAUUAGAAGUAAAAUUAAUCUGUUCAAUUAAGUUCUCUCAUAUAUUUGUGUGCGUGUGUGUGUUAAUUAGUUUGCUUUCAAAUCUUUUCUCCCUUCUUAAUGAUAUAUAUUUUAAGCAUGAUAUCAACCACGAUGAAUUUAUUAGCCGAUUUUUAAUUAUACAUUCAGCAUGAUAUCACAAACCAAGAGCUUAAGUUAGCCUAAUUCUUCAUAAAUCUAAUAAUUGCAAUCAAUAAUAAUGCUGAAAAUACGAGUUUGAAUUAAGCUAGCAACUGGUUCUUAAAUUAUGCAAUAUGUAAUCAUAGGUUUACUUAAAGAUUAAAGCAUUUCUGCAAUCCAUUGUGCAAAAAGAUUAAAAAAAAAAAAAAUAGUUGCCAAAUUUUAUCUAAAUAAAAAUUCCUUUAGUGGUUAGUACUUGUGAAUUAUAGAAAUUAUUAUUAGUACUUGCUCAGCGCUUUUUAGAUUUGUACAGGUAGAUUACGCCAUUUCAAACCCGACCAUCCAUUUAGACAUACAAAUCCCCCCAAUUCCCUGUCCUCCGCCUUUACGCGACUCUCCACUGUAUGUGCCAACUAAUUAAUUUUUUAAUUACUUGUUUAACUAAUUAAUUCAUUUUCUCAAAAGCAAGAUUAAUCUAUUUGUUCAAAUCUGAAGGAGAUUAAGUUAAUUGAUUUUAUUGUAUGUAAAAAUAUACAAAGAACUCAUGAAGCCAACUAGAAAAAAAAAAAAAGACAAAAAAAAAAUCAAACCCAGAAAUAAAAAGACAUGCUUCGACAGAAAAUUAAUGAAAAUUAUACUGAUUGUGGUUCAAUUUGAUCAAACCCAAAUAAUAACCGGUUUGAUUGAUGACUCAGCGGCAAAGUGCAGGCGCAUCAGUGGUUGCACAGAUGAGUGUUCUCGUGCGGCACGACAAAGCAAUUGUCGGCGAUUGUGAUUGGUGAUGACAUCGAGCGAUGGGGGUAAUGGCAUCGGUCGUGACUUUGUGAUGGAGAAACGAAUGUUAGAUUCGUUCGAAGAUUCGUGUUUUGAUUGAAUAACAAAGAGAGAUUUUAUGAGUUUUAAUUAUCUAAUACGAUACCGCAUAAACCCGACUCGUACGUGGGUUUAUUUUAUGCGGGUUUCGGUGUACUAAAGCAGUAAAUUUAUGUGGUGCAAUUCAAACUGAUUUCACCGCCAAAAGAUCGUGUAAAUUUAAUAUUAUACAGGGUUUUAAUACUAUGUAAUCCAAUACACCAAACAUGCCCUUAAAAACGGAUAGCAAUCCGGGGCCUUUAAAAACGGAAAAUACAAGCAGAGAAAAAGAAAAGCCAAUUGUUCAAAAGUGCCUAAUAUGCCCACGGAAAAUUUUCGUCACGACCCACAGUUACUCGAAUAGGUAAUAAGACAGGAAUGCCUUUGUUUGUUCGAAUAUAGAAGCACAAUGGCUCAGAAAGGAUCCCUCCAAUCUCCUUGGCACUGUCAGCUGGGUGCGGAGUAGCUUGGUGGCAGCAACCAUGUUUGAGAGGGCUGGCUUCACCUCAGUGUACUUGCGAGUCUUGAGACCACAGUCAGGGUUAACCCACAAAAUGUUGGUUUCUAGCACAGUACGCAUCUCGUAGAUUCUGUCAACAAUUUCUUCGGUUGAUGGUAUUCUUGGAGAGUGGAUGUCAUAGACGCCAGGGCCAAUUGCAGCAUCAUACUGGACUCCCUCACGGAAGACUGACAGGAGAUUCUCAUUAGAACGAGAGUUCUCAAUGGUGAUCACAUCAGCAUCCAUGUCGAUAAUUGAGUGGAUAAUGUCGUUGAAGUUGGAGUAGCACAUGUGGGUGUGGAUCUGUCAAUCAAUAAACAAUAGAAUGAGAUACAAAAUCAACAGCUAAAUUAAAGAGAUGAGAUUGGAGAUUAAAAGGGUAACUGACCUGGGUAGUGUCCUGGAUGCCACAGUUGGUGAUUCUGAAGGAGUGGACUGCCCAGUCCAAGUAGAAAGCAUGCUCAGAUUUCCUGAGAGGCAAUCCUUCCCUCAAGGCAGCCUCAUCAAUUUGAAUAACGUUAAUGCCUGCCUUCUCAAGAUCCUCGACUUCGUCCUUGAUGGCCAAAGCAAUCUGGUAGCAGGUUUCAUGUCUGCAAAAUUGGCAGCGAUUGAUGUUAAACAAUGUUUCCAUUCCAAAAGGUUAACCAAUAGUGAACCAGUUCUCAUUUAUAUACCUGGGCUGGUCAUUUCUGACAAAGGACCAGUUGAGAAUGGUGACAGGGCCAGUAAGCAUUCCCUUCAUUGGGCGAGCAGUCAUGCUCUGAGCCCAGGAGGACCAGAAGACGGUCAUAGCCUUGGGACGGCUCACAUCACCAUAGAUGAUGGGUGGCUUCACACAGCGAGAUCCAUAGGAUUGCACCCACCCAUUGGCAGUGAAGGCGAAACCUGAUAACUGCUCUCCAAAGUACUCAACCAUGUCGUUUCUCUACAAAAACAAAUGUCCGAAUUCAAUUUGAGAUCCAGCAUACUUCGUAUGCAAUUAGAAAUGCAGAAACAAAAAUGUAUAAAAUUUUAUGUAAUUCAAAACCAGGAGACAUUGCUUUGCUUCCAUUGGGCAUUGCGAGACUCACCUCAGGCUCUCCAUGGACAAGGACAUCAAUAUCAAGCUCUUCUUGGAGUUUGACAACCUUGUUGAUUUCCUCCUUGAUGGAAGCAACAUAUUCUUCCUCAGAAAUCCUAAAAAGGACAAAUAGUCACGGCACAGUUAAUACAGUAGUUGCAGUAAUUUCACACAUGGCAUUGAAUGAAGAAACACCUCAGAUUGACUCACUUCUUAGCCUUGUAUUCACGGCGGACUCUCCUAAGUUCAAUGGUUUGUGGGAAGGAUCCAAUUGUGGUGGUUGGGAGGAUUGGAAGAUUGAGCUUCUUCUGUUGAGCAUCUAAUCUAGCACUAACGUUUGUAGCACGUCUGUGGUCUGAUCCCCUCAAAGCAGCAGCCUAAUAGACCAAGAGGAAGGAAUCACUGUUAGCAAAAAAGGAAAUUCUAAGGGACAGCCACAUCAUAAAAAUGGAAAACAAAUCAAUCAUGCCACUUACAGCCUUUUGAACUGCCUCAUUGGUCACUCUCGGGGAGGACUUUCUUGAAGCCUGAGCUGCAGCAUUGGCAGAGAAGAAUCCCUGGAAACAAAUGAUAAGGAGAACCAAAGUUAGUCUCAUUCAUAUCAUUUUAAAAAGAAGAUACAUAUGCAAUUAGUGGGCUGAUUGUGAGAGAAAAAGUCCCCAAAACUUUAAUCAAACACCAAAUGCCCAAGUUGCCAAAUGAUGUUUAAUUCGGAAAAAUAUAUUUAAAAACAUUCAAAUAUAAUUUCCCCUUCUAAAUUUUCAUUUUCAACAACAUAUUUUACAAGCCAAGCUCAACGUCAGGCCAAGAUUUUGUGCUCCUAUAAUUAUAUUUUACCAUAAAACUAGGUCCUUGAAAGGCUAAGAUUUUCUGACUCUUGUGACUAGUCAAAGCCUAAGAUUCUUUCAAUUCAUCCGUAGUAAAAGUAUACCUCAUCCUUUUGGCCAGCCAAAGCCUUGGCCAAUGCAUUGACUUCAACAACUUUCUGGGCAGCAAAUGCCAGCCAUGACUUGAUUUCGUCGUCGAGUUUGUUCUCAUUAACAAGAUCAACAGCAGUGUGAAGAAGUGAGCAGGAGGUGGAGACCACAAGCUUGUCUGCAAAGAAAAGUAAUAAAUUAUACAACAAAUCCCAUAAUAGAAUAAGAAAUAUUUAUCACAAAGAAAAAUGCAAGCAAAGGAUGUAUACCUUUGCCAACAACACCCUCAAGCCCCCGGAGAACACUAAGAGAAGCAGCAAGAUCAUUGGCCCAAAUGUUCCUUCCAUCAACCACUCCAGCAAAGAGGUACUUGCCAGCAGGGAAUCCACUCUUGAUCAAUUCAAGGGUCUUGGUUCCACGAACCAAAUCAAAUCCAUAAGCGGUGACACCCUUCAAAGAAGUGAGGGUCUGGAAUGCCUCAGCUGGAACAUCAGCAAAGUAGGUCUCAACAAGAACAUUCAAGCCAGACAGAGUUGACUCUAGUUCCGCGUAAGCCUCACUGAAUGCUUGCAAUUUGUGUGAGUCAAGAUCCGUAACAAGCAAUGGCUCAUCAAACUGAAUCCAGGAAGCACCAGCAGCCUUAAGCUCAGAAACAACUUCCCUGCAGAAGUGUUAAUUGGUACGACACGGAUUAAUGAUGCCACACGAUACACACACACACACACACACACACACACACACACACACACACACACACACACACACACACACACACACACACACACACACACACACACACACACACACACACACACACACACACACACAGACAGAGUUAUUUAGCACAUACACGUUUAUAAAUCUGUAAAUAGGUGAUAAUUCUUACUUGUAGAUCGGAAGGAUUUUGGGAAGAAGAGAGAGAACAGAAAAGGUCUUCUCAACCCCCCAGGCAGGCUUAGACAGCAACAAGUAUGACACAGGGCCAAUAAGCACUGGGACAGUUUCAACUCCAUGCUGCAGCAUUAGACAAGUGGUAGAUAUUAGCAUCUCACAAACUUGAUCUGACUGAUAGAAAGUUACAAGCAAGUUAAGAAUAUGUUUGAUGAAAUUUCAAUGAAAAAUCUUCAGGGUCCACAACAUGUUGACUAUACCCUUUUUAAGUAAUUUAUCUUAAGACUAUUUUGCAAACAGUAUUGCUUCCCUUUACAGAUCAAAUAAAUCAUACAACAUCUGAACGCAUUUCCUGAGCCAAAUAUAAGUUCAAAGCUCUAUAAUAAAUGUCAAUGACUCUAUAGUAAAUUCCAUCACAUUCUGAGCUAUGGAUGAGCAUAUCAUAUGCCAAUUUCAAGUUGAACGUAACCCAAUUUCAACAUAUUGUAGAUUCAAGUAUCAAACGAAAAAAAAAAUAUUGUAAAUAUAGACAGAACUGAGAACAAACACUCACCCCCUUAGCCUCCUUGUACUCAGUCACAGCCUUGUGGGAAGCGUAGGAGAACUUAACAUCGGGUCCCAAUUCAGGAACAAUGAAAUGACUGCAUCAACACGAAGCCAAACACACGUCAGCAUUCAGUACAAAACCAUUACACCAUAACUAACUUGAAAUGCCGCUCUUCCAAGUAGUGAAUACUUACUAGUUGGUGUCGAACCACUUGGUCAUUUCCAUUGCGAGAACAGAGGCGUUUCCUCUGGCCAUGGAGAAGUAAACAUCGAAUCCAAUCUCGCCGCCGUUCCAGUUAAACCUCGGGGGCACGGCACCGAGCAUUGCGGUGGUGUCGAGCACUUGGUCGUAGUAGGAGAAAGUGUUGCUGGGAAUGUAUUUGAUCCCGGCCUCGGACAUCUGUUUCCAGAUGGAGGAUCUGAGAUCAGCGGACACCUUUUGCAAAUCCUCGGCGCUGCUCUUGCCAUCCCAGAAGGAUUCCAACGCGAACUUGAGCUCCCUCUUGGGGCCCAUGCGUGGGUAACCAACGAUGUGAGAUGCCAUUUUACUGUCAUAAUCACGUCAUCAAUGAAUCGAAAAUCAGUCCCUUCCAUUAAAUCAAGAAAUUAUUAAUUCAAAUGAAUGGAUCACAUUGUAUAUAUAUGGGAUAAAUAUAAUUAUGAACAAAAGCGUCUAAUCAAUCACAAAAAGCAAGCGACUGCAUCAAAUUUAGGGAUCCGACCCGACCCGACCCGAUCUGUAAAUUCCGGUUUCAAUCGGAUUAAGAUGAAACCUCUAACCCGAUAUAGUUGGAUUUUGGCCAACUCGAUCGGAUCAGAUCGGAUCGGAUUAAACUUAGUCCAAUCCGAAAAAUUCAAAAAAUCAAAACUACAAUAAGUAUAAAUCUAAAUUUUCAAUUCAAUUUGAUCUAAUCUGAAUAUAUUCGAAUCGGAUCAAAUACUAUGCUCUGCUUAAACUUGGAUUAUAUUUUUUUCAAUUUGAUUAACCUAAAAUUCGAUUGGAUAGAUCCAAAACUGAAUUUAUCUACCCCUCAGUCAUCAAUCAAUUACAAAACCUAAAAUCCGAUUGGAUAGAUCCGAAACUGAAUUUAUCCACCCUUAAGUCAUCAAUCAAUUACAAAGGCGACUGAUGUUUAUACAAUGGACAAUUAUUAAGUUACAGCUCUUGUAAUUUACAACUUAUACAAAAAUAUGUGAAAAAUUGUGAUAGGCAGUACAGUGUCAUGAUUUUAUACAAAAAUAUGUAAACAAUUGUGAUAGACGGUAGAACCUCAUGAUUUUAUAAAAAAUACGUAAAAAGUUGGGAUAAGUAAUGGAGCCCGCAUAAUUUUUUAUCAGCUGCAAGUUGCAAGUUACAGCAACUGUAACUUAGCGACCCCGACUUCAAUGUAAAAUGAGAAAGUACUCCUCCGCAUAGUACCUGAUGCUCAAAAGUCAAAUCACACGAAAUGCAAAUAGACUUAUCAGAGCAUAAAACCUUAUAUUACUUUUUGAAAAACGAUUUGAAACAAGGGCAAAAUUACAGUGUAACCGUACUUAGUCAUUGAAUUCAGCUCACAAUUAUCAUUAUAGUUAGAUCUAAUAACUAGAUCCAACUGUAUCCACAGUUAUAUUGUAGUUAGAUCUGAUAACUAAAUCCAGAUCCAGCUGUCCCCACAAUUGUCAUUAUAGUUAGAUCUAAUAAUUAGAUUCGGCUGAUUCAGCUGUGAUGUAGUACCCUGUAGUGCCAUAACUGGACAAAGAAACAAACUGAUAUAUUUUCUUUUUUGAAACAAACUGAUACUAAUCCAAGAGUUUCAGAUGAUCGGUUUUUUUUUUUUUUUCUAUAGUCACAUCAAUAAUUAAGUACUUUCAGUCAUUUUCGAAGGAUUAAAACGAAAACUCUAAAAAAAUUCUGAGAAUGAAGAAUCCGAAAAUAGAUUCAGAAAUAGUAACACAAGUAGAGGUCAGAUUGUUUUUUGGAAAAGAUUAAUUGCAGAUCUGAUGAACUCAAGUCUAGAUCUAGCAAAAUCACGGCAGCCAAACACUAGAUCUAAGACUAACAGUCACUCACCAGUCGAUCAGAAAGUGAAAUCAAGUUCAAAAUUCUUUUUUUUUAAUAGAUCCAAAAGCUAAUAUACAUAUAUAUAUGGCAAAAUAUAUAUACCGUACCCGAGAAGGACGAGCAGAGAAAUUAAGCUUUUUUCGAGAGAACGAGAAAGAAGAGAGACGAGACUGUUAGAAAUUGCUGUCAGUUUAAUUUUUAUUUAUAGCCAAAAACCUAACCUUGUUUAGUGGUUACUGGUUACCGUCUUCGGCGGUGUUGAUCUGAGAUUUAUCAUUUUAAUUUCUUUCUCUUACUUAUUUAUUUAAUUUGGGUCCAACUACGGUGAAACUGUAGUACCGUGCUACAGUUAUUUUCAACCGUUUGAUUCACUUGGAUGGUGGGAUCCAAUAAAAUCCAAUAACUGGGUGCAACCGUAGCACGGUGCCGCAGUUGCACCACAGUUUUUCCCAUUUAUUUAUUAUGCUUUCAGUGCAGUUGGCAAAAACAUGGAGCUUACGCGCGCUUUUCUGAUGUGGCGCGUGAAUUGGAAAUGUGGUAGAUCUUUGUGGAUCCGCCGGUGCAGUGAAGAGUGAAGGAAAAAAGAGAAAAGUUAUCAUGCCAGAUCAUUUGAAGAGAGCCGCAAUUAGUAAUUACACCACAAUAUAUUUCUGAUUAUUUGCUUACUUUGAUGAUGUUUUUACUGAUUAGUAAUUGGAAUAUGUUAGAAUCUAAAUAUAGUAGAAUCAUAAUAGAGUUGAAUCAAAAUAGACUAUAAUUAGAAUGGAUAAUGGGAAUUAGAAGAAUUAUUUGCUUUAGUUGUGAGAAUCCAAAUUGGAAUGAACUAUAUUGUCGUUGAUAUGUUUACUUUAUCAUAGAAUAUGAAUGAAUUAUUACAAGUUACUAAACAGACCUUAAGUUGAUUAUUGUCAUUAUUUAUUUAUUUAUUAUUAUUAUUAUUAUUAUCAUCAUCAUCAUCAUCAAAAUUAUUAAUCUUAUUAUUAAUGUUAAUUAUAAUAAUUAAUAAUUAUAAUAGUAUUAUAAUAAUAAUAAUAAUAAAAGCAAUCAUAAAAUGAGAAUUUCAAGAUUUAAGUAGAGAUAAUAUAAUUAUUUUAGAAAAUGAGAAUUUCCAUGAGAAUGUGAACUCUAUUAAUCAUUCCCAAUUUGAAGUGGGGCCUGCCAUUUUGAUUCAAUCUCUCAUUUAAGCAAGUAAAUACGACAUUUAUUCUCAUUCCCUCAUUCCCACUCUCAGGUAGCGUUUGUUUUUUAACUUAAUGACUUAAAGUGACUUAACUUAAUUAAUUAAGUUAAUUAGAGGUGUUUAUUUUUAUAACUUAAUGAGACUUUUUAGAUAAUUUUGACUUAAUAAAAUGAGCCAAUUUUUUUUGGCUUUUUACUUAAUGGAGAAAUUUGAAUUUAGUCAAUUACUUACUAAUGUCAAAAAUAUCUAUGUUUUAUAAUUUAUUUUUCAUGUCUAUCCCAAAACUCACCCAUAGACAUUUACCCCACAUAAAAAUAUCCCUAUUUUUUCUUUCUUAUAUUAUAUACGAUAAAAUUUGAAAUUUAUGGUAUUUUAUAUAUUAAAAUUCUAAAAUAAUUAUGUAUUCACUUGAAUAUAGUUUUACUUAUAACUGUUAAAAUAUUGUGGUAUUUAAUAUAUUAUUUAUUUGACAUUAAAAUUUAAUAAGGAUACAAAUGUAAAAGUACAUAUUUUCAGUUUUUUCAGUUAAAAAAAAAGCAACUUAAUACUUAUUUUUCGAGAUUCAGACGAAAAAAUAAACAUAUUAUUCAUAUUCAGACAUUUAGAUAUAUUCAGAAUUCAAACUAAUUCAGGUCUAUUCAGAUUUUAGACAAAAAAAACAAACGCCACCUCAAUCAAUAAACACACCAUAAAUGUAGAGUUGUUACUAUUAGAAUACAUUAUAAUUCAUCACAAUUAUGAUAGGUAUAUACGUGUGUAAUAAUUUAUAUAAGAUGCUAAAUUUUGAAAAUAAUAAAAAAUCAUUUAUACAUAUUUAAAAAAAUCAUUAAUACAUUAAAAUGUGCAUCACAUAUACAUUUACAUAAUAGCAAUGACCAUAGUAUAAAAAAAACUCCUAAAAGAGAACGACUUCGUUAUUUAUGUUAUUUUAUAUAUUUUUAAUUGAUUAUUAAAAGGAUCAAUUGUUAAUUAUUAUUCUCCAAACAUAAUCACCGUUAAACAUUUAUUCAAUUUAACAAUAGGUAGAUGUUAAAUAAUAUUGGAAUAUUUAAUGAACAAUAUAAUCACUAUUGCAGUUGUUUUUUUUUUUUAGUAAUGGAUUAUUCGAAACUCAAAUUCAUUUUUUAGCCCCCUUACCUCUCUUAAAAUUCAAAUUUAAGUGACUAAACAAAUAAAACUGCUUAAAAUCUAUACGACUACAUCUUUGGGGACCAAUUAAUAUGGAUGUUUAAAUCUUGAUUUAUUAUUAAAUCUUUGAGUUUCAACCACUAAUAACAUCAUCAUCGAUUAAUGACAAAUAAAAUAAUACAUCAUCAAAACCAUUAAACACGUCCAUCAAUAUCAAAAACAAGUAAAAAGUUUAGCAUGUAUUUCAAAUAUACUUUUCAUCCCAAAAGUUGUAGAGAAAGUCUCGAUAUCAAUGUCACUAUGAGACGUAAUUUUAUAUUUAAAGUCAGCGCAACUUAAAAAUUACUAUGAAUGAAUAAUACACCAUAAAAAAAUUAUUUAUAAGUAUUUUCAUCAUGUAUUUUUAUUUAACAAUGGUGACAUUUAUUUUUUAACUUAAUGACUUAAAGUGGCUUAACUUAAUUAAUUAAGUUAAUUUUAGGUGUUUGUUUUUAUAACUUAAUAGGACAUUUUAGAUAAUUUUGACUUAAUAAAAUAGGCCAAUUUUUUUUAACUUUUUACUUAAUAGAGAAAUUUGAAUUAAGUCAGUUACUUUCUAAUGUAAAAAAAUAUUCCUACUUUAUAAUUUAUUUUUCAUGCAUAUUCAAAAACUCACCCAUAGAUAUUUACCCCACAUAAUCUCAUCUUUAUUUUCUUCCAGCCGUCAUGGAAUCCCUCCUCACUUUGCUUCUCUCCUCUAGUUCUUGAAUCUCCCUUUAAUUUCUCGCUAGGCAAAGCACUUGAAUUGGGCUUUUUUUUUUUCCUUUUCAAUUACGUUUUCCAACAUUCACUUAUAUAAUAAUCAACUAGUUGCUACUCUUUUUAGUGAUAAAAUUUGAAAUAUGGUAUUUUAUAUAUUAAAUUUUCAAAAUUAUGUAUUCACUUAAAUGUAGUUUUACUUAUAAAUAUUAAAAUAUUAUGUUAUUUAAUAUAUUAUUUAUUUGACAUUCAAAUUUAAUAAGGAUAUAAAUGUAAAAGUACAUAUUUUUAAUUUUUUAAGUUGAAAAAAUAACUUAAUAUUUAUUUUCAGAUAUUCAAAUAAAAAAUAUAUUAUUUAAAUUCAAAAAUUUAAAUCUAUUCAAAAUUUAAAGUAAUUCAGGUCUAUGCAUAUUUCAAUCAUAAAAACAAAUGCCACAUGAGUCAUUCAAUUUCUAAUUAAGAGGAUAAAAAAUAGAUUUGGACUAUCCUAAGACAAAAACAAAAAAAAAAACAAAAAUAAGAUUUCCUAAUAAGUGUACUAACGUGGUCACGCGCCUUGAGAAACGCUUGGACCUAACACACUAUUUUAAUCCGAUAUGCAAAAAAAGAAAAAAAAAAAAAAGGAAAAAUUAUGAGAUGUAUAAGUUUCUAGAGACGUGUUAAAUUUUGAUGAAACAAUGAAGAAAGUCGGUGGCCGAAGUUGGUAUGGGGCAAUGCGAAUGGUGGUUGGCCCACGUUGCCCUGUAAUUGGAGUUGUUAUAAUUUUUCUUAUAAUUAAUAGGACUUGACACAGACUGCAGCAUCAGCCGUUGGAUGUGGAGGGAGAAACUAAACAAUAGAAAACCGUAUGGUGGGAUGACGGUAGAUGUUUGUUACAGAAACUGUACCAUAGACAGGUCCUAAUUAAUAAGCUCUACGUUUUGAAACAAUAAAUAAACUCCAGAUGACCAAAAUAUCAUUUCAUACUGCUACCUAGACAUCUUGGCGAGGGUGGGUAAUGUGGGGCCCGGAGCUUGUUUGAUCGUCAAUUAUUCUCUGGUUUGGUGAAACGAAUGGACGGACGAUGGUGAUGGCUUUUAGGAGAUUAGUAUUAUUAUUAUUAUUAUUAUUAUUACAUUGAGAUCGUAAAACAAAAAAUUCAAUUAAUAAUAUAAAAUAUUUAUUUAAUUUAUUAAUUAUUAUAUAUACACAAUAAAAAAAUUUAUAUACAUAUUUAUAAAUGUGUAAAUAAAUUUCAUUCAAUAUUAUAUCCAAUUAAUCAUUUAUAUUUUUCUGCUGUACCGUACAUCCGCCUUGGCCGUACAGCAGUAAAGCUGCUGAUGCUUUAUCGCGAAUUCAUGAGGAAAAUGUGAUUGAAGAACCCAAACCAACAACUCUUUGUUUGUCGUUAGACAUUUACCCCACAUAAAAAUAUCCCUAUUUUUUCUUUCUUAUAUUAUAUACGAUAAAAUUUGAAAUUUAUGGUAUUUUAUAUAUUAAAAUUCUAAAAUAAUUAUGUAUUCACUUGAAUAUAGUUUUACUUAUAACUGUUAAAAUAUUGUGGUAUUUAAUAUAUUAUUUAUUUGACAUUAAAAUUUAAUAAGGAUACAAAUGUAAAAGUACAUAUUUUCAGUUUUUUCAGUUAAAAAAAAAGCAACUUAAUACUUAUUUUUCGAGAUUCAGACGAAAAAAUAAACAUAUUAUUCAUAUUCAGACAUUUAGAUAUAUUCAGAAUUCAAACUAAUUCAGGUCUAUUCAGAUUUUAGACAAAAAAAACAAACGCCACCUCAAUCAAUAAACACACCAUAAAUGUAGAGUUGUUACUAUUAGAAUACAUUAUAAUUCAUCACAAUUAUGAUAGGUAUAUACGUGUGUAAUAAUUUAUAUAAGAUGCUAAAUUUUGAAAAUAAUAAAAAAUCAUUUAUACAUAUUUAAAAAAAUCAUUAAUACAUUAAAAUGUGCAUCACAUAUACAUUUACAUAAUAGCAAUGACCAUAGUAUAAAAAAAACUCCUAAAAGAGAACGACUUCGUUAUUUAUGUUAUUUUAUAUAUUUUUAAUUGAUUAUUAAAAGGAUCAAUUGUUAAUUAUUAUUCUCCAAACAUAAUCACCGUUAAACAUUUAUUCAAUUUAACAAUAGGUAGAUGUUAAAUAAUAUUGGAAUAUUUAAUGAACAAUAUAAUCACUAUUGCAGUUGUUUUUUUUUUUUAGUAAUGGAUUAUUCGAAACUCAAAUUCAUUUUUUAGCCCCCUUACCUCUCUUAAAAUUCAAAUUUAAGUGACUAAACAAAUAAAACUGCUUAAAAUCUAUACGACUACAUCUUUGGGGACCAAUUAAUAUGGAUGUUUAAAUCUUGAUUUAUUAUUAAAUCUUUGAGUUUCAACCACUAAUAACAUCAUCAUCGAUUAAUGACAAAUAAAAUAAUACAUCAUCAAAACCAUUAAACACGUCCAUCAAUAUCAAAAACAAGUAAAAAGUUUAGCAUGUAUUUCAAAUAUACUUUUCAUCCCAAAAGUUGUAGAGAAAGUCUCGAUAUCAAUGUCACUAUGAGACGUAAUUUUAUAUUUAAAGUCAGCGCAACUUAAAAAUUACUAUGAAUGAAUAAUACACCAUAAAAAAAUUAUUUAUAAGUAUUUUCAUCAUGUAUUUUUAUUUAACAAUGGUGACAUUUAUUUUUUAACUUAAUGACUUAAAGUGGCUUAACUUAAUUAAUUAAGUUAAUUUUAGGUGUUUGUUUUUAUAACUUAAUAGGACAUUUUAGAUAAUUUUGACUUAAUAAAAUAGGCCAAUUUUUUUUAACUUUUUACUUAAUAGAGAAAUUUGAAUUAAGUCAGUUACUUUCUAAUGUAAAAAAAUAUUCCUACUUUAUAAUUUAUUUUUCAUGCAUAUUCAAAAACUCACCCAUAGAUAUUUACCCCACAUAAUCUCAUCUUUAUUUUCUUCCAGCCGUCAUGGAAUCCCUCCUCACUUUGCUUCUCUCCUCUAGUUCUUGAAUCUCCCUUUAAUUUCUCGCUAGGCAAAGCACUUGAAUUGGGCUUUUUUUUUUUUCCUUUUCAAUUACGUUUUCCAACAUUCACUUAUAUAAUAAUCAACUAGUUGCUACUCUUUUUAGUGAUAAAAUUUGAAAUAUGGUAUUUUAUAUAUUAAAUUUUCAAAAUUAUGUAUUCACUUAAAUGUAGUUUUACUUAUAAAUAUUAAAAUAUUAUGUUAUUUAAUAUAUUAUUUAUUUGACAUUCAAAUUUAAUAAGGAUAUAAAUGUAAAAGUACAUAUUUUUAAUUUUUUAAGUUGAAAAAAUAACUUAAUAUUUAUUUUCAGAUAUUCAAAUAAAAAAUAUAUUAUUUAAAUUCAAAAAUUUAAAUCUAUUCAAAAUUUAAAGUAAUUCAGGUCUAUGCAUAUUUCAAUCAUAAAAACAAAUGCCACAUGAGUCAUUCAAUUUCUAAUUAAGAGGAUAAAAAAUAGAUUUGGACUAUCCUAAGACAAAAACAAAAAAAAAAACAAAAAUAAGAUUUCCUAAUAAGUGUACUAACGUGGUCACGCGCCUUGAGAAACGCUUGGACCUAACACACUAUUUUAAUCCGAUAUGCAAAAAAAGAAAAAAAAAAAAAAGGAAAAAUUAUGAGAUGUAUAAGUUUCUAGAGACGUGUUAAAUUUUGAUGAAACAAUGAAGAAAGUCGGUGGCCGAAGUUGGUAUGGGGCAAUGCGAAUGGUGGUUGGCCCACGUUGCCCUGUAAUUGGAGUUGUUAUAAUUUUUCUUAUAAUUAAUAGGACUUGACACAGACUGCAGCAUCAGCCGUUGGAUGUGGAGGGAGAAACUAAACAAUAGAAAACCGUAUGGUGGGAUGACGGUAGAUGUUUGUUACAGAAACUGUACCAUAGACAGGUCCUAAUUAAUAAGCUCUACGUUUUGAAACAAUAAAUAAACUCCAGAUGACCAAAAUAUCAUUUCAUACUGCUACCUAGACAUCUUGGCGAGGGUGGGUAAUGUGGGGCCCGGAGCUUGUUUGAUCGUCAAUUAUUCUCUGGUUUGGUGAAACGAAUGGACGGACGAUGGUGAUGGCUUUUAGGAGAUUAGUAUUAUUAUUAUUAUUAUUAUUAUUACAUUGAGAUCGUAAAACAAAAAAUUCAAUUAAUAAUAUAAAAUAUUUAUUUAAUUUAUUAAUUAUUAUAUAUACACAAUAAAAAAAUUUAUAUACAUAUUUAUAAAUGUGUAAAUAAAUUUCAUUCAAUAUUAUAUCCAAUUAAUCAUUUAUAUUUUUACAGCGGUUUAAUAAUAAUAUUUACUAAAUACAUAUGAUUAUUUUUAAAAUUCACAGUAUUUUUAAAAAUAAAUUUUAUAAAAUUUUUAACUAAUUUUCUUUACAACUAACUAUUGAACGGUUUAACUAAUAGUAAUUAUUUUUAAAAUUAUAGUAUUAUCAAAUUAGUCCUAUGUCAAAUUUGUUAUUGCUGUUUUUUUUUUAAUUAAAAAAUUACAUAGUGCAUACGUGCAUAAUAUGCCCAACUCAAAAAUUCACACAAAAUAUACUAUUUAACUUUAAGGCUUUAAUUGAAAAAAAAAAUUAAGAUUAAGAUGAAUAAAUACUAGAACAUAACAAAUAGAUAAACUCUCCCAUUCUUUAAAAAGAUUAAUUUUAUUUUAAACUUACACUUCGAAUUCAAAGUAGACAUUGAUUGAUAAAAUUAUACAAACGGAUCAAUAUUCCUACAUUUUCUUUUUAAUUUCAAAACCAACAGAUAUUGUUUGUUCAUUAUAUGACCUCCAAACAAAUAAUUUCAUUAAUAAAAUAAUAAUGAAAAGUGUCGUGAUGGGUAUAGAGUAAUUAGGUGGCUAAGUUUCUACUUUUCAUUCUAACUCUUGAGGUUGGUAGGCGCGUGGGUGGUCCACAAAACCCGUGGACGGUAGCAUUCAAACAAAGACUGGAGGCACCAGAAAAAUGUCCAAAAAGUGUGAAACCGUGACGUGUUCAACAUGUUAAUAAAUUUAGGCAAAUGUUAAAGUUACGGAGCUGGCUACGUUACAGAAACUGUACGUAACAGCCAUGCAUUUUUUAUUCGUUGGAUCUAGAGACUGAAAUUGGAUGGUUGGGAUUAAAGGCCAGAAUAGAAAUUAAUCACGGGCAACCGUUUUUAACAUUUAGAAGGGUUUAUUUUCAUGCACACCCAAAUAUUUUGACAAAUAUCAAUAUGCACCCAGUAACUUUUUAUGUAAAACCACAUAACCGACCCGUUAACUUUUCUACUAUUGAAUUAAAAAACUAUCAUGCCUCAAUUGAAUUAAAUUGAUCAGGUAAAAUAUCUUUUAUAACUUGUCAAUUUUUACAGUGAAAUAUACGAGUAUUUAGUAAAAUCAAAUUUAUUUUUUAUUCAGUAAUCAAAUUUUUUUAUUUAGUGAAAUCAAAAUUAUUUUUCUUUAGUUGUAAGAUUUUUUUAACAAAAAAAUUCUAAAAUCAGAUUUAACUCAUUUACUAUUUUAAAAAAUGAACUUUUUACUAACCAAACUAGAGUUUAUCUUUAGUCAACAUAUUUUUUUCUCUAAAAUAACCUUUGAUAGAAUUACUUAUAUAAACAUGUCAGUAUCAAAAUUACUUCAUAUUUUACCAUCCAUCAAUUUAAACUAGUGUGAAAUUUUUUUAGUUUGAUAUUGAAAAUAUGAUAGUUGAUGAGAGAAAUCUAAUUCAAAUUUACAGAUAGAAUAGUUUCUUAUAAUUGCGUACAUGGUAUAUCAAAAAUAUUUUUUUGUGAGUUUUUAAAAAAAUUGUGUCACAAGAUGAAAUUAUCUCUUGAUUUUUCAAUUCCUGGAAUUUAUGUAAAACAAUAAACACAAGUAAAUCUUUUGGUUUGUGACUUCUUGAAGGAAUGUUUGGGAACGCACAAGUUCCUCUCUCCUUCAAAAAGAAUGAUAAGUGCAAAUACCAACCUAGAAAAUUGAUUUAUAAUUCAAAGAAGAUUUGAUUGAAGAUGAUUAAUUGAAAUUUAUCUUUGCAUGAUGUCAAACAUUUUUCAAAAUGACUAAGUCAAGUCUCUUUGUUAAUUCAAAUCAAGAAAAAUUAGAAAAAUAUUAAUGCAUAGAAAUUCUACUAAGAGUUAUUUAUGAAAUUCUCAAACGAAUAGAAAUUAAAUUAACAUUUUUAAAUUUUAGUUAUGGGUUUAUUUUAAAAAUGGGUUUAGAAAGAAAUUUGAGGGGUUUAAAGAACCCCGCCCUUUCUUUAAUUAUUCGGUGAAUUUGAAAUAUAUUAAUAAGGUAUAAGAAUAUGUUAUUCUAAUCUUCUUAUGCAAAAUCUAUGCAAUUAAAAAAAAAUUCACCAAACGGUAUUUGUCUUUUUAUUGACAUUUAAUAAUAUUGAUGGCAAAUAUAUACAAUUAUCAAUCAAUUGUUAUCAACUAUUCAAGAUAACUGAAAAACUAAUUGCGUGAAGUUGGAGUAAUGAUUGUUUGAAUUGCCAAGAGUUUUUUUUUAAUAGAAACUAUUGCAAUUCAUAUCAUUAAAAAACUUAAAGACUACAAGUCGAAUAAAAAAUCUUUCCUUAUAAAAGAAUUUGACCAACUCAAAGUACAGUGUUAAAUCCUUGAGAUACAAUGAACCUAAAAAUCCUACUUUGACACACCACAAAUAAUGAAUCUAACUUAACAAUCAAUGGAGAUAAAUCAAUUUUACUAGCAAAAUAUAAGCCAAAACACAAGGCAACGUCUUCACCAAAAUCAAUAUCAUUCAAAUAAUUCCCCUUGUGAACGCCUGAAGCUAUCAUAAAAACAACAAAAAAUAAAAAAAUAAAAACAAGUAGACAAGCAAAAAAAUUCCCCAAUAACAAGUUACCCUACAAAACUUUUCCUUGUAGAACAUACACAGAAACCGCAGCUAUAGGGCUAUCGAAAGUAGGGAUGGCAAUGGGGAGGGGAGGGGAGGGGACCAAUCUCCCCAUACCCAUCCCCGAUAUUUUGCGUAUGUCCCCGUCCCCGUCAGAAUUGCUUGAGAGAAUCUCCAUCCCCUCCCCGAAUAAUAACAGGGGAUCCCCGAGGGUCCCCGGUCUUUGGAAAAGCUAGGAAAGAAAAGGGACGUGAAAAACAAAGGGGGUAGAUUUUUUGAAGGGGAAAGAAAAAGAAACCCUAGAUCUAAAUUUUUCUCUUCUCUCUAUGAAGAACUAAACCUAUUAUUCUGGUUGAAGAUUAAUAAAGCUUUGGUUCAUCAUUACUGUGAGAUCUUUCUUAUGCUUUAAUUGUUUUAUUGCUUUUUGGGUAUUUGUUUAUUCUCUAAAUUAUUGUCAUGAUUAUAUUUGUUAAUUAGAUAAUUGGCCACUAUUUAAUUAUCAACUUAAUCUAUUGUCAAUUAAAAGAUUCAUCGUAUGAAGAUUUUAAUAUUUGUGACAAAUAGCAUAGCAGUGCGUUGUGUUAUGAGAAUAAACAAUCUAAUUUAAAUGAACCAUCGUAUGCGUUUGUUGAUUAGGAUUUGGGUCUCUCUGAUUUUUCAGGUUGUCAAUUAAUUAAAUCCUAUGAUUGUAUCUAGGGUUAUCUAUUAAUUAGGGAAAUAACCAAUGGUCGUACCUUAGUUAUCGACUAGUUAAAGAGAGAUUGGCUAUUAAAGGGUCUCAGUAGCUAGGGAUGGCAAAAAUCCCCACGGGGACGGGCACCCUCGGGGAUUUUCCCCAUUCGGGGAGGGUACGGGGAUAAUUUUAUACCCAAUUUUUUUUUCGGGGAGGGGACGGGGAAAAUUUUUUACCCAAUUUUUUAUUCGGGGAGGGGACGGGGAUGAGGUGGAAUCCCCAUCCCCUACCCAUUUCCCCAUUUUAAUUUUUAUUUUUUAUUUUUAAAAUUACUAAUAAAUAUAUAACAAAAUUAUAAAUAUUGGCAAGAUAUGAGUGGAAUUUUGGGUGUGACAUGUAUAUUUGAUCCAAGGUAUAAAAAGAAGUUCAUUGAAUAAUACUUUUCUUUUUAUUUUUAAAAUUACUAAUAAAUAAAUAACAAAAUUAUAAAUAUUGUUAAAAAUAAUAAAUAUCAAAAUAGUUGUAUGUUGGGAAAGUGGUCACCCCUUACCAGGAAUUAGUGGAAGAGUAUCAAUUGAAGUUUUCACCAAUUGUUUAUUGCUUUGAUUAUACUGGUUGUAGUUCUUCUAUUAGAUCUACAGGGGAUUCUUAUAAGAAAGCAACCAAAUGGAUGACAUGUUUUGAUGAUUAUGUAAACAAUGGAGAUUGUGCAGUUGUUGCAGAUGAAUUAGAUUCAUAUUUGGAUGAAAAAGUUAUACCCCGGAUGGAAGAUUUUAAUAUUUUGAGUUGGUGGAAGACAAAUGCUAAUAGGUAUCCUACAUUAGCUCGAAUUGCUACAGGACGAGCAGGAGGUAAAUAGUUUUAUUAAAAAUAUUAAUUAAGUAUCUACAUUUAUUUCAUUUAUUUUAUUGCCGAUGUAAAAAAUAUUUUUUUUUUCUUUUUAUUGUAGGAUUAUGAAGAUUGAGACAUUGAUAAAGAUAAUUAUUUUAAUAAUUUAUAUUUUGAAUGUGACUUUGUAAUGGAUCAAUAUUAAUGUAAGAUAUAUUUUAAACUUUAUUUUUAUCUGAAUUUUUUAUUUUAAUAUGAUUAAUUUAAAAUCAAAAAUAAAAAAAUGUAUUAGACUAUUAAUUAUUCGGAGACCGGGGACCCUCGGGGAUCCCCUGUUAUUAUUCGGGGAGGGGAUGGGGAUUCUCUCAAGCAAUUCUAACGGGGACGGGGAGGGGACGGGGACAUACGCAAAAUAUCGGGGAUGGGUAUGGGGAGAUUAGUCCCCUCCCCUCUCCUCCCCAUUGCCAUCCCUAGAUUUUUGCCAUCCCUAUCGAAACCUCUACCCACCACUAUUAGAGUUAAAAAAAUCUCUGAUAUGAGUGUAUUCUUCUAAUUUGAACUCUAACGUGAUUUUUUGAGAGAUUCAUUGGAAAAAAACCUUAAGGAGUUAAAGAAGAAAUUUAAAAAAAAAAUCAUAAAAAGAGGAAUGAAAAGAAAAAGAUGCUUUACCAAGAGUUGAUUGACAGUAAUUGGUAAAUUUGAGCAUGCAAUAAAAUUUACCCAUAUAUUCAUAUGACAUAAAAUAUAAUUUUAUUCAUUAAUUACACUACUAAUUUGUCUAAAUUUUAGUUUUUAAAAAAAUAAAUUUCUAUAUAUUUACAUAAAUCUUAGUUUUUAUAAAAAUAAAUUGAAAAAUAAAUUUAUGUUUUUAUAAAAAUAAAUUUAUGUUUAUUUUUUUACAUUGACCUGAAGAAAAGACUAGUACUACUAAGCUGCUGUACGGCCAAGGCGGAUGUACGGUACAGCAGCAAUUUGACUGUUUGGGGGUGGGGUUGAUGGCUUACAUCAAAGUUAGUGUGUGCUAAGGAUUAACAAUAAUAAUGGGGUAAAUAUGAAAUUAAUCCUUGCCCAAGCAUUAGAAGUUCGUCGGUUUUCUUUUAACCGGAUAAUUACCGGUGAAUAUGUCACGCGUUCCUACACGUGGCAGCAUCUAAUUUAUUCGCUUGUCAUUUCAGUUUCUGUUAGUUACAGUUUCUGUAACGUAGCUAGCUCCGUCAGGUACAGGCAUGUUGUAACUUACGUUUCUCGUAAAAAUCAUAUAAGUUCUAUUUCUACCGCUAGGGUGAGCAUGGGUUGAUUUGGAUUAAAUUUUAAGUUAAUUUAAAUUAAAUUAUAAAAAUUUGGGUGUAAUCUAAAUUAAUUUAAAUAUUUUUAACAUAACUCAUGGGUUGGUUAAAUCAAACUAUAAAAAUUUGGUCCAACUCAAAUUAACUCAAAUAUUUUCAACACAACCCAAAGCAACUCAGUUGGAUUUUAUUAAAAUUAUAAUAAUUAUUAAUUGUUUUUAAACCAACCAUUUUGAGUUUGGUUUGGAUUUUAUUAUCAAAAUAUAUUUUUUAUUUUGAGAAAUUUAAUUUUAUCAAAAUUAUAAUAAUUAUUAAUUGUUAUUACUUAUUAAAUUGAUAAUAACAUAUAAAAAUUAUAAUUCAUAAAAAUUAUAAAUAACAAAUUUUACAAUAACUUAAUCCUUAAAUUAAAGAAUACUAGAAAAUUAAAAUAAAGUUUAAUCACAAAAAUCAUUAUUUAUCAAUAAAUAAGAAAAUUCUAAUAAAAAACUUCUACAAGCACGAUAUCGACAAGUAAAUUCAAAGAAAGAAAGAAAGAAAGAAAAGACUAGUACUACUAAGUAUUAACCCUAUUACAACACAAACUCUAACAAUGUCCAUACAAAUAAAAAAAAAUAAGACAUUCUAACUCAAGUGUCAAAGCAAUCCAUCAUAAUCAUUUCCAUCCGUAGUACUUUAAUCGAGAGAUUCCACGAUUAACUGACAAAAUGUAUGACAAUGAUAAUUUACAUUGAUUAUGACAUAAUAGAGAUGGAUUUGUCAAAGCCAAAUCAUUUGCUGGAAAGGAAUUUAGUUGAAGUAGGAACCAAAAUUCAACUUAGAUGGAUCUAUAAAAUUGGUCAUUCAAUACAUAAGUACUUUAUCAACAGAUUCAACACAUUAUAAAUUUAUGGAUUCAACUAAGUUACAACCAGCUGCAACUUAUUCCUCUCACAUAAACAAUAAUACAGCGGUAGGCUAUAUUAUUUACAAAAAGUACUUAUGUAUUGAAUGACCAAUUUUAUUACCUGCAAAAUUAAUUAAUCUUUCACUCUAUCAUCUAACUAAUGGAAGGCAAUCUUAUUUUAGGUUGUAAUGAUUAGAAACUAGCAGGAAGUGGGGGCGAUGCUCCAUAUUAAUUUGGAUAAAUCCCUUUCUAGUGAAGAAGUUAAAAUUAUAAAAUAGAGAUCAAGAUAGAAAUUUAAAGGCCCCGAUUGUUUUUUACAGACUUAAAAAUGAUAUUGAAAAAUUAAAAGCUAAUUUUAGUAUUUAAAAAUUACUUUAAGAAAAAUCACCCUAUCUUCCUGUAAAUUUUGAAAAGCAUGAAAAGAGCAGUUUUUCAAAAAUUGAUUUCGAAAAUUAGUUUCAUACUUAAUACAAUUCCAUAUAUCCUAACAUUUAUUAUAAAAAUUCAAAUUAUCCUUAUUAAAUUAGGAAAUAAAGUCAGUACAUUUAAAUAAGAGUGAUGAUAUAGACACAAACUCUUGUACCAACUGACGUAGCAUUAAUUUAUUAGUUGAAUGAAAAUAUAAAAUAAUAUAAAUAAAUCAUGUGGGCCAAGAAAUAUUUAAUUUAACCAAUUUUAUCAUGUCACAUUAUAAGCAACUUAUAAACUCAUUGGAUUCGACUCUUUACUAAAAUAAAAAUAAAUUAAUAUAUAUAUAUAUAUAUAUAUAUAUUUACAUACAUAAAAUGUGAUUAUAUACACAUAUUUAUAAUUGAAUAUGUACAUAAAUUCUGUAGAUUUAUGUCUAUCUAUACAUUUGCAUUCUUACCACAUUUUAAAAGUGUGAUUUACCAAAUACAUGGGACUUAUUUGAAAUUUAUAGCACUUUUAUAAAUAAAAUUUAUCAAACGUUAAACAGAUUCUCUAUUUUCGCGUAUAUAUCCUCAUGUAAAUUAUAAAAAUUCAAAAUUAUCUUUAUUCAAUUAGGAAAUUAAAUCAUUAUUUUUAAAGAGAUUCUUAUUAUUACUAAUUAGAUUCAAAUAACCAAAAAAAUACAAUCAAUAAAAUAAAAAUAUUUAUUUUAGUUAUCAUUUAUUAUAUACACAUAUUUAUAAAUGCAUGUGUAAAUAAAAUUUUAUAGAUUUAUGUCUAUUUAAGUUAUUUGCAUUCUUACAACAUUUAAAAAAUGAGAUUUACUAAACACAUGUGAUUGUUUUUAAAAAAGUUACAACACUUUUAAAAAUAAAAUUUAACAAAUGUUUAAUUGACUCUCUCCAAAGGUAAUUGUUUUUACAGUAUAGCUAAAGUAAUUUAUAAAUUUAUGAUAAGUAUUUGUGAAUAUUGGUCUAUGUAAAGAAGUAAAAACAACAUAUAUAUUAAGCAGCAUGAUAUUAAAACUCUUAGUAAAAUACAUAUACUAAUAAAAGAAAGACAACAAUGCAAUAAAUAAGCUUAUAAUAUAAAUUAUUAAAAUUGUAUAUUAAAAAAUUAUGCAUGAAAUUCUUUUUCUAUUUUGGUGAUAGAGAAUGCGAUAUAAUUGAAUUAUUUGAUUUAAUAAAAAAAAAAUAUGACUGUGAAGGAAAUUAACAAUUGAAUUGUGGAAUGUUAUUAAUUGUUAUUGUAUCAUUUUGCAACGUUCUAAUAAUAUGGACAAUGUUACAGUAUAUUGAUGGGCGGUAAUAUUUUCACCUCUUAAAUUGUGUAAAGUCAGCUCCAUUUAAAAAAAUUAUAUAUAAAAAGCCCAUUAGUUUUAAUAGUUUCAAAUUAAGAUUAAAUGCAAAUAAUUAACCAAUUAAAUCCUUAUUAAUAAGAUCAUUGAGCUUUAAUUAAACUAAUAAAAUGCAUUUGAUAAAUGAAAUUUACGAUAUUUAAUUACAUGAAAUUUAUUGACUACAUGAAUAAUAUAAUUGUUCAGCUGUUUAAACUUUUUCCCUAUUUAAAUUUUAAAAAACAAUGUGAAAUUUUGUAAAUAGUUCUUUGAAAUGGGGUGGAUUUACACCAUUUGUGCAGUGCAAAUAUCCUAAUUCUAACAUUUUUUUUAAAAAAAAAGACCAAAUCAUAACAUUUUUUGUAUACUAAGUUAAAGUAGUACUAACAUUAUAGCCCCCUAAUGAUUUCAAUUCAUUCAAUGAAUAUAUAAUUUAAGCAUGUUAUAAACUAAGUCUCUAAAUCGAAUUAAAAAAAGAAAAAAGAGCUUAAUUGCUGACAUAGUUGAAAAUAAAAUAAAAAAUUUUAUUAUUAGAUGAAAAAUUAUGAAACUUAAGGGGUAUAAGCGAGUCGGCAGCUGCUCACCAGGGCAUAUGUAAUAUUUGUUAAUACAUUUCAAAAUUUUAGGUUUUUUAAUAAUAUUUUCAAUACAUUUUCUAGAAGGUUUAGAAAAAAAAAAUGACUCAAUACUUUAAUCGAGCUAUGAAUAAACUCAUGUGUUAAAAAAUUUCAUAUUUACACCCAAUAAGAUUAAUUAAUGGGUGAUACAAAUUUAAGAUAGUUAAUAAUAAUAUAUAUCAUCUUAAGUUAACUUCAACUCAUUAACCUUGUAUAAGGUUUGAUGGGUCGUGCCGCAAAUUAUCACCUCUAAUCCUUUUUGCAACAGGCAUGAUGAAUGCUAACAAAAUGAAACUUCUAUAUAUUUAGUUGUUAUUCUUUUUAAUGAAAUAAUAAGGAGCUUUGCUGCAAAUUUCCAUCCAGCAUGGCAUGGACGCACGUGAAAUUUGCUAGUAUGGUCCUGGACAUGCGUGGCUGAGAUGCUUCUAAAGGCAAAGAAUUCCAAGUUCAUACCAAAUAUAACUUUCUGAUAUUUUUGUGGUAUCAAGUUUGUUUUUCACAAACUAAGGUGUCGGCGUAAAGUUGUUGUCCAUGCAAUGAAGUUUUAUACAUAAAUAUAUUAACCUAAAUUGUUACUAAAGUUCCAUAAUUAGCAGUUCCUGAGAGUUUUUACUAUAUAUUUUUUUGUUUUAAUUCAACAUAUGUUUAUUUAAUACGAUUUUAUUAAAUAAAUGUGCAUAUUUACCAUAUUUGUCUACGAUCAAUUAGUUGGAAAAAAAAAAGAAAAUUAAUAAAUUUAUUUAUUUGAUUGUUAAUGGUUUAGGCAUUUGAAUUCCCACAAAGUCAGGGUGUCAGCUCUGGACUUCUGGUGAUGUAUUUUUCUAAUAAAGAAAUAAAAUAUUGUUGUCAUUUUUUUAAUAUUCUAAUUUACCAAGCCUACCAACCAAUUAAUUUUUCUAAUUAGAUCAUUAAUUCAUUACACGUGCAUUCGCUGGCCCAGUGCUCCAAUCCCAUGCAUGCUGCACAACUCAAUGUGUUUUAAUAAGAAAAGGUUUGGUUAGCCUGUGCUGAUGCCAGAAGCCCCUUAAGGAGUUCAGGUAAACGUAAAUAUGUCCAGAUUUAGAUUUGAAUAUGUAAACGUAAAUAGGUCCAGAUUCAGAUUCGUUGCGCUAGAGAGGGGCACGCACGAUCGGGCUGCUGUCAGGUGGUACGUUGGCGUGGCAAUUCUCAACACGCGCUUCUCCUGGUGCAUACUUACGGCAAGUUGACACGUGACCCGUGUGGAUUGAGUGGACAGAGUCACGGGCACUGAUUUUUGUCAUCCAUAACGACUAACGUCGGAGACUUCGAGAAGAAAGAAAUUGUUGUCGUUUCUAAGGGGAAAAAAAUAUUUAAUUUGUUGAAGACAAAUUAACGUCGGAGAUUUUUUUUAUUUUUUAUUUUUAAUUUUGCAAUCUAAACCAGUCUAAUCAAAAUGUCAAUUUGACAAAAGUUGGACUGAUUUAGAUUAGUUCUAUUAGUUUGAUUGGAUUAAAUUGAAUUAGAUCUUGAACAUCCUAACACUUUUCAUGAAUGUUUUCCUUUUUUUUUGAAAAAAAUUAAUAAGGAGAAUUCCCAUGAAUGUUAAUUUUAUUGAUAAACUUGGCAAUUUUAAGAAAUGUUUUGACGCACGAAUAAUGCAAUUCAUCAACCCACAUAGAUAUGGAUAUAGGAAGCAGAGACCAGAUCGAUCUUGACAUAACGAAAACUUGUAUGUGUAUAUGUAUGUUACAGACCAGAUCGAUCUGUAGCAUAGACUUCUCCUAUAUGUAGGUUAUAUUCAAAUUACAAAAUGAACACAUGUUAAGGAUCUACAACUUCUUCUUUAAUCUAAUAAGCUCCCUCAACUUUAUUCCAAAACAAAAAAGAAUCAAAUUUUUGUUGGAAAUAUUUAUGAAUGAAGAAGCAAAAAGCGCUUGUAUCAAGGAUCUAAUUAAAGAACUGCCAGAGGCAUAGAUCUAUCAAAGCUCCCUCGCAUGACUCUUGGUCUCGGUGGCUUCUUCUUCUUCAUUCCGAAUUUUCCCUCCAUCUGAUCUCUUCCAACCUUUCCAUUUCCAAAUUGAAUUGAAACUUGCCUCAUAUUCGUUUGUUGAAUCCCAUCUUUUGUUGCACCACCAUGCAUCAAAAUCCUUGAAAUCCCAGCAUAAUGCAAGGACUCAGCUAUUUGCAAUGGGGUCACGUUCUUACUUGUCCUUGCCUCAACAUCAGCUCCCUUCUUCACAAGCAAUUCAGUCACAUCUGUGUGGCCAGAUUCCACCGCACAAUGCAAAGCUGUGUACCCAUCUUCAUCUUUAGCAUCAACAUCAAUCCCUUUAUCAAUCAGAAUCCUCACAACCUCAAUCUUUCCCUUAAACGAAGCCCUAUGCAAAGCAGUCCAUCCAUGUAGGUCUUUCCCAUUGAUCGCGGCGCCUGCUUCGAUCAACCUCUGCAUUGUCCUCACUUCCCCUUUCCUAGCGGCAAUACACAGGCUGUCACCAAGCUUCAACGCGUCAAAGAGACGGGAGUGACCGCACUCAGCAGCAACAUCAUAAGCGGUCUUUCCGCUCUUGUUUCUAAUAUAUUUAUUAGCACCCUUCUGCAAUAACAGCUUCACCAUUUGCUCAUAUCCCAAGCUUGCGGCGAUAUGCAAAGGCGUGUCACCGUCUCUAGCGUUGCGUAUAUCAGGCCUUGCUCCGUUUGCUAACAGAAGUCUCGCGCAAUCUCUUCUUCUGUCUUCAACCGCGAGAUGCAGAGCUGUGUUACCAUCUUUUGUUAAAGCAUUGACAUUAGCACCUUUGAUUAAGAGAAGCUUUAGUACUUCCAAAUGGCCGCCUCGUAAGGCCAAGUGUAUGGGCCCCCAUGUUGAUGUUCCUGAUCUUUCUGUGCUGGCUUUCCUCGCCAACAAGAGCUCAACAAUAAGUGCUUCCCCUGCAGCCGCCGCGGCUUCAAGUGGAGUACUGCAGCCACACCUGCCUUGAGACUCAACAUCCGGCCCAAACUCAAGCAAAAGUUGAACAAUAUCAGGCCUCCUUUGAGCUAUAGCAAUAUGAAGCAACGUUUGUCCCUGCGCAUCGGCAGAAUCAGCCGGGUUCCAAGCCGGGUCACUCCGCUCAAGAACCUCUCUUAAAUCAUCCAUUUCACCAUCCUUAACAAGCAGAACCAAAACAGGAGACCCAACGAACAUGAUCUUGAUUCCGCUGUCGAUGAACACUUGCUUCUUCCUCGUUGUGAACCAGUCACUGGGGACGGAAUCAAGCGUCGACGUUGCAUCUUUAAUUCCAGCUCCAGGAACAACAACGCUGUGCAAGAGGAAGGAAUCAUCACAGUGAGGGAAAGAAUCAGGAAGAACCGAUCCUGGAGGGAGAUGAUACGCAAUCUCUACGCUUAGUGUUGCGAGUGGUGAUAUGAUUCCUGAUUGCGGCUUCACAGUAUAACGAGCCUUGUUUGUAGGCUGAAUCCUGAAAGCAACAGGCAUCGUGUGCAUGACAUUGCGGAGAGUCAGCUCCCCGGAACAUUUCUGCCCUGGUUCAAUUCUGAUAGCUACAAGGUUCGACGGCUCCAAGCUUACAAGCCUAUCCAUUGAUUAAUUUUCUCUCCGUUUCCCAAGGACUGCUGAAAGGGGUUCUUUGAACUUUUUGAUUCAGGCUUAUUUUCUUCACUUUUGGUGGCAUGGGGAGGAAUUAGAGGAGUAACUGUAAGAGCUGCAAGUGUUGGUGUAAUCAACUGUAAUAUAAGGAGAAGAGAGGGCCGGCUCUAAUGGGAGACUGCCACGUGGUGGUGUUAAAAACAAUGAGACUUGUUCUGUUCGGCGUCCGGAGUGUAUAUACAGUUGUGUUAGUGGUGAAAGUUAAAGAAAUCCUGAAGUUAUUUUCGGAGUGGCUUCUGCAAAGUCACUUUCAGGAUUGUAUUGUAUCAUUAAAAAACAAAGCCAGUUUUUGUUGUUCUAGUAAAAGGCGAAUCAUUGGACAAACUCGUAAGAAUAUGUUGCCAAAUGUAUAAAAUAUGAAAUUCAAACAAUGAUUACAAUGUGAAAUUGGACAAUGGACAUGGCCUGUGUGAAUUGUUUUGUGGGCUUACUAAUUAAAUUAAUUCACUAAAAAUAAUGUCACUUUUGUGUCUGUGAAGAAGCCGAAAUGGCACAGUCAUUUACGUGGCCAACUACGGUGACUACUUCGUCAGUAGCUGCUCGAGCACUUGGUCAGCACAAGUUGCUUUCUUUCUUGGCGGGAUUAGUUUUUCUUCAUUGCUUUAAGUGGUGCAUUUCUGCAGUUUCAUUUUGCUUUGCUUAUGCCAUUGGAUUUGUGCCCCAUAAAUAAAUAUAUAAUUAAGCGGAAAAGUAUCAAAUUUUGAAAAAGCUUAGGUUUUGUGUGUGUGUGUGUGUGUGUGUGUGUGUGUGUUUUAAGCCGAAUUACUCGGCUAAAAAUUAAUCCGAUUAUUAUUGUUUUGGUGCUUAAGAUGUGACUCUAACCUAAAGCUCAUUUGAACUCUCUUGAUGCUCAUAUGGUAUUUUUUGUGUUGUGUCGUGCUGGCCCUUACACAUCUCGGCUCAUAUUUUUCAUGUUACUAAGUUCUAAUAUGUACAAAAGAAAUAGAGCAAUGUCCGGUGGUAGAUCCAAACACUCAAUUUGGGGUGCUUAUUUUUCAGUCUCAAAUUCGAUUAUUUUCUUUUAAAAUAUUAAAAUAAUAGUAAUAAAAUACUUAUUUUAAAUACUGAGCUCAUUACAACCACAUAUGUAAAAGUAUCAUUUAUAUUUUUUUUCUAAAUAAUCUUCACAAAAUAUUUUAAAAAAUAAAAUUAUGUGACUAUGGGGAUUUGAACCAAGUCUCUCAAACUACUAAAUAACACUUUUACCACUAAAUUACAAAUCUUUUAACAUAUUAAAAGUGCAUCCAAAUUAUUAUUAUUAUUUAAUUAUUUCAUAAGAGAUUUGGGGCACAUUUAAAAGAAAAAAAAUUAAUGGUGCAUAAAGGACUAAAGCCUCUCUUGAGUCCUUGACCUUAACUAGGUCCACCCAUGGUAAUGUCAGUGAUACCCAACUUGAAAAAUAUACAAGAAACUUGGAAAUUUAAAUUAAUGAAUAAAUAAAUAAAUAAAAGGAAACUUAGUGAUUGUAGCUGUUGUAUUGUAUUGUGGAUCAAAGAAUUACAAGUUCUUGGUUUCUCGGUAUUGGCUAAUUUUGAAGUUAAAUGAAGUUCGAAAAUAUUUACAAGCAAUAAAAUUAUCAACUGAAUGAGACAAGGAAAGAGUAUAAAGACCUUAGCAAAUUAGCAAUCCUUCUUUAAUUUAGUAACAGUGACGCUUAUAAAGUUAGAAGACGUAUCAAAUCUAAUUUAGAUUUUGCCCCAUAAAACUAACUUAACUUAUAGUGCGUCUUUGUUUAAUUAGUAAAUAUUCCACAAAAACUGAUCAGCACUUUAUAGGAAAUUCCAAACACGUUUAUAUUCACAAGGAAUAUGUCAAGGAGAAAUGAGAAUAAAAAAAUGUAAAAACUAAUAAAGCUUCAUUAAUUAGAAUUUAUAACCAUAUGUGCUCCUAUACUACUUUUAUUAUUAAGAAUUUGAAGUAGAAGGUAGUUGAUUAUCAUGAAAUUACAAAAUUGUAAACGGAUUUGUUCUUUUGGAAAAAGAAAAAAAAAAAAAAAGGAAGGAUAGUUGAUUACUUGAUUAGUGAGAAAUCAUACGUAUAAAGGACAAAUUGAAAAAUGGGACCUGAAUUGCAACAAAGCUUCAUUGGAAUUAACUGCCGAUAAAAUUAAAUUAGUAUCACCCUACCCUUUCAUCUUAAUAUAUUCGAAAUUUCACCGAUCAAAGUUUCUAGCUUCGAUUUUUACGAUCUCUCAUCCUAAUAACACCAAAAGCAUAUUCAUUCGUUUGUAAGAUUAUGUAACAAAAUAUAGUAAAUAGCCUAUAAUUUUUUUGUUUUACUACUAACCUGUUAUCAUUCUUUUCUAAUAAUACAUGUUAAAAUAUUCACAGAAAAAAUUUAUCCCUAUUACACCCAACCACCUUUUUUUGUGUUUUUUUUGUUCAAAUUUUAGCAUUAAAGGGACAAUAAUGUCCUAUGAAAUAUGCAGAAAGACAGUUAAUAAUAUUCAAAAAUGUAAGUGGAGGUAUCUUACGCCACACACACAAAUUACACGACUCUCAUUAAUGUGUUGUUGUUGUUAUGUGUGGCGUAAGUUACAGUUGAAUGUCAUAUUCAAAAAAGUAAGUGGAGGUAUCAAUCUCCCUAAAUAAAUAAUUUAUGGAAGGUUGUUAGCUGUUGUACUUUUAGUUAAUUUUAAAAUCACAAUAAUAUGGUUAAUGUUAAGUUACAUGCAUGUAACUUAGGAGGAUCCCAAUAAUAUACCAUAUUUUAUUAAUAUGUACAGUAUUUAUAAUAUUUAAAAAUUAAGGAAUUAAUGUACGCAUGUAAAAGCUGCAUUGGAGCCAGUUGGAAAUCUUACUGUCUUGAUAUAUGCAACGAUUGUAGCAGCUAAAAAGGCAUGAUAUUUACUUAAUAUUAUUUCAAACAAUAAUUAUUUAUUUAAAGCAAAUAAUAAUAAUGAGGGCAGAAGGACUAUUCUAGGAUCAAUAUGGUGACAGUAUAAAUAAAUAAUAUUAAUUAUUAAUGCAUUGAUGAGUAUUGUUAAAAUGACAUAAUAGGUUUGUUUCAUUGAAUUGAACCUUUUCUCUUAAAAUAGCUAUAAUUUGUUCUCUCUCUCUCUGUGUUUUUGUUUUUGUUUUUCACUUUAGUUUUACUUCUCUUAAAAAACCAAAAAAAAAAAAACAAAAUUAAUGGAAACUGAUGAUGGGAAGACGGACAAUUUUCUAUAUUGUUAAAUAGAAAUGGGCACAAAUGUGAGUUUUUUGGGGCAAAAAAAUAUAGUCAAUGUACGUAGCGUUUGUCUAUUUGAAAACCCGUCAAUAUAAAAACAGGACGUAAAGCUUUCAGACAAAGUACUCUUAUGGCCGUACUUUCCAUAAACCAAAUCAAAAGAAGGAAAAUAUUUGUGUCUGGCUUCGAUGCGACUGUUAACAUUCACAAAUAAACACCUUUGCAUGGUCAGAAAAAUUAACAAGAAAUUAGAAGGCGAUGUUGCGUUCUACUUAGUUCUCUAGGAUUUGUGUCAUUUGUUUAUGCUACGGUUCGUUCCCAUUUGCAUUGCGUGGAAUAAUUGGCCGAAUAUUAUUAAUCUCAAUCUUAAUCUCUCAACUCUUGUCCCUUUAAUUUUUGUUUGUAUCUUUUUCUUUUUUUUUUUAAAUAUCACAUACAAUGCUUUUAAUAAAUAACUUCAUAGAAAUAUUUAAUAAAAUCCAACAUAUAUAAGUUCAAGAAACUCAAAAAAUAAAAGAAAAUAAACUCACGUUGUCACUGGAGAGACUCAAACAUGCUACCUUAAAAUUAAGUAGAGGGUGCAACUACUUGCACUUUAAAAAAAGAAAAGAAAAAAAAAGGGGCUUUGAACGCUCGUGAUAAUUUGCAAGUUAUGGAGGAUAAUCAUUGUACAAUGGGGAGAACUCUUAUGGAACAAUAUUCAAACUGAUAUUGAAAGCAUAUAAGAAUUUGGCUUGGGUGUUUUGGUGCCAUGAAUGAGUGCAGAAACAAAGAGGAAGCUUUGUCCCUUUAAUUUGAUCUGCUGUAUUAUAAUUAUUGAGAUUAAUCAAAUAAAUAACCGAAACAUGGUUACAGUUUUAUAGUGUAUUGCAAGUCUUUGGAGAUACUAUGUACCUCAAAAAAAAAUAUCGUAUAAAAGAGUGUUUUGUUUCACAGGGGUUCAAUGAGAUUUGAGAUGGCUGUAAUGAAAGUGAUGUAAAUUUUUUGGACUCUAAUGAGGUGUUUUUAGAUGGAGGGGGAUUUACAAGUAUUUUAUAGGGGUGAUAAAUGACUGUAUACCCACCAAAAAGGCCCAUUGUUCGAGUCCAUGAGCAUUACAGUUUUUUUUUUUUUUUUUUUUGAAAUUCAGAACAUGCAGUUUGUUUGAUUCAACUUCCGAAUUACAAAAUUAGAAUAAGAAAAAAAAAUGUGGAUGUUUUUUCUUUAAUUUACAUAAUAAUACAUGGUGUGGACGAUGUCUAUUGAGGGAUAAAAGAGGAAUGGGGGCACUGUGAAGUUUGUGUUUUUGUUUUUUUUAAAUUAUCAUAUUCAUACUGUCUAUAAAAAUAUGCAAGUUAAAAAAUUACUCAUGAUAUUGUUGUUUUUGUUUCAUAUAAUACUACUUAUGCACAUCGCCUCAUGCAAACAUUUCUUAGUUAUGCUUAAAAAAAUGAGAUUCUCACCAUGGGUCACUGUAAAAAUCCACAGAAGCCGUGGAUCACAGUAGGAAGCCCACUUGAACAGAAGAAGCUACCGAAAGCUUCGACAUUGUAUUUAUGAAAUGCUUAGUAAAUUUUGUUUUAUUUUGAAUUUAUAUUAUAAAUGGUGUGUUGCUAAAUUAAAAAAUAAAAAAGAAAUGCAAUGUGUCAAAAUACAAGAAUCUUACGGACAUUUUUGUCACAAUAUAUGUAAAUAAUUCAUAUCUUAUUCAUAUCCUAUGUAAGCUUCACUUGUUUAACACAAUGGUGGUUGAAUCUUCAAAAAUUCAUAAUCUUAAACAACCAAAUUUGGAAUUAAUUAAGCAAAUUGCCUCUAUAAAUUGAUUACAACAACCAACGACGUGUGAAGCCACAUGUCAAUUUCCCUAGACAGCCCAAAUAUUGAGGCGCUGUGAGGGAGCAAGGUGCAAUCGGAUGGGGGAAAGAGAGAGAGCCAAUGGUGAGAAUGGAUCGUGGUGAGGGAGAACCAACUGGUGGUGAGAUUUGUGGCUUCAAUGAGGUGAGUUUCGUGGCGCUGUGAGUGAAGUGAGAUUUGGCAUGAGUGUGAGGGAGAAUGCGUGUGUUGUGUGAGUGAGGUAAGCUGUGUCUGUUGUGUGCAUGGAGACUCUCACCACAAUUAGAAUUUAUAGUUAGCACAGAACGAAACACAAUAUUCUACGCUAACUGUGGAGUUAACCAUGGUGAGAAUAUCAUUAUUGUUUAUUAUAACACUUUUUUUUUUAAUUUGUUUUGACAAUAAAAUAAAGAACCUUGUAAGAAAACCUCAAUAACUCAAUUAAAAAACCAACUCAACCGAUGAUAGGUAAAUUGAGAAAUUUUCAACUAAAAAUUAUUAAGAUUGGUUUUAACUUCAAAUCAUAGUCACAUAGUUUUGUCCUUAUAAAGAUCAAAAUAAUGAAUUCUAACUCCGAAGUUUUUAGAUUUAUGUGACGAACUGACGAUAGUAUAUUGAAAUCGAUUGAAAUGAAAAAUUUAAUUAAAUGCAAUUCAAGAUGUAGUAUCAAAUUCAAACGAUUCGGAUUGUUUUAAAAAUUUCAAUGCUUUAAUCUAAAUCGAUUAAUCAAUUACACUCUUGCAAUUAUAUACCGUUAAAACUAAAAUAUGUAAAAUUUAGGGUGCAUUUAUUACCAUUUUCAAUUUGUUGUUUUUCGUUUUAUGAAAAGGAAAAUACAGAAAACUUGUUUGGUGAGCUCAUAUUGGUGGAAAACUGUACAGUGAUUAAAAACAAAAAAAAAUUCAUUUUUCAAUGUUUACAAAGGAAACAAGAAAACGCUAUUACACUGGGUUCUCUAUUUUAUUUCACUUUUACUCUCUGCCAAGGCCCUACCAUCUUAACUUUUAUAACAUGGUGUAAUAAAUUACGUGGGCCCAUUUAAUAAAGAAAUAAUCUAAUAAAUAAAUUAUUAUAACAAAUAUUUAAAAAUAAUAGCAUUCCAUACCUUACAGCUUAAUUACUUAAUAUAUUACCCAAAUUAUUUUAAAUAAAAAGUGAUAUCAUAUAAUUAUUAUACUAAAUUAUUACAUUGUUCGACCAAUAUGCAGUUAUUUAAAAAUUACUACAAACUUUCUUACAUAUAUUAAUGAAAAUAUAUCAAUAAUAAAGUUACAUCUUGACAGUUAAUAUAAAUAAAUAUAUGAUAAUUAUGAAAUAAUUAAAGAUUUUCUCAAUUAAUAUUAUCUUAUAACUACAAUUUAUUUACAUAAUUAAAAGUUUUUAAGAAAUUAUUAAAAUAUCUUCAAACCUAUAUGCAUUUAUAAUAAUAUAUAAUACAUCAUAAUAUAAUAACUAAAUAGAUAAAUUAUUUAUUAAUAUAAAAUAUAUGUUUAUAUUCAUUAUAUAAUAUUAUUCUUUCAUAGUAGUUUCAUUAAAUAAUUCUCUACUCUCUCUCUUUUUAUCUUUAUUUUUUCGGACAGACAAGUAACCAAACACCGCUUCACCUUUUUUUUAUUUUCAAAUACUAUUCUUAAAAUAAACUACCAAACAUAUUUUUAUUUUUAACAAAAACUAAUCAUUUUUAUUUUAUAAAACAAAUUGAAAAGUACUAUUUAAAAUAUAAUACCAAACUUACCCUUAAUAAUUUUAUAUUUGUCAAAAAGAUGAGAAGCUAAGUGGCACUAUCGUUUACCUAUUCAAACUAAACGUGGAGUCACAAUAUUGAAGACACUUUGGUGGCCACAACACUCUUUUCUUUAGUACGGAACAAUCUGGCUUACAUGACACUACAUAAAAAUAAAUAAUAAAAAAUCACCGAUUCCAACUGCCCCGGACAAAAAACAGGCCACACGUAAAAAGGCUUCUAUUUUUAUUUUUAUUUCUCCCCAUUUUAAAGAUGACGUCAUGGUGAUUAUGAAACCAGAAAAUAACAAAUUUUAGUUGUCUGAUUUUGUAGUUAUCCAGCGAAAACUAAAAAAACAGUGAACGCAGCAGCAGAUCUCCGUGUUUGUCGUCGUUCGAUGAGAGAUUCCGAUUCGUGAGCAUCGCAAGUGUUGAAAUGGAAUCAGACGAAAUGAGGAGUUAGCCUCUUAUUAUAUAAUAAUAAUAAUGAUAAUAAUAAUAAUAACUAAUCUCUUUUAUCAUAUAAUUGAUAAUGGAAAUUCACAUUGACAAAAGGCAAAUUACACACUGACUGGGCAGAAUAAAAAACAGUCUCUCUCAAAAGCAAUAAUUUAAACACUAACACCACCUUAAGGAGACACCCCAAAAAUAAAGCAGCAAGCUCUUACUGUGACCACACACACACACACACACCAAACUUUUAUUAUAGAAUAAAUCUAAGAUGAUGGAUGAUGGAUGCGUCACAUAAAAGUUAAUUAAUUUAAUCGCUGUCACUGCUGCUGCUGCUCUCGUGUCCGUCCUCGUGCUUCUUCUUCUUCUCCUUCUUUUUCUUCUUCUCUUCACCGUGGGCGGCGCCCUCGCCGCCGCCGACACCGGGGAUCUUCUGCUUGAUCUUGUCCACCAAGCCCUCCUUGUGUUCGCCCUCCUUGUGUUCCCCGCCGUGAUGCUGCUGCUGAUGGUGAACAUCAGUAGUGCCGACACCGGGGAUCUGCUGCUUGAUCUUGUCCACCAAGCCCUCCUUGUGUUCGCCGCCGUGAUACUGCUGCUGAUGGUGGACAUCAGUAGUGUGGUGGUCCCCACUAUGGUGCUCUCCCUUGUGCUUGUCCUCCUCCUUUUGCCCUCCUCCCAUGUGAAGGGCUUCUCCGAUCUUGUGAAUAACUCCUGACAUUUUCCCUUAAAAUGACUCUGUUCCUCUUCUUUUCUUUUCAAUGAAAAAUAGUUGUUUGCGAUCUUCUUCUGGUUGUUGUUGUUCUUGUUGGGUGAUCUUGGCUUGGUAUUUAUAGGCUCCAAAAGGAGGGACUAGAAUUAGGAUUAGAUUAUAGAUUAUUUUAAUACAUUUUAUGGCAAAUUCUGAUUUGGAAAGAUAAGAUUAUCCUUUUGGUUUUCCUUAUUUACCCUUUUGCACCCAUUACGUGUACGCGUCUUCGUGGGCUUUUUGGGUAUUUCAAUUAUAUCGCCAAUGCUAAAUCGACACGUUGCAUAUCAGCCGCGGUACUGCCGUAUGUAGUUGUCCAGAAAUCGAGUCGAUUCUCGAUCGUACAAUAAUUAAAUAAUAUUUCAUACGAAAUGAGUUUAGAUAUAUUUUGAAAAUUUAUUUUUAAUUUAAUUAUACGUGUUAUAUAUUUGUUAAUCGAAUAGAGGUCCCACGUAACAGAGUGUUUCUCUAAUCUUUCAUUGCUUUUAAUUAAUUUUACCCAAAUAAAAAAAAAAAGGAAAAUUUAGAGAGAGAGAGAGAGAUAGCGAAUUAGAAGUUGAUUGUAAUAUCGACACCUGUCAGACAAUCAAAUAUCGUUAGUUAAAAAUCAGUUGUCCAUAGUCAUGGUCAUAGAUGGCGAAAUUGAUACUUAUUUUAAAAAACAAAACAAAACAAAACGAAACGAAACUAAACUAACAGAUGUUGAAAUGCAGUUCCGUGUUAACAGUCUGUGAUGAAUCUUUAUCUUUGAGUAUACCAUUCAAGAAAUUAUCAUUCAAAAAUUUAUUUAAAGCAGCAGCAAAUCACCUUCUAAUUCCUGAAUCAAAUUAAUUCGAUUUUUUUCGAGUCGAUCAAUUCAUUAGAGAAUUAACGGGCUAAGUUAAAGUUUUGUUAGUUAUUUUUUUUUAUAUUCCUUUAGAUGAUAUGAUUGUCAUUGUCUUUCUUUCUCUGGGCAACAAUAAAUACAAGAUGUGCAAAAGCGUAGUGGAACAUAAUUCGAUUAUGGGUAAAGGGAUCAGUCCGCAUAAUGAGGAUAAAGUUUUUCUCUUUAAAAAAAUUUAACCCAAAGAAAAGGUCGUAGUUUGUAAUAGCCGACACGCAGAUAGAUCACAAAGCAUGGCGGUCCUGAUGGCAAUAACUAACUGAUAUCUUCUGCGAUGAGAGGAGAUCACGUGGUUCUGACACGUAUCGCCCCAUCAACUGAUGUUGUGGCUGCAAUCGCGGCCCAGUCUUUAGAGAGAAGAAAGAUCUGUUAUAACGGGACCUACUUUAGCAUCUAUUUACGACAAAGCCCCUAUUUACUCUACUUAGUAGUAAUAAUAGCAAGUGUCGGGCUUGGAUUCCGUGUUGCUUUAAAUAAAUAUCCGCGUAAAAAGAAAAUGCUUCUUUAAUCCCUUCCUUGUAAUUUUUCGACACGUGGAUGGUUGAAAUUAGCGUGCCGACAUCUUAGGAAUUUUAUCUUGGAGACGGGAACACUGCAGUAGGCAAUGCCAUUUUCUUCGGAUGGUGUGUGGUGACAACGCCUUGGAUUUUGACGUGCAAAGAAUUUAAAUUGAAAAAGAAAAAAAGAAAUUACCAGAAUAAGCAUAGAAGAGAUAUUUUUCUUUUUGUCCUUUUUGGAAUGGAAAAAGAGAUCAAGAGAUUGUUCCAGUAAGUAUUACACAUGUCACAGGCUUAUUCAUGCCCCAUUAUGGCAACUUUUAUGCCUCGCGGUGCCCUCGGUUCCAGCAUAAUAGCUAAGACUUCAAUUUUUCUAACAUAUUUUUGUUACAAAUAUGAACGGAGUAAAUGUAUAACUUUAAUCCUUUGAAUAAAGAAAUGGCGGUUCUCCUGCUCGUUAAUCUCACUUGAAUCCCACCCAGGCAAAAUUUCUUUAUUUUAUUUAACAACAAUUUAAAGAAAGAAACUUUUGCCAGGUUGAAUUUCAAGUGAGAUUCAUUCGUGGGAGAAGUGCCAUUUCUUUAUUCAAAAGAUUAUGGUAAUUACAACUUUCAAUUUCGACAUAAAUUAAAAUUAUAGGCUAUACAAUAAAAUUGCCCUAAAUUAGUCCUAAUCAAUUCAGAUUAUAAAUUUAGGUAUAUUUAUUAUUUUAAUAUAUUAAUGUUCUAUAUAUAUAUAUAUAUAUAUAUAUAUAUGUGUGUGUGUGUGUGUAUNNNNNNNNNNNNNNNNNNNNNNNNNNNNNNNNNNNNNNNNNNNNNNNNNNNNNNNNNNNNNNNNNNNNNNNNNNNNNNNNNNNNNNNNNNNNNNNNNNNNNNNNNNNNACAGCAGAAAAUAUUUGCUAUGGAUAAGGAGACAUGGUCCCACGUCCCACCGUCCCAAUGCAUAUUUUGUAUGUUUCCAUCUUUUCUGAAAUUUUAAUAAAUAAAGUUUUUUGACCACUUGGCCAAAGAACCUUACCCUUACACAACUUUGUGGUUGGAGUCCUGUGAUACAUGUAAGAACUUAUUUUUUUUCUUAAUUAUAAUAUUUUAGAAUAUAAUUAAGUGAAGUAGGUUUUUUUUUUAAAUAUGAGUAAAAUAGAUAUUUUUUAAAUAUUAAAGAGAGUAAAAUUUGAAUAAUAAUAUAUUAAAAUUAAUACAAACUAAUUUUAAUAAUUAUUUAAUUAUAAAUAUCAAUUAUAACAUCAUAUAAUAUCAAUUAUAAUAUCGUACAUCUCAAUUAAUUCAAUAAUAAUAAUAAUAAAUGUUUUUUGGGAUAAGUAAACAGUCGCAUGGCGACAAUAGUGGAUCUGGAUUAGAGUGAAGUGGUCCCAAGAGGCUGAGGCUGUGGCUGUGGAGUUCUAAAAGUCAAAAGCUCCACGCACUUUGUUUCAGUACCAUACACACUGAAAAAAUUUGCAUUUGCAAUGACGAAAACUUUUCACGAAAUCAAAACACCUCUAAACUAUUUUGUUAUCGAUAUUUAAUGGAGGGGUUUCCUACCUUUUUAACACUCGAUUCACGCCUUGACGCAUCUCACAGAAAACCUCAUGAUCCCAUUAAUCUUGCGUAACAUAUCUCAAAGCCAAUGCAAGUGAUCUUGUUGCCUACUUCCCUUUGACGAUUCAAAAUUGUUGAAAAUAAUUCUUUUUUUUUUUAACCUCAAGGAAGUGACAAAAUAUAAAAGAAUAUUUUCUACACAUUAAACAUCUAGAUUUUUUUUUCUUUUCUUUUUAGAGUACUUGCACAAACCGUUUCCAAGAGAGACCUUUUUUUUUUUUUUUUUUUUCCGGGCUUGGUUACUAAUUUGGUGUGAAUACUCUAUGGUGAAAAAGGAAUCACAAAGCUGUAAUCAAUUUUUUUGCAUCAUUUAGUUGUAACUUGAACAUUGGGAGGUUUAUAAAGAAUUAAAUUAAUUAUAAUGCCUCUACUAGGAAAAGUUCAGAGUAGCCCUUCACAACUUUUUAAAGGCUUAAUAAUUUUCGCUUUCUUCCUCUCAUAACAUAACAAAAAAUUAAGAGCUUUACUCGUACACGUCCUAUGGCUAUAUAGUAUUGGGUUCUCUACUUCAAUCGGCUAUCUCAAACCGAAGGUUAUUUGGACACACCAGCAGUCACGUUUGGAAACUCUCAAAUGCUUGGAUUGUAAUUCUUGUGGAUGAGAUCAUCUAAAUCUUGGGCCCAAGCCGGACAAUGGGUGGACAAAGAACCCUAAAAUACAGUAAAGCUUCUAACACCCCACUAAAACUCUUAAGAAAUCCUACCUUUUAUUUUUAUAUCUCUUUCUUUUAGAAAUUAUAGAGAAGACAUAGCAUUUUAAUUAUUUUCCCUGCCAUUGAAAAUAAAUUCUGUAAACAUAUUUUUUCAUAAUAAAAUUAUUGUUAUUAGAUAAUUUAUUUCUUCAUUGUUUCAAAAUUAUUAUAAUUUUAUCAACAAAAUUAGUUAUGUCAUAUAUUAGGAUUAAAAUUAAUUAGGAUCCAUAACUUGUAAAGACAUUUUAGUUUAAUUGAAUUCAUAUUUGUCAUUUUAUGUAAUUUUCAAUAAAAAUACGACUAUGAGUGCAAAAGUGGGAUGACAUAAUAUUAAAAGAGUGUGAAAUAAUCGGUAAUUGAAAUGGAUUGAAAUCAUAAUAGAGUAUGAAAAUCAGAAUAAAUUGUUUACUUUAGUUGUAGAAAUCAAAAUUAAAAUAAACCAUAUUAUCAUUGAUGUAUAUAUGUUUUCUUGUAAUCGAAAUGAAUUCUUAUAAGUUACUAUAAGACCCUUAUGGUGUGUUUACUAAUCAGAAAUCAGAAUGGAGUGGAAUUUGAAUAUAGAAUGGUAGGGGUAUUCGCGGAUCGGAUUUUACGGAUUGGACAUUAAUUCAUAUCCGAUCCAUAAUUUUACGGAUUAUAAAUUCUCAACACAAUCCAAAUCCAAUCUAUAUGUUUGCAGAUCGGAUGCGGAUUUGACUCAAUUCAUAUCCAAUCCACUAUUUGACGGAUUGAUUUUGGAAUUAAAAAUUUUUAAUUUUGUCCAAUCUAUGAGGUAAUUAAAUUUAAAAAUCUAAUAUAAAAAUAAUUUAUUAAAUAAAAAAUUAACGUAAAAAUAAUUUUACUACCAAUUAAAUUCAAAAUUGAACAAGAUUUAAAUAAAUUAAUUAUUUAAAUAAAACUAGAAUAAUUUAUUUAAAAUUUUUAAAUAUAACAUAUCGAAAAAAAAUUCAUUUGUUUAGAUUAAUAUAUGAAAAUUAACUAAAAUUAUGAAUUUAAAUGUUGAAAUUUGAGAGCUUGGAUGUAACAGGAAGAAAUUAAGAAACUUGAAGAACUUGAAAAGAAAGUAACAAAUUAAGCUUAACUACCUCUAAUGGUGAAGUGAAACAGUGAUGGUUUGUGCGUGCAAUGGGGUACAAAUUUGGCAUUAUAUGCCAAAAUAUUUUGUUUGGCUUUAGAAUUUUUAAUGUUUAGGAAGCUAUAUUUGUUUAUUUAAUUACUCAAAUAUUUAAUUAUUUUUUAUUUUAUGUUAUUAUUGAAUAAGAUAUAAUAUUGUGUUAAUUUAGCUAUACUUUAAUUAAUUAAUUAAUUUAUUAGUAAGUAGCAUUGCUACAUUUAUAAGUUUUAUUUUUUAUUAAAUAAAUACUUUUUUUUUUCAGAUUCACGAAUUUUUACGGAUUUACAGAAAUAAAUCCAUAUCUAAUCCAUCGACUGUGGUUUUUUAAAUUUUCAUUCCAAUCCGAUCUACCAAUCCACAAAUUAUAUUUUUACGGAUCGGACGAAUUGAGCGGAUCAAAUUGGGUUCUGAACACCCCUAGAGAAUGAGAAUCAAAAUAAAUUAUUUACUUUAGUUGUGUGAAUCGGAAUUGGAAUAAAUUGUACUGUCAUUGAUGUGUUUACUUUAUCUUGGAAUCAGAAUGAAUAAUUUCAAAUUACUAAACUGACCUUAAUUUUUUAUUGUAAUAAUAAUAGUAGUAGUAGUAGUAAUAGUAGUAAUUUUCUAUUAUUAUUAUUAUUUUCUCUCUCUUUUGUUUUUAUUUUUUUAUUUUUCUCUUCUUCUUCUCUUCCUCUUUUUUUAUUUUUCUCUAAUUCAUCGAUACUUCUUCUUCUUCUUUUUUCUUUCGUUUUUAUUUUUAAUUUUUCCCUUCUUUAUCGUUCCUUCUUCUCCGUCCAUUCUCUAUCUUCAAACUCUUUUUACUUUUUCUCUUAUUCUUCAUUACUUCUUCUCCCUUUUUUUUUUUUUUCUCUUCUUUAUUAAUUCUUCUUCUUCUGCGUCUAUUCUUCAUCUUCAAAUUAUCAAGUGAAAAAUACCCACGGUGCCUUACAAGAAGAAUUGGUUUUGUUUGCUUCAAUUAUUUUUUGUAUUUUGUACUUUUGAUUGUUUCAAAAGAGGAUAAACUUGUAAUAAUGCAAUUUAAGUAGGGAUGUUUUAGACAAUUUUGGGUAUGAGAGUCUAAUUCCCAACCCCCCACUCCCUCGUAGCAGACUCCCAUUCUUCAUUCCUAACUUGGUGUUGGACCUACUAAAAUAAAUCCCAUUCCCCUUCUUAUUUCAAGAAGCAAACACGAUUUUGAUUUCAAUUCCCCAAUCCGAAAGUAAACGCACAAAAAUUGUACCCAUAUGAGAUUGCUUAUCCUCGAGUUUUUAGAUUGAAAAAAAAAAAGGAAAAAAGAAUGGCCCCAUUAGGAAGGGAUUUUAAGUGUUAGAUAAAGCCGGUGUUAACCAUUAGAAGGUCUCCGACCUUCAACUGUAAUAUAUUAAACCCAGAUAAAUUUACAUAUAAAUCACACAAACCAACAUGCCAAUCAAAUAAAUUACAUCAACUAACAACAAUUGACACAUUAAUUUUCAUAAUACAGAGGAUGCAGAAAAUUAAAAUGUUUUAUCUUUUCUCCUUAUUUGUGAAUUGGAAAAUGAAAAUGUUAAACAUACAGAAGAGUGAAACAGGAUGGAUAUAUAUACACACACACACACACACAGCUUUGGAGUUCAAUGUCAUCGUAUUGCUCCAAGAAGAUUGGCGCCAUCAAGCUUUGCACCUUCCAGAUGCUGUUUAAUCAUCACCAUAACACCUUCAGUAGACAUUAAUACAUAAUAGAAACACAAAAUUCACAUGAUCUGAAUGUCUGGUCUAUUUUACUUACCGUAUCUCGAAGAUUUACGUGCCGUAAAUAAGCUCUUUGAAGGUUGGCACCCUUUAAAUUGGCAUUACGUAGCUUUGCACCCUGCCGCAUAAAUGUUCGAAGUUUCAACAAAUUAAAGUCUCCUGAGAAAUACAUGUCACGAAAAAGUAGGGCUGAAACUUGCAUCUAAUGUACAAGAUUCAAUCAGGGGUGCUUGUCCCACAGUGAAAGUGUAUGGGGGAAAGUGCACUUUCACAAACCAAAGGGGCAAGAUGUGAUUAUCACACGAUUACAAAAGGACUGUAGUCAAGAGAGAGAACUGAACAUGCAGCUUGUAUUGAGGCCAUGAAAAUUGAUGAAAAGCAGUAACAAGCAACCAUUUUGAAAACACUUCAUAUGGUCGAAUCAAUAAAUCAAAGCUAAAAUGAUGUUGACGAUCGAUAGCUUUUAGGUGAUAAGAGUCUUGGCACUACAGUUAAAAUUAUUAUCUAGGAGUGCACACAUUAAUAAAAAAAAACACAACCAAUAAGCAUGCACUCUUAAUCAGCAUAUAAAUUAACAAGUUAGUUGCACCUUAUGUUGUUCCACAAACAGAUUGCUCGAACAAUUCACAAUCUUACCUUCAAAUUAGCUCCUUCCAAAUUAGCUCCCUCUAGGUUGGCAUUAGUAAGAUCAGCAGUCUGAAAAGUCAAGAGGACAAACAGAUUGCAAUUUGAUUAAAAUCUCAAAGUAGCAACAUUCUGCAUGAAAGAAGAGCAGCACAAUUGGCAACAUACAUUUUAGAUUAAGAGGAUGGGAUAAAAGCAAAAUUACAAGGACAUGAAGCAAAUGAGCCAUGUUUAGUAUGGCAAUUUUGACCCAAUAAUUGUGGCAGGUCUUGGAGAUAACAUAGGCAUACACAUAAGGCAGAAGCAAAUACUGUCGCAAACUCCUAGCUAACUACAAAUGUUCCAUAUAGAAAAAAACACCUGCAAAAGUAAGGGAAAAAGCAACAGAUAAAGAACUCAAGAUGCUAGACCUGUAAGUGUGCAGAUCGCAGGUCUGCUCCACAGAAGCUGCAGUCUAUCAAGCAAGCAUCUGCAAUGAUUUAAGAUAAAUUUGAAUCCAAAUGACAUUUUACCGCAAGUAGUUCCAGCCAUUUUGGGAACAAACAAGAAAUGCUAUUUUGUAUUCAUUGUAAUUCCUUAAGCUAAAUAACAAUCAUGUGCUAUCUUAACCAAGGUACAGUUGCAAAUUCUGAAAUUGUGAUGCCAUAGGUUGUUCUUAAUCUUUUUGAACUGAAUAUUGAAAAAAUAUUCCUUCAAUCAUAAAUGUUAAAUAAUUAAAAGAACUGUGAGGGGGGNNNNNNNNNNNNNNNNNNNNNNNNNNNNNNNNNNNNNNNNNNNNNNNNNNNNNNNNNNNNNNNNNNNNNNNNNNNNNNNNNNNNNNNNNNNNNNNNNNNNNNNNNNNNNNNNNNGGGGGGGGGGGGGGGGGAAUGAAUAAGCGGAUGCAUACAGAAAAUUAUGGAAAAUCUGUUAUGGAAAUAAUAUGAAAAUGGGUAUGCAUAACUACAUACUGAAUCUUGACUAAUUUCAAUUUAAUUCAGAUAAGAAAUUCCAGUAUGGGAAUUGCCUUGUAAAUUUGCACUCUGAAGAUUUGCACCAGCUAGUAAAGCUCCACGAAGGUUUGCCCCAGCAAAUUCACAUCUUCCCUAGGCAAGAUAAAACCCUUAAAAGGCAAUUUUGAAAAAUACAUAUAAUUGGGAGAAUAUCCAGUAUUGCUUUGACUCUCUUACUCACGCAAAGUUGCAUUGUGAAAAAUGGAACCCUCAGCAUCCACAUCCUGUAUCAAGAACAGACAGAUUCAGUAUGAUUAAUAUAACUGGUUGCUGGAAGACAGGACAAAAUCGCAUCUUGUCACUGUCAACUUGCAUGUUAAGAAUUAAACACGAAAACUGCAUGCUGUCCAAUUAUAAGAAACCUAUAAAAUUCAAAUCAACAUCAAUACUGGCUUAAGGAAGAUAUAAAAAUAAAAAUUAUACCAACCCGAAAUUUCGCAGAUUGAAGAUUUGCACGUGAGAAGAAAACAUUUCUAAGACACGCAUAGCUGAAGUCCACAAGUGAAAGAUCCUGGCCAUUUUAAUAAGAUAGCAUCAGAGGAAACAAUAUCUAAUGAAUAUAUAAUGUUCUUUCUUGCUUAUCUGAGAAUACUAAUGAGAUUAUCAAAAAAACUCUAAGCUACUGCUAAGAAGUCUUGUGUUACAUGAGUAUGAAUUGAGGAGGUAAAGAAGACCCUUCUCCAAUAAGUUACCAUAGAAGCCACAUAAAACCCUAAAGCAGUUACAAACUUACAAUGACCAGAAUAAACCACCCCAACUAUCUAUUGGCAAGUAAAAUCACUUCUCUGGAUUUCUGAAAACUAGCAAAACAAAUGCAUAAAUUGGCAAAUUCGAUGAUUUCCUCUGAAAACCAAAUUAUAGCAGACAUAAAACUUGGAAGUAUUCAUAGAAUAAAAAUCUUUCAAGCACCUCAAUUCAGUAAUUAUUACCAGCUUAGAAAGAUCAAGGCCAGAAAGAUUAAGUCCUCGAAAUCUGACUUUUUCAGACUGUAUACACUUGAUGAUAUCAAUGCGUGUUAGCUCAGUAUCUAACUCAUUAUCUUCCUUUCUCUUAUUUAUGACAGCAUGGAUUCUCUCAAUUAGUCCCUGAAAUGAAACACAUUAGAUGCAAACUAUUAUUUGAAAAAAGAAAUACAUUUUAUCCACUAACACACAUGGAUUUCAACAGCAAUCAUACAAUAAUUGAGGAAGGACGGUCAUAUCAGACUCAUCUGCCAAGAUUCAAUAAGCACAUCAAACUUGUUUACAUGUAAUUUCCACAUUCCACGUGAAUUUAUAAGGUCUGCCUAAGCAAACCAAAGAAGGCUACACUCAGUACUGUGUGUAUACUGCCUUACCUUUGCUGUUCCCCAGAUACCGUCCUGCAAUCCAGAUACUUAGCUGUGAAGUUUCAAGCCAGCGAAACCAUUUUAAAAGUACACAUGGACACAGAUACCAUUAUCUGAAUCAUCUUCGAUAACAAAUUAAAAUGCCCUAGCGUUCAAAAAACUUAGGAUCUCUUUAAGUGAAGUUCCUUUAAAAAAGUAGAAAAAAACUGAACAACAAUGUCAUGCUAAUAAAAGGUAAAAAAAAUAAAAUAAAAUAAAGCAUAAGGACAGAAGUUCACCAGGAGCAUGCCAGUAUAAACCAAAACGACCACAAAUCUCAACCAUAAAAUUUAAAGUAGUAAAGUAAAUAAUCAAGGGCAUGCAGUUGGCACAGGUGCUUCCAAAUAAAAUGAUGAUUCUUUUCAAACAGAAAAAAGAAAUGGAUGUUAAUAAACUAGAAGAAACCAUGUCUUACAAGUAAUUGAUAAUAUUCUGCUUCCCGUAGAAGCUCUAAAAACUCUGACUCUGUUAAUGUGGGGACAGCCCCAUCCCUUAACCAAUUCAGAAUAUGCCGAAAAUGUUUUCCGUCCCUAUCAACAAAGAUAUAGCCCUGCAAUAAUUCAAUAUGCUCAAAGAUAAGAAUCUGAAUAAUAUACCCAAGAGAAGUGCUUUUCCCUGGAAUAAUAAAAAGAAAAUAAGUCAAAACGUUUUUCUUAAUGGAAGAACACAAAGGAACAGCUCUAUGACUAACAUGAAAACCAUAAAUCAGAAUAAGAACCCAAAACUGGUCAUUUGGAGUUUCACCAGAUCAAAAAGAUCACAUGGAAAUAAAAUUGUGAAAAUGGGAUUAUUUAUGCCGAGGUCAUGGCUAAACUGCAAUCAUUACUCCAUUUUUGGUAGAAGGAGAAGAAGAAAGAAGAGUAGGUGAGUCAUCAUUCUUUCAGGUGAGUCAUCAUUCUUUCUCUGUGAUUAAUUGAUAUGAUGGAAGUGUUGUAGAUAUUAAUUUGAUAGUGAUUCCUCCCUUCAAAAGAAUUCAUUCCUUUUUUUAUUAUUUCACAAAGUUUAACUAAGACUGAGUUUUCUCAAUUUGAAGGCAUCGUGCACUCUACCCCUUUCUUUUCCUCACAUUGCUUCUUCCCAAUCCCAAAGGGAAGAAAUCAAGAAACAAUUACAAUUUUUAACUAUUCACCAGCAAAAACAAGGCAAAGAAAGAUGCUGAGUGUAAGCAAAAAUAAGAGAGUUAUACACCUCAGAGUCUUGGCACACAGUAUGGCGACCGCUGAACAUAGCUGCAAGCAUAGAUUCAGGCUCACGACGAGUCAGAGUAUCAAUUGUUGUAUAAAAUUUCUUUCCCCCUGGAUAUUAAUACAUAAAAUAUAAAUUUGUUCACUUAAAAGCAUGAAUUGUGCAAAUUUGUCAAUAAUGUCAUUCUUUCACAAACGUUCACCGAAAUGUAUAACAAUAAGUGCAUCAUAACAUAACUAAACGGCUUAAGAACUGCGCAGAUAUUACAUACAGUAGAGAAACAAGAAAUAGAAAAUGAGAUUUGCCCUUUUUAAACAGAAAGCAAUCAAAGAGUAAACUAAAGAGCUAAUAAUUCACAAAAUUCAGUUGAUUAAACUCAUUUACAAGUAAUUAGCAACAAAAUCCAAGCUAAAUAAAAAUAAUGAAAAUUAGGUUCUUAUAACAUCCGUCAAUUCUAUGAAAGUUUACCACGAUCAGCAACAAAUAGAUAAAUCGCAAUAAAGAAAAACCGACGACAUGUCGGUUGUGUAGUGCAUAAGUAAAGGAAUUUGCAGAUGAUGUAAAGAGAAUGAGGGAUAGUAACUGACCGAUGUUGAGACGAACCAUUGAAGACGAAUCGGAGUCCUUCGCCAUUGUCGAGUGUAAUGACUUGUCGUCUUACUUGCGCUCAUAGGUAUUUAUAUCAUAGCUGACACUGUUCGAAGGACAGCAAGGAUUUGGUGGGCACAAAUGCAUUUUGGAAAUUGGGCUUCGGCCCAAGAAAUCGAAAAUCAGAGGCUUUUUUUUAAAAAAAAUUUAAAAGGAUUAGAAUGUCUAUAAAUUAAUAGGGCUGAGACCAUCUUAAAUCUAUUAAGUAAAAGAGAUAUUAAAUAUUUUAUUAAUUAAUAAUUUAUUAAUUUACAGAAUUAUUUAUAAUUCAAUUAACAUACAUUUAAUAACUAAACAUUCAAUGUACAUAAUUUCUGAUUACAAUUCAAAGCACUAACAAUACUUCAUAAUUUCUUAUUACAAUUCAAGAAUUCAACCUCAUAGCUUUUAGAUGCAAUAAGAAAAAUAAGAAAUAAGAUUCAGUUAUAUUUAAAUUUUAAGAAAAAAACAAUAAAAUCAUAUUUUAUGUAAUUAAAAUAUCAUAGUCAACUACAUUUGUAAUUUCAACAAAUUAUUACUCUAUGAUUUAAAUGAGACCACAAAGUUAUAUAAGAUUUUAUCGAAAUUAUUAAUUUAAUCCAUUAGUCCAUGUCAAGACCUUGAAAAUUUAAUAAUUAUAUAAUAGAGAUUAUUAAUUUAUCGAGUAUUAAUUUAUAGAAGUUCUGAUUGUAUAUUAUUUUAUAUUAAUAAAGAAUAAAGUAGCAUUCUUUUUUAAUUCCGAAGUAAUAAAAUUAUGGCUAAAUUAAGAGAGUAGAUAUAUUUUAUAACUUGGUUUAAUAACAUCACGCGCCUCCCUUGUAGUUUUGCAGCUUUGAAGCUUUAUAAUGAAUCCUAUUAGCUUUGGCUGGAAAGUUAUAUUGUUAAAGAGAGUUUAUAUAUUAAACAAGGUGAUCUAAUAUUUCCAAAACUAAAUUUGGGAUCAAAAAUAGAAAACAUUUGCAUGUUUUUACCUUUUGGAAGAAUUACUUGAUAAGUGCUUCACAGAAAAAUGCUUGCUAUUAUAGAGCACCCUAAAAAAAAUCCUUAAUAAUUGAGGGAUCAUAAUAAAGUUCAAUUCUAAAUCUGUCAGAUAGAUCGAAAGUAACAAACCAUAUAUAUUUAAAUCUAUUUAGUAAUCCAGGGUUACAAGCCAAGCGUGCAAUAGCCAAUUCUGAAAAUCAAAGCUCAGCCUAUGCUCUCUGAGCACAAAUAAGAUCUGAUAUAUACAUAUCGAAUCCUCCAUUAUGUGGAGUGAAAUUUCCAUCGUGUACGGUGUACCUAACAAUGAGAAAGCAUGGCAGCAUAAAUUCAUCUUCCAUGUUAUUCUACUUAUUAGUACUGGUUCCCUCAUAACUUCUCCAAAUCGGGGAGGUCUGCAAUGUGUAAAGCACGUAAUCAGAUAAAAGAAAGAGAGCCAAAAAAAAAAAAAAAGGUAACAGCCAAAAGAUUAAAUUUCUUUGAGAAAUAGAAAAUGGGAGCUUUUGGCAUAGGCACAGAAUAGAAAGUAACAGAGUCAUUUACAGUUGUUCAGAAUAUGCAAGCUGAAAACAACUUUGAAUGCAAUGGACAAUUCCUCCAACAAACAAUCGAAUUGGAUUGUGGAAGAGACAAAAGCUUAAUGAGGUUAUGGUUUUGGCUAGGUGAACUCAAAAUUCUUUUAUAGACCAAGUAGGUAAAAACAAAUCCCAUAUAGAUGGAUGAACCUCAUACCAUGAACAGUUAAUCGCGAACACUUGCAGGCUUAUGCACACGACUAUGAAGAUACUAAGGGUUUCACCGAUGGUAAGUGAAAAAUAUAUGAUGUAUAAUUUAAAUGGAAGCACAUAGUUUCGGAUUGAAUUCAAGGUUAAAGUUCCACAGACAGACAGAAGAGAUGAAGCUUAAAAACUUACAGAGCAUUCCUUCAUCAUCACUGCUUUCAUCAUUUUGGCCAACAUGCUGAAAAAAGAAUAUGAUUCAAGUUAAAUGAUUGAGCAACAAUAAAAAACGUGCAAAAUUAAUGCUCUCUCCACAAAAAUUUCAGUCUAUAUUGGUAAGAAGAAACAGGAAGAAAAAAUUACCUCAGCAUCAUCGUCAUUGGAAGCCAAAUCAGCUGUAAAGACCACAAAAUGUUUGGUUAGAACCAGUGGAAGUCUUACUCUAAAAUUUUUAAUUUUUGAAUUUCGAAAGAUCUCGUAAUGACAAAGAUUUUCAUAUCCAGUGACCAAGUUUUGAAAAUUAGAAUACGGAAUGACAUCAACUAAAUUCACUAAUAUAAGCUAGAGGAAUCCCUAGUAGAUAUAGCGCACAUGCACACAUGAUAUGCAUCCGAAUACACAAUAAUAAAUUAUCUCAAAGUCAAUAAGAAGCCAAAAUUAGAGAUAAACUUUUAGCCACUAUAAGGAAGACUGAUAUUUGCAGUGUGAUUACAAUAAACAAACAGAAACUUCACUACCCAUAAGUAAAACAAAAUAAAUAAAGGAUAAUAACUAACCAAGAAAUGGAAAAGCUCACAUUCUCUGAACACGCACCCCAAAAAGAAAGAAAGAAAUAAAUGUUCUCAUUGGAUCUGAAGCACAAGCAAUCCACUGACAUCCUUCUAUAAUUAGGUAAUUUAAAGGGGUUAAGCUCACAUCUUUUACGGAAGUAAGAAGAGAAUUAACAACCUUCCAGAGGAUUUAGGGAAAUACCACGAGGCAAGAAAAAAGAAAUAUCCUUCUUCAAUCUAGAUAUCCUGAUACUGCUCACCAUCUACAACAGUCUGUGGCUUAAAAAGCAGGUCACUGAUCUCUCCCUCCCUCUGGCACCAUUUUCUCUCAUGUCUCAUUUUUCCCUUCCUGCCAACUCCCACUACAGUAUUGAAACCUAUUCUAUCAACUCUUCCCCCUCCAAUAACAAGACCAAAACCAAUUUUACUCGCCGGUUAGCUAGGUAGUAAAUGGAAAUUUGUGAAUCUGUCAUUCAUCCGUAGAAACAAACCAGAACUGCAUAAAUUCUCUUCUCUCCCAACAGCUUCUUUUCUCCAGAAAUAGGCACAAGUAUUUGACAUGGAAACAGUUUAUCUAACAUGGCCACCUUUAAAGACAAAGACAUACUAAGGACGUGGUUUUAGAUACGGAUACAAGAAACAAUCACAAAAUGUAAAAUCUAUACAUAUGAUAUUAAUUUCCAAUGGAUACAGCAAUUCAUUCUUUGACAUAACUUCAUCAGAUUACUAGGUUUGAUUAGGUUAUACACACAUUUAUUCAUUUAUUGAAUCUACAUGCACUUAGAAUGAGAGGUACCUAUAAAAACAAGUUACCAGAAAACAAUACAGCUAGAAAACAUUAAUCUAAGUAGUUCUAUAGGUUUAACUAACUGCAGGAAAAAACCAUUGAUUUUGUCCGCCAGAUUAUCGAGAUCCUAAUUCUGGUAAAAAGAAAAUGAGAUAAUAGAAAAUCAAAAAUUAAAUAGACACAAAAUGAGAAAUCAAGAUCAUAUGGCAACUAAUAUAUAGCAUGGGCUGCAGCUAACAAGCAAUAUAAGCCAUGAUAUUAUGCCAGAUACAAAUUUUGAGAUCCAAGAGAGAUCAAGAAGCAUGAAUACCACUAAAAUAUCGAAAGAAGUGAGUGCAGAAGGAUAAGAAAUCAGGUUGAUAUUCUUCAUACUUUGGAUCAACACGUAGUGAUGCAAUAAACUUGUAAUUAGCUUCAAAUGUAUAGGCUACCAUGUCAACAUUUCCGAAAACACACAAGAUUGUGCUGGAUUCAUACAUAGUACAUAUAUAAAAAAACAAUCUGCUUCUAAACUUCAUGAGAACAUCGAAUAAUGAACUUACAAUUUGAUCCCUCAUCAUCUUCAUCGCACCAUUUGUUCCAAUCAACCUUAAUGUAAGGUGCUGGUUUCUCUUCUGACUUGAGUAGCCUUUUCCACCAACCUUUCUCUUCUUUUUGGACCGAGCAUAUUAUGUUCCUUAAGCCAACUUUAGUCUUACAUUUCUGCACCACCAGCAACAAAACUCAAAGCAUUACAAAAGAGGUAUAUUUAGCCGCUCUUGACUCGAGUGAGAGAACAGGAUAAAUAGCCUAGGUAUAUCCACAUCCAUGUUAUGAGAUUGAUUAUGCAACAGCUAACUUUAAUAUAAAGCUUUUGCUUCAACAAAGACUAAAAUGUUUGUAAUUGUUAUGCUUUUGGAGCUAAAAUGUUUGGCAAACACCCACUUUUACUCUGCACCUAAUAUCUACCACCCACCCACACACUAAGUCUCUCGUUUGGUACAGCUAUUUAUCAGUAGUGGCUUUAAGCCACAACAUUUAAAGCGAAUUUACCCUAAAAUUUUACAAUGAAAAACCUAUACUACCUUUAACAUUGUUGUCAAAAUUAUUAUUAUAAGUAAUAUUUACCAAACACUAUCAACUUCCAAUUCAUAUCAAAGAGCUUUCACUCCACAAUAGCCGUGUCUUCUUAAGCCAGAACAACACAAUACCAAAGGCCUUAAGCUAGUGAUUUGAUUUCACAACAACUGCAGAUCAAGCCUCAAUCCCAAACAUACAUAAAUCAAAUGCAGAAAGCAAAAAUUUAACAAUAUGUUUGGUAUACUAAAUGUCUUUCAUAGUUUCAUUUCACAGGGUAUUUAGACAUGCAAUGAUAAAUUGGAGCAAUUUCAAGAACCGAAUUGACCUCAGGUAAAAUUUUGCCAAAAAGUUCCAAGCUGAAGUCGUAAAGCUCGCCUUGGACUCCGACGGCCGAGAAGCCAAAAAUCCCCUGAGGCUCGCAUUUCACAGAAAUGUCUUUCGCAUCGGGUAAUGAAAUGGUAAGGUAUACUUUAUCGGAGCGCUGAGCCCAAAGAACCUCCGGAUGGCGACUGAACAUAAAAGAAAUAAUAAUAAUAAUAAUAUUAUUAUUUUUUAUUGUGACAAUUUUGAACUAAUAAUUAGAGACAUUUAACAACAAUAUUGAUUAAUAUUGGAGAAGAAAAAUAAGGUUACAAGAGAGAAUCAGAAAGAUUACCUCAUUCUGGUGGAUGAUUGAAAACGGUGGGUCGAUUGAUGAACAGAAGUGUAACUGUCUGGGAGUGAGAGUGACUCUGCUGUUUACUGGGUAGAGUGUGCUUACUCGAAGAAAUUGAAAGUGAUAAUCUCGGGCAAGCCAACACGUCGAUUUGGUCAACAGUGGUCCAACAAACCAGGAACUAGGUUUUUUUUUUUAAAUGAUUUUUUUUUUCAGUAUUAUAUUGCCCCGCCCGUGGGCUAUUACAUUUUGGCCCUUUUGGGGACCCCUCGUUCUCUUACAAGAAGGGAAUAUUCUUUUCCAUCCACCGGUUUGUAGGCAGAGUACAUAUACUCUUCGAAAUUAAGGACAAAUUUCUGAAUCGUGCCGCAUUAGAAUUAAAUUGAGUCUCAAAAGAAUUUUGGUUAUAAGUAUAUCGUUCAAACGGUAAUAUAUUAAAAAAAAUAAUAUUUACUACAAUGUAGACCUAUCGGGACUUUGAAGCCCAGACCAAUUCUUGAGUCUAGCCUAAUAACACCUCAACAGAUCAAAAUUGAAAUCCAACUUAAAUUUCAAUAUUGUGUAGGGAUCUGCCUUAAUUUAGAUAUGUCAAGACCUGCCUUAGGCAUCAAAGUGAUCUAUCUUAACAUAACUAAGACUUUCUUUAAACAUCACAAUGAUUUAUCUUAACGUAGUCAAAUCUAGCCUAAAAAAAUCUAAAGAAGGAAAAAAGAAAUUAUUUUCACGUAUUGAGAGACUUAAAUUCUUAACCUUAUUCAUAAGAAAAAAAAGUGUAUUACUUAACUAAAUCGUGACUAAAAAUUAUAAUUAUUAUUUUUUGUACAUUUAGCUUUAAAAAAUCAUUAUAUAUAUAUAUUCAUAUAAGUUUUGACAUAAUAUACAUACCACUUAUUUGUUUUUUAAAUUAUACGAGAAUGAAAAAACUCAAGCAUUAAACACCAACUUUUGUUUCAUGCUAUCAAUCAACUUGAGAAAUUUUAUAAUAUAUCGGAAGUUCUACGUCACAAUUUAAUACGAAGCCUUCGAUUAAUAAUAAUUAGACACAUGACAAUAGAUGCUAGAGAAAUUUUAAAUUCCCUCUUUUCAUUAUCCCUCCAAAUUUAGAAUUUCAAAAAAUUAGAGAAUAAAUGUUGCUUGCUCUCUUUGUUAUCUAAUUCUAAUUAUUAUUUUUUUCUCUCUCUCUCCAAUCAAGUUGCUAGCAUUUUUUAAAUCUAUUGAAGAAUAAGAAGAAGGUUUUUGUCGAUGAAAUGAUUUUGGCAGCCUUUUUUACCCAAAGCUAACAUGAUUGCUGCGACUACCAAUGAAGAAAAAGAUGUGUUUUGCUGGCGAAGAAGAUGAUUUUUGAAGCAUGAGUGGCUGCCGUUUAUUUUUUUCCUUCAUAUUUUUCGAUGUAGUGGCUGUCCUCAAGUUUUAUUCAUUUACUUUUCAGUUGGCCUACUAUUUAUUGGCAUAAUGAAAAAUUUUAUUUUAAUAAGCAUUUAUAGAUUAAUUUGAGGAGGUUUCUUUUGCAAUAUUAGUGUGGUUUCUGCAUUGGUAUGAUUUAAAUUACGAACUUGCUACAAUCUUUAAUUAAACUGUCAAAAGUAAUUUAAAAAAUCUUUAAUUAAACCGUCAAAAGUAAUUUAAAAACUGACAGUAGAUAGAUUAGAGAUAGGCUUGACAAUUUAGCCCGACUCUAUUUUUAGUCUGAUUGAUCCGAUCCUAAUUUUUAAGACUUUGGCCUGAAUUUUUUGAUUUCGGGUCGGGUUCGGGUCAAAAUUUUAAGGCCCGAACAAAUUUAGGGUCAGGGUCGGACUUAAAACCAACCCGACCCGACCCUAUUUAAAAAAAAAAAAACUAACACACGCACACAACACAUGACAGUUCACUCUCUCUAAAUCGUAAAUCACACACACAAAAUACACUUACACAAAUUCACAAAAACCCUAAGCCAGCCACCCAGCCUGCUGCCGUCCUAUCAGCCAACAUCGUGACCGUCCGCCGCACGCCAGCCAAUCAGCCGUCGUCUCGUCGUCGCAUGUCUCACCAAUCAGCCAUCGUGACCGUCUGCGACGCUGCGACAUGAACUUGAACCAGCCGCCCUUUGUCGCCGUCCUGCCGCAUCCGCCUGCCAGCCAACGAUCAAUGCACACAGUUGAAUUGUGGGGUGGGAAAUGGUUUCGAUAGGGUCGGGCUCGACCCGACCCUAACUAUAAAGAGGUAGGGCUUUUUUAGGGUCGGGUUUUAAUUUUUUGUUGAUCGGGUCGGGUCGGGUUUGGCCAAACCCGAGCCCGACCCGACGUUUUGCCAUCCCUAAUUAGAGAUGAAGAUUGGAGAGAGAGAAAAAUAUAAUUUGAAUGAGAUAAUAAAGAGAGAAGAAAUUCUAUAAUACAUCAUAAGUAAUAUAACUCAUUGAUGUAUGCAUGAUAUAUGUAAUUAACCUUAAUAUAACUAACACUUGUAUGGUGAUAUUUCAAAAUAAAUAUACAUAUGUUAUAAAAUCAUUUACUUAUUGUAUGACUGACAUUUUAUUUUUGAUGUAUUGUACAAUUUCUCAGAAGAGAGUAGUAUUUAUUAUCUCUAAUUUUUUGAAAUUCUAAAUUUUGGAAGGAUAAUAGAAAGAGAAAUUUUAAAAAUUUUUCAACGUAUAAUGCCAUGUAUCUAAUUAUUAUUAGUCGGUGUUCCACGUUAAAACGUAAUAUAGAACCUCUGGACCUUACUGUAUAAUGUACUGUAGAAUUUCCUGAUCACACACUUUCUCAGUUGCAAAAGAGGUGGGCAUAUGAGUUCCUUACGGGGAUUUAGUGUGAAUCCACGCAAAGCCCAUAUAGAUUUUUCCGGUUAACCGCUAUGGCAUCCUAGUUUUAAACUCAGUACUAAAUUUACAGAUCCAUUUAAACCCCCCAAAUCAGUCUCUCACCGUCUCAAGUCUCAAACAAAAAACCUGACCGGAACCCAAACCGCCAAAUCCGAUUCGAUGGUGGACUGUGCUAAAACCCCUAAAAUUCCAAGACUGACAUGCGGUAAAGGAGAUGGUGAUAGACUUAGCAAUCUUCCGGAGCACAUCAUUUAUCACAUAUUCUCGUUCAUGGAAACAGUUGAUGUUGUUAGAGCAAGCACUGUUUCGCGAAGAUGGAGGUACUUGUGGCUUUCCGUUCCUUAUUUGAACUUCGACUAUCACACAAUUUGGUCAGACCCGGAAAGUAGAUGGUCUCGUAGGAAAAUCAAUGAUAAGUUCAAAGAUUUUGUCAACUGGGUAAUAUUUUCUCAAAAUGGGUCUGUUAAUAUUCAAAGAUUUCGUCUUUGCUGCUGGGAUUAUUUAGCAAGUUACGAUAACGAUAGAACGAUUUACAGAUGGGUUUCUGCUAUGGCACGUCGAAACGUGCAAGUGCUUGAUCUGGCUAUAGCUUCACUAUACCCAUUUGAGUUUGACUUGCCACAUAGUCUUGUAACUUGUGAUUCAUUGGUGGAACUGAAGUUGAGUUUGAGCUUUCAUGUUCACCGAUGUUUUUUAAAGCUGCCUACUGCUGCUGGUUUUAUUGGGCUCAAGUCUCUUGAUUUACAAAGUGUUGCGUUGGAUGAUAAUUUGUUUCCUGAAUUUAUUUCAAAUCUUCCCCUGCUUGAGAAUUUGUGUAUGUUGUCAUGUGUUUUUCCUGAAUUGAAGGUUCUUGACAUUUCUUCCACUAAUUUGAAGAAUUUGGCUCUGGAAUCCAUUGUUGGCAAUGAUAAUGCUGGCAAUGAUGAUGCUGGCAAUGAUGAUGCUGGCAACUACAAGCUUAAGAUUGCUUGUCCAAAUCUUGUGUCUUUUAAUUAUAUAGCUUUAGCUCCAUGGUUACCUCACUUUGCUUUUGAGAGCUUAAACUCCUUGCAAAAUGCAUUCAUUGACCUGGAUGAUUAUAACGAGGAUGACAUGGAGAACGAAAGAUGUCAUGUUUUAUCUACAAUCUUCAAUGACUUUCGUGAAGUUAAAGUUUUGAAAUUAUCAGAAGCCAUUCUUCUCGAGGUAUGAUUUCAAAUACAUUCAUUGCACCAAAUCAUGAUUCUGCCAGAACUUGUCUACACUUUUUUAUUUUGACAUUAGAAAUGAAGCUUAAGUAAACUGAAUCUACUUUCUUUGUUUGGUAAAAUAAGAAUUCUAUUGAUUAUGGAACCUUCCUAAAUGCUAAUUUGUUCUUUAGACUGUGUAUAAGUCAUUGUGACAUUGUAUGAAGUCUCAUUUAUCUGAGUAAUCAAUUGUUAUUGAUGUCAAAGACUAGAACUCAUUGGUGACUUGAGUUUAUGUAUAUUAUCGUUUGUUAGAUUUUUUGUGUGAUUAUUGCACUUAACUUGACUAAUGUAUUCUCUUUCUUUUUGCCAUUGUUCCUCCAGGUUCUUGAUCCUGAUCCUGCUCACGAAGAACCAGCAUUUUUUUCCACUUCAUUCAAUAAUUUGAAGUCCUUAAUACUUUCUGCAGGUCCGGGUGUAUGUCUCAUGCCAUCAAUGCUUAGGUUGCUCAACUGCUCUCCAAAUCUAGAAGCUCUUGCAAUAUAUUCUCCUAAGGUAAUCUUAACACCAAAAACUAUUCCAUUUGUUAGAUACCGUCGCUUCUAUCCAUUUUUUUUAAAAAUCAUAUCUCCCAUUUAUGUGCUAAAAUUUUAAUUUUGUUAAAGUGCAACUGGGCUUUGCUUAAAUUAUCGCAAUAGAGUUGAAACCUGAAAGUAUUUGUGAUAUAUUAUGUUUACCGCUUAGAGCUUAAAGUAAAUGUUAAUCUUGUGGCCUCUUGGUUGUUCCCAUGCUAUUGCUUGUUGAGCAGAUGGUUGAAUUUAGAGUCAAUCAAUCGGUUGUGUUCUUCUGAGGUUUGUGCAAGUUUUGUAAAAGAGCAAAGUUUAGUAUUUGUUUAGUUUGUGAAAAUGAUAUAGCUUUUUCUAAUUCAUCUUACUCUAUUCUUUGCUUAAAAAUGAAUUCUCCUUUUGAUUUGAUUCCUUGACUGCAUUUCGGUCUGUUUUCUCUUGGCAGCAUCGGCGUGGAUAUAAUGCUUAUAGGAAAACACCGAACAAGGCUGCUAUUUCAUGUUUGACAAAUCAUCUCAAGACAGUUGAAAUAAAACAUUUUAGCGGUGAUAUGAAUCAACUUGAAAUUGUGAGGUUUCUUCUAAGGAAUGGACAUGUAUUGCAGAGAAUGAGUAUUAGAUGGGUGGCAGAUGUUAAGAAUCAAGGGAAGAUUAUCUCAAGGAUAAUGAAGUUUCGGAGAUCAUCUUCAAGUGUUGUGCUGAAAUUCCUAGAUCCUAAGCCAGCUGAUGAUUUUUCAGAUUAUUUAUUUGAUGAUGAGCAAAAGAACUAAAAUUAUGUUUAAAUUAAAAAAAAAAAAAGUGGUUUAAGUGUAUGUUCGAAUUAAAUAGUCUUUUGGAUUUGUAGAAACUGAAAGGAGUACAGUGCCAGUCACUGUGGCAGCCUUAUGUUUUGUUUGAAAAAAUUCGGAAGCUUCUAAAUUGUUAUAUACCUCAAUUCUGAAGUCGUUAGUAUGUAUAUUAUAAGCAAUACAUAUGUUCCAUUUGUCAUAUUUUAUUUUGGCAUUACGAUUGUUUUGUCUUGAUUAAUAUUGAUUAUAAUUUGUUUAACAUUUAUCUGGCAUAUGUAGAAUUAUACUUUAUCUGAGUAGAUGACGCUGCUGCGUACAUCUUCAGGACUCGGUCAUAAACUGUUUAUCUCUGCGUCUGUCUAGCAUCCAUCCACGUAUGACCUGUCGGCUUUUUGCCCGCAAGCAUACAGUUAGGGGUGGUAAAAAUAUCUGUCCGGUCUGGAUUCGGUUCGCACCCGGAUGUUUUAUCCGGCCCGGUCUUGGGCAUCAUUUGAUAAAUUCGGAACCCGAGUUUUAUUAAGCGCCUUGGCCGUACAGCAGUAUAUUAUUUUAAAUAUUUAUAUUUAUUUGACUCAUUUAUUACAUAUAUAUAAAGUUUUAGACACUUAAAGUUUAUAUUUUCAUGUCAAAUUUCAUUAAAAUAAAUUUAAAACUUAUAAAAUUACCAAAAAAUAAAAAAUAUAUACAUAUAUAAUAUUAAAAAAUAUAAAAUCUGGGUACCCAAAUUAAAACCCGGCACAAUCCGACCCAGGCAUCUAUGCAUCCGGGUCGGGUCCGGUCAUUACGAUACCCCGACCCAGCCCAGGGUUUUGCCAUCCCUACAUGCAGUGUAUAUGAAUUGCAGUUCUUGUACGGACAACAUGUCAUCCAUAAAACUCGAGUUAUGUUCUUUUUAAUCUUUAGUUUAGAUUACAUUUUGCAAAACUAAUAAACGAUAGAGCUCCUAGCAAGGUCAAUAGUUAACUGCGAAUCCAGAAGAUCGGAAUGCUAUACCUUUCAAACAUGCAUUUCAAAGCCAUCUGCGGAAAUGGAAAACAAGCAUUUCAAACUCGUUGUUAAAACAAUGAUAAAAGUAAUUUUAAUCCUAAUUUUUAAUUCCAGGCAUGAAGCUAACUCAUAUACAAAGAGAUAUCAAGUAAGCAGAGGCGAAAGCUAAAAGCUUUGGUUACAGGGGUCGGUGUGAAUAAUGUAUAUAUCGUUUAGACAUAUUUUUGAAUAUCUAUUUUAAUUUAGGGGAUAUUAUAUAUAUUUAAAAAAAAUUAAAAUUUUUACGGGAGCCAUGGCUUACUAUAGUCUCCAUUAAGAUUCACCCUCCCUACUUUUCGUACUUCAUUAAAGUAUAGGAUAAAUAUUUACAAUAUUAUAAAUAGAUUUUAUAAAAGCAGUCCAUAUAUGAAAGUCCUUCUGCACUCUGAAUUAAAUAAAAAUAACGUGAGACUAACAAUUUAAGAGUCUUUUUUGCAACGUAUAUCGUGCAGUGAUGUACUCUAUCGACGGAGGACUCUCUUCAUAUGCUUUUUAUUUUUCCAUGCCUGAUUAUAAAUAGGAUCACUCUAUGUUACAUUAAACGUAACGUACACACACUCACAACAACAGUAACAAGUCCCAUCAUUAGAACUGUUGCUGUGAGUGCGUGUAUGUUACGUUUAACGUAACAUAUCACUAGCCUUAUAAAUAACAUCACUUUUAAGGAUUUUUACAAAUUUUUAUUACAACCGUAACUUUUGUCCUCAUACAAUAACGGUGUCCAUUGUCCACAUAUAAAAAGUUCAUCAAUAAACAUAUAACCUAAUUAAAAUUCGUGACAAAAUCCAAAGGAAAGAAAGCGUGGAGUAAUAUAUAUAACAAAGGCAUUGAGCAUACACCAGGUGUAAUUUGCAUUGCAUGGCCACCCUUACGUGGCAGUUCCGCCGAUUAACACAUCUUUAAAAGUUAAAGCCCCCCUCUCUCCUUGUUAAGGGCGUUUCAACACAACACUCAUCAAUGCAAGCAAAGAGACAGUGAAGGAAAAAUUAAGAAACCAAUAUUGUCACUUGGAAGAAAGAAACAAUCAUUACAUAUAUAAUACGAUGGAUACUAAGAACAACAGGAAGCAUUUGUCCUGCAUUGCCAACGACGUCGUUCACAGAUGUGCACUGUACGUAUCUCUCUCUCUCUCUCUCUCUCCUUUUCUUUUUCUCCCCGAUCACUUUGUUUUCUUUAUAUAUACGAAUGUAUGUAGAACGUAGUAGGUUUUGUAUAAAUAUCUGUUGCACACAUUAUUUGAUGUGCAUUUAAAUAUAAUUAAUGGUAAUUGAGAUGACACACAAAGACAAUGCAAAAAAAGAAAAAAAAAGAGAGAGUAAAUUAAUGAAUUUGCCUUGAUCCAGUUAAUUUGUGUGCAUUUAGCUGACUGUAAGGUGGUUUCGAGUGUGUUUUUGUUUGGCAACUUUUCACACAAAAGCACUUUUGGGAAGCACUUUAUGUAAUGUAAGUGCCUCUAAAAACUGUUUUAUGUAUUACUGCCAAAUGCAGUGCAGAGGUUACAAUGGGAGGGUCGGUUUUAUACCUGUUCUUCGAGACUUAAUUUCAAUAGGAGAUUGAAAUAUUUAUGAGAAUUAUGUUGUUAGCAGACUUAAUUCUUUUGGAGGAAUUCAUUCCAUCGUAGACCACUCAAUGAAUUUGGUCGAUUGAGAUUAUUUGAGUGCAUGCUUCAAAACUGGAGCAUUAAUUCUUUGACAUAAAUGGGCUUUAACAUAAGGCGCGUUCGCUUAUUCCAUUUAUUCAAGAAGUUGGCACUCAAUUUUUUAUUACUAGCCUUUAGAUGGCCAGCAGCCUUUUGUAGCCCUUUCUAGUUUCUACUAAAGUGGUUAUGUGCAAUAGUUCUAUUCUGGGUUGCAAAAUUAUUGUGUCAGUAGAAUCCACAUACAUUAUGUACUUUUCUGUAUUUAAUUUCAAGAGGCUUAGUUAUAUCAUAGUUUUAGGAUUAUAAUAAGUCUGUCCGUUACCAUGUUAUUGGAAUUUUUUUUUUUUUCUAAAUUAGUUGGACACAUUAUUGGAUUGGUCAAUAAAGGAAAGCAUUUGGCAAGUACUUGGUUUGAUAUUAACAUAUAGUUGCAGUAAAGCACAUUAACUUGUGCAUCCUGAAAUUCUUGCAGGCAAGUAAAGGCUUCUGAGGAUUCAUUGGUGGAGGGGUUUGAAGCUGAAUGGAAGCCUGAAAUCGGACAGUAUUCGAAGAAAUUUGUGGAAUAUUGCAGCAUAAAGGCUCUUACUAACAUGUGCCAGAGCAUAGAAGAAAAGAUUAGUGAUGGAUCAUUUAGUCGACUCACAUUUGAUAUGAUGCUUGCCUGGGAAAUGCCUAGUGCCGCCGAUGAGGAGUCUCAUACUGUAAGCAAUCAUCAUAAUACUCAUAUCCUAUAUUUAUUUCAUGGUCCACCAAAUCAUUAUGAUAUUAUCCCAAUUUUGGUGUGCCUAUCUUCUCUUCAAGUUGCUUCUUCUAUUUCUUUUUCAUUAUACAUUCUCUGGUUCUCAUCAGUUUUCGCUCCAAUUAAAAGAAGCAUGAAUUCUUUCACUUAUCUGCUGAAUCUGUUCUAAUGAUUGGGCAAUAGAUUUUUAUUCCUCUCUGUGGUUACUACUAUUUUGAUCUUGUGCAGGAGUGCAUGGGAAAGGAGAAUGAGGAUAGAAAGGCUGUAAAAGUCACUUCAGAUCAUGAUGAAAUUCCUCUCUUCUAUACAGACAUCAUGCCUCUUCUAGUAAGAGCGUCUCUUUCUGAUCAUUUGAGUGCUAAUGUACCGACCAAGCAUUAGCCUUCACUGAAACUCGUAUAUGAUUUCAUGAACAUUGAUUAAUUGUUAUUUUUGCUAACUACUCUAUGAGAUCUGAUCAAAUUAGAUAUAUAAAUGUUGCGAUUGAUCUUGGAUUUGCUUUAUAUUUGGCCAUCAAUUAUAUUUUACUCUUCAUUUUUAUAUUUGUUUGGUUUGAUAAUUUACCCUCUGGCCCAUAUAUAUGAUGGUAGGUUAAUAAUGAACCGAGUGUUGGAGAAGAUGCAUUUGUAUGGAUGGGAUCCUUAGUUCCUCUAGUUUCAGAUGUUAUUAAUGGGAGAUUUACAUAUGAAAUUCUGACAGCGCCAACAGGAAACCGGCUCCAUUCUCCAGCAUAUGAUAUAUUUCUAAAGGAGAUGGACAAGUAAUUCUUCCAAUUCUUCCAUGCAGCAAUUUUACCACUCAGAAACUUUAAGUGCCGUUUGGUUUUGUGACAUGCAAAUUAUCAUGGAACACUCAAAAUGAGUUGUUCUUAACAAUUUCUAGAAUUUGCAAACUCACUAACCAUAUCUGAAAAUGCAGAAGCAUUAUUACCACUUAUUGAUAACAAUAUCUCUGCUCGACUUGUUUGGGUGCUUUCAGCCGUUUUUCAUUUUCUUUUGGAAAUCUUGAUUUCAUAGAUGCAUAAAACAUUUGCAAAAACAAGCAACUCCAAAGGGUGUUGAGCUGGCUGACGAUGAAUUUAUACUGCAUGUGGAGGGAACUGCAAGCACACAGAGAGUAGUGCGCCAUAUUGGGAAAACAAGUUGGCCUGGUAUGUCUUUAGUUUGAUGUCUUACAUCUUUUUAACUGCUGUAGAAAUUGUUACUUGGAUUUUACUAAUCAUAAUUGUUGUCUCUAGGUAGGCUCACACUGACAAAUUAUGCGCUCUACUUCGAGGCUUCGGGAGUAAUAACAUAUGAAGAUGCUCUAAAGAUUGACCUCUCAAAAGAUGCUGAACUAUCUGUUAAACCAACUGCCACAGGUCCAUGGGGUGCUCCGCUUUUUGACAAGGCAAUUGUAGUCGAGUCCCCUGAACAGUAAGCAUAGUUGCACUUAUAUGAAAUUACUGGAGCUAUUAGCAUCGUUAUUCUUAUUUUAAAAAUUGUUAAAUGCUUGGUAGUUAUCCCAUAAGCUAGAUUUUAAAUGCAUAACAUACAAGGCAGACAUCAGAAAGCAUUCUGAUUCGUUUAUUAAAGUUUGUCUUUUAUUAAGCUAAAGAUAUUAAUGCUGCUAGAUUUUUCUAAUUUGGUUGUAGAUAUUGGUUAGUUACACUGUCAAAUGAGCAAAUCUCGUGGAUAUUUCAUAGUGUGGUUAUGCAAUUGUUUUUUGCCCUUCACUUUUCUAGAUCUGAGGGAAUUGUCCUGGAGUUUCCAGAGAUAACUAGCUCGACAAGGCGUGAUCAUUGGCUGGCCCUCACAAAGGAGAUAAUGUUAAUGCACAAAUUCCUGUCAAAAUUCAAGGUGGAAUGUCCAAUACAAGCAUGGGAGAUGAAUGCAAGGACAAUACUUUGCAUCAUAAGACUCCAUGCAGCAAGAGAAAUGCUGAGGAUAUUGCCUCCAGAUCCCACAAAAUUCUUGAUUUUUGCUUUGUAUGAUGAGUUGCCAAAGGGAGACUACGUGCUAGAAGAGCUUGCUGAGAGUCUGAAGAAAGUUAAUUGUGGACAUCCUUCCAGUGCUAGCUCAAUUCUGAGAUGUAUGAACCUGUCAAUUGCCGCAAGUGGAGAAGUAAAAGAAGGAAAAGAACUGGAGGAACAUAAACAUAUAAGUGAUGAAAGCUGUUCAUCACUGGAAACUGCCAUCAAUCAAUCUAAAGAGCAAGCAAAGGCAAUUGAAAUUGCUAAGUCUACCACUGAGGGCCUGAAAGAUGAAGGGAUCAGUGAUAGUAUCCUUGUUCUCUUGGUAUGUUUUUACUUCCAAAUUGUUGUUUAUGCUGCUGAUUUUAUAUUGACAGAAUAAGUAAUGACAUCUCAACAAAUCAUGGUAUUGAGAGCUUGUUUGACAUUUAUCAAACACAGCAAAGAAAUUGAAUUUUAUGAAAUUCCUAUAGCACCCUAUAAUUUGUACCAAAAAAUCUCUGCACCUUUGGCAUGCUGUAUGGUAUGGAAGUAUAGCUGUCUCAGAGAGGUUACUGUUAUUUACUUUAUUUGGUUUUGUAGUAUUGAUGUUAAGUUUGAUUUAAUAAUGUAGGAGCUACUAAAGCCACUUAAAAGUGUUUUACCCUGGAUUCGAGAAGUUGUUUCAUGGGAAAAACCAGCAACCACCCUCACUGUGAUUGCAACAACUCUACUAAUAGUGUACAAGUAAGUCAGUGCUCCCUCGUAAUUUUCUUAUAUACGGAAAUUUUUUUGAAAGUGCAUGUUGAUCAAGAACCACUUCAUUACUUGGCCUAUUAAUGUGUAAACUUUGCAAAUGACUAGUAAACUAUAUAAUGGCAAUGUAGGGAGUGGGUAGGCCAGGCUAUAGCUGCUUGUUUGCUCACCAUCGUGGUGAAGAUGCUUCAGGCAAGAAAAAAAAGGUUGACAGACAAAUGCAAUGAGAUAGUAGUAUGCACUGCUUCAGAUCAGAGCACCGUGGAGAGCAUUGUGUCGGCUCAAUACAGUUUGAUAACUAUUCAUGAGAUGUUGCAGGCAGCAAACAUUAUGAUUUUGAAGAUAUGGUCGAUAUUAAUUUCAAAGGCCCGCAAGGUACUCAUUUUGAUAACCUAUGCUUUCAGCUUAGCAAUUAAAUAUCGUUUUCAAUCAAUAUUGCUUAUUCGUCGUUAGCUGAAGUUCGUUUACCUACUACAUUUGUUGGAUGUCUUCAAUUAUUGAGGAGUCUUAGUUGCAUUUCCAAAUUGUUCUAAAUCCUCGUUUCAUUUAAUGGGUUGCAGCAUGCGGACACGGUUAUGGUGGCAUUGACUGGGUUAGCAAUAGUAUUAGCAGUUGUUCCAUUCAAGUAUAUUGUCAUGGGAGGUGUGCUGUACGGCUUCAUUAUGAACUCGAAGCCAAUGAAGUACCUGGGAAACAACUCAAACGACCAAAGCGGCAACAGACGUCUAAAAGAAUGGUGGGAGUCAAUCCCUAUUAUUCCUGUUCGCGUCGUGGACAAGCUUCCUGAGUGCCCAAAAUAAUGUGUCGGCUCCUGCACAAUCACAGUUGCCUAAAUCCUCUGUUUCUGAACUUUUGUUAUCAACUUACUGCACGAUAUACACUUCUGAGUUUGCUUUUGCCAUCAGAGUAGAACUGUAUCUGAAACACAGCAUACACUUAAAUGCUCAUUACAAAUUUGGAGAAAAGCACAAGUAGAAAAGGAUUGAAGACAUUCAGUAACGUUGAAAUUCUGCAUUUUCUUUAAUUUUUGUUAUGAACAAGUUUCUUAAUUAUUUGUUCUCUUGAUGUAAAAUAGCAUAUUGCUGGGAGUAAUGAAGAUGUGACUGUGCUUUUCCUAUUAGCAUGUUAAUAAAAGCAAAAUGGAAAAUUAUUAGUUACGUCCUCUCGUUUUGCGGCUUAUUGAGCUAACAAGUAACUUCUUCAUUACUAGCGUGCAAGUUUGCAACUAGUGAAUCUCAAAUAUAACUCUACCCAAUGGAUGGAUGUACGAUGGAUGUACCUACCCAAUCAUUUAUUUCUCAUUAAAUCUGUUAAAACAGAAAAAGUCCCGACGUCAUAUUCUUCGCGCCUUUUAAAAAACGACACGUGUCGUAUCCCACUACUCGCGUGCUGGAAACUUUAACCCACUCUGACUGCGUGACAGCAGAUCAUUCCCAAUUCAUUUCAGUUUCACUGUCACUUUCACUCCUCCUCAGGCGCCUUCCGACAAACAGGAAGAAUGCAAACUUGAAAACCCCCAAAAACCCUAACGUUCCCCCGGAGACCCUAACCCACCAUAAACCCUGGCUCUUAAUCCUAGCCACUAUGAGCGACCAAGACGAGCAAUCGCGAGCUCAGAAAGCCGCCCAGUUAACAAGUCCGCUCUCAUCCUCUCUCUCGAACCUUUCUUCUUCUUCAAGAAGCAUCCCCUCUAAUCAAGAUUUCCAUUUCUUCUACAAUUUCCCUGAAUUCAAUCAACCCGUCCAAGAAAUCGCGAACCAAUCGCAGCUCCUCCUACAAUCCAUCGGCUCAUCGGAGAUUUUUAACCAACCGAUCAAUUUUCCUGAUGAGGUUGACAUCUCGGACGCCUACGACUGGCUUGUCGACGUAAACGACAACGUUUUCGAGCGUAUGGAUGUUUCUUUCGACGAAUUUAGUAAAGUAAGAGGGGAAAAUGGGGAAGGAGAUGGAAAUGAAGGUGGCUUUCAGUUGGUUUAUGGGAAGAACAAGAAGAAGGGCGACAUUGUGGGUGGCUCUGCCCCGGCCAGUGUGAAAGUGAAGGACAGGAAAGAGAAAAGCAAGGUGCCGUUUCAUAUAUCGACUAUAACAAAACCGCAAGAGGAGUACAAGAUAGUUGUGAACAAUGCGAACCAGCCGUUUCAGCAUGUUUGGUUGCAGAAGAUUGAGGACAGUGGACGGUUUAUCCAUCCUCUUGUAAGUUUGUUAUUUUUUGAAUAUUUUGAUAUUGGAUUUGACUUACUGGGUUUGUUAAAUUUGUAAUCUGAAAAUAGUACCUUUCUUAGGGACUUUUUAGUGAUCAAUUAUUUCUUUCAUUUUCUUUUUGGGUGGUUUGUGGUAUAUGUUUACGCUUAUCUUGUUUGGAAUUUGUGUGCAAUUCUUAUUAUUCAUGCGAGAAUUUUAACACUAUCAUGUGGUUCAUGCUUGCCAAAAAUAUACCAAAACACUUUUGCUUAUUGCUAUUGCUUUAUUUGUACAGGACAAUCUUUCUGUUUUGGAUUUUGUUGAUAAAGAUAUAGGGGAUGUGGAACCUGUAAAACCUCCCUCGUUGGAGCAGACACCAUUCAAGCUUGUGGAAGAAGUUAAAGAUUUAAAGGAGCUAGCUGCUAAAUUGAAGAGCGUAGAUGAGUUUGCGGUAAAGUCUGACUUCUGUGAUUAUGUUUUAUUGAUAAAUAAUGCCGUGGUUCAGCCUUACUGCAGUAGUUUCUUUUUUUCAGCCUUUUGAUUUCUCUUUUCUGAUGGGGCAUUUCAUAUACAGAACUGAACACUGUCCUAUGUAGAGGAUAUAGUGUAGUUAAGGCACAUGUCACCGAUGUCAGCUACUUCAAAAUUAUAUAGUGCUGGAUGUGGUUUAAGCCAAUAAGACAAGAAAGGGGUGUGGCCGCCUAUGAAGAUACAUACAAAUAUGUUAAUAUUCGAAACAUAUACAAAGAAAUGUGCCUGUAAUAGUUUUCCUGUCUACGUAAAGUAGUAAACCAGCUGUCUAUUUAAUCUUGAUACAAGUUUUGCAUGUUUAAAAAAUUAUCUUUCAUCUUUAACAGUGAGUCCAUUUUUAGCUGUAAUCCUUUUCUCAAGCAUGACUUGGUUUUGCUUUCGUUUUCAUCUCAACAGUAAACCUGUUUGCAACUAGAAAACAUUGUAAUUUUUUUGUAACUUUUCUCUAGGUCGACUUGGAACAUAAUCAAUAUCGAUCUUUCCUAGGAUUGACUUGCCUGAUGCAAAUUUCCACCAGAACCGAAGAUUUUGUGGUAGAUACGUUAAAGCUUCGCGUUCAAGUUGGGCCAUAUCUUAGGGAAGUUUUUAAAGAUCCUACCAAGAAAAAGGUUGGUCCCUUCAACAUGCUCUCGCGUAGCUUUGUGAUAAAUCUUAUUUUUUCCCCCCCAAAUUAUGUUAACUUUUACUUUACUAGGUGAUGCAUGGAGCAGAUCGAGAUAUUGUGUGGCUUCAACGGGACUUUGGCAUAUAUUUGUGCAAUAUGUUUGACACAGGACAGGUUUUAUCCCUUGAAACUCUCUUUGAAAUUUGAGACUUUAUUGAUGAUCUUGUCUGGUUUUUUGUACAAUGGUUAAAUUUAUCUUAUCUUAUCUGCUUUUUUGUGGUCUAAUUUAUGAGUGUUGAUGCAAGCCUUUAUUCUACUAAAUUAGUUAAAUUGAGUUAUCUUUUGAUACUGUAUUUUCAAUUUUGUAAUUCAUCUUAUGUGUUUGAGUCAAGGUUUGGCUUCAAAAAGCCUUGUCAGUUACAUGUCAUCUCUCCCUUAAUUUUUUCAAAGUAGCUUCGCUUGUCAUUUGAACUAUUUGUAUCAUUAUUUUCAAUUUUGAUGUGGAACUUCCCCCAUUUAUUAAUGUUCUUUUGGUUGUUUUUGUGUAAUGCUCUUUUGUAAAUUUUACCGUGGCAUUUAUUUUGUUUUGCAUUUCAAAUAAUAGUGAGAAUUGCUUUUUUCAGUCCUAAGUUUAUUGGUUUAUUGUAAAUAUACUGUAUAUUUAUUUUGGUUUGCAUUGGGAGAUGAUCGUGGGAAUUUGUUUCUGUCUUUUCAUAAGGCCUCAAGAGUCUUGAAAUUGGAGAGAAAUAGUUUGGAGUAUCUUCUACAUCACUUUUGUGGAGUUAAUGCCAACAAAGAGUGAGUCCUUUUGUAAAGUACCUGAUCUGUUUCUCCUUAUAGUUUCCGCCCUUCAUCAUCCUAAGUCAACUCAUUGCAGAUACCAGAACGCAGAUUGGAGAGUACGUCCUCUUCCCGACGAGAUGCUGAGGUACCUUUGGUUCUCUUUUUAUCUUCUUUGUAACCUACUUUUCUAAUGAGUUCUCCAAAAAAAAAAAAAUUAUGAUCUGUUUGGCAUGAAAAUAAUUACUACUAUUUUAAAGUUCUUGUAUUCUUUGGAAAAGCAGAAAUCAUAUAUCAUCAUUUAAGUGUUUGGGGUUUCAUCUUUGCCUGUAUUUUUGUAGAAACUAAUAAUAUUUUUUUUUCUGUGGCUUAGGAUUUGAAUUGUGGGAAUAUCUAUGUUGGAAAUUAAUAAUGAGUGCACAUUGACUCUUGAUAGUGGACAAAUAUUUGGACAGCCAGGAAGGGGAAGGCCAACAAAAGUUUUGGGUUUUUAUAAGUUGAAGUUAUGAAUGGUUUUAUAAUUAAUUAGGUAUAGGUUUCCUCAUUUGGGUAUUUCUGGGAGAUCUGGGUUAUAAGAUUGAGAUAUUCCAGCCUGUAUAGAUAAUUGUAGGGUUGCCUGUGUUUGUGAUAUUCCAGCGCGUUUAUUAUUACUACUUCUUAUAUAUAUAAAAUUUUAGACUCUUUCCAUGUCUAACAAGAAGUUUUCAUGAUAUCACUUGGAUCCUACUCAUGCAGACUUGUAAGGCAUCCUUAGGUGCGGUUAUGUGAUCUGGUUUUUAUAAAUAUUUUUAAAUUUUUUGUCAGAGACAAUGCCUGUAGUGACAAUGUACUGACUUAUCUUUUGGUUAUUACCAAGCUGAAUCAGGUUGCCUGUGGUUUAUGACCAUACCAUUUGGUCUUAUAAAAUGUUCUUCCCUUCACCUCAUGUUCUCAUACUUUAAAGCAUGAAUAAUAUCUAAGGGCCUGAGAUUAUUUCAUUAAUUUUUCCCAAGUCUAGAUCCUUCCCAGAGAAAUGGAUGGAUUACCCACACACUCACCAGUAACAUGUCGUACUUUAUGACGGUUUUGCAUUACUGCUGUAUGUCAUUUAAUUUGCCCUUUUGAGGAUUCUUUAUUUUCUCUGGGCUGAUGUUACUUUGUGGUGCUUUUUUUUCCUAUUUAGUCAAAAUAUAUAUUCAUCAUAGAGUUUCUCUGUUAGAAUUUUCUUAGCUUUGAGGAUUCGUUAGUGGCAUAUCAUCCAAUUGAUUAUACUUGUGAUGACAGAUACGCUAGAGAAGAUACACACUAUCUGUUGUAUAUAUAUGAUAUAAUGAAAAUCAAGUUGUCCUCAAUGCCCAAGGAGUCUGAGAAUUCUGAUACUCCCCUGACAGAGGUAUGAUUUUUGCUUAACUGUUGGUGUUGUUUUGUAAAACUGUUGGGCAUCUCUAUGAUUAUAGAGAAUCCAUUUUUAAAUGCUUUUUUCAGAUCUUGUUGUGCCAUGUAUGACAGACCAUUGCGUCUGGAGAUUGGCAUGGAGCUUAAUAAUUACAAUGUUAAAAAUAGAACAUAAAAUAUUGGGAAGUAUCUAUCAUGACUAAUUCUUCAACUGUUUAAGGAAGAUAGUUUAAAUCCGAAUAUCCUUUUUUGGAUUGUGGACUAAAGAAAAUUGUCAACUCUUGAUUUCUCUUCCCAAGGAUGAAGACGUAUCAGUCUGUUGGCAAACACAUUUUUUGAAUUUUACUUUAGUUAUCUAUAAUUUUACCAUAUUGAGCAAACAUUUUGUUGCAAACAGGUCUACAAGCGCAGUUAUGACGUAUGCAGGCAGCUGUAUGAGAAGGAGCUUCUGUCAGAAAAUUCUUAUCUCCACAUUUAUGGGUUUGUCUUUGUCCCUAUUCAUCUCAGUUUAAGUUUUCAUUUAGUGGCCUCGCCUGUUUAAAAUCUUCUCUCAUACAGUUUUUGUUUGUUUCAUUCUUUACUUAGCAUUACUUCUCUUGUUUAAUUUUAGUUCUAUUUUGGACUUCGUAUUUAUGUGAUUUGACAGAACUUAAUCAGUGGAGCUUAUUUCUCUAUGUUGAAAUAGGUUGCAGGGGGCUGGUCUCAAUGCUCAGCAGCUUGCUGUUGUUGCGGUAUGUCAGUUCUUCAUGUGUUUUUCAAACUUUGCCACUUUUCUAUCUGGAUAUUAUAUGCAUGAGGAUGCUACUGAAAAUGUAUUAUCCGCAUGUUUUGUUUACUAGUUGCAUCUUCAAAUGAAACAAAGUCUUGACCCAGAAGAAUCCGUAACGCACCAAUAGUCACUAAUAGGAUUGUCUUGAGAAAUUUACUUCUAAAUUUUUGAGUGGAUGAUAGAAGGGUGGAUUUUAAGUAGCUGACACAUCAUUGCCAACUGCUGAUAGAGUCUGUUGCAUACUUGAGUAUUCUUGCUAGUUCUGGCCCCAUUGAUCCCACUUCAAUGAUUUGCAGGGUCUUUGUGAAUGGCGAGAUGUUAUUGCUCGUGCAGAUGAUGAAAGUACUGGCUAUGUAUUGCCAAACAGAACUCUGAUUGAAAUUGGUAGAAACCUGUCUGAAUUUCCUCCAACUCUCUCUUCUAUAUGUAUAUAAUCCAUUUGGUGAGUUAUGAGUUAAUCAUAUUUUCCUUUUGUGGUAAAAGCCAAACAGUUGCCUACUACUGCUGCCAAGUUACGUCGAUUGUUGAAAUCAAAGCACUCAUAUAUUGAACGCUAUAUGGGUCCGGUACUUAGCAUCAUAAAAAAUUCUAUGCAAAAUGCUGCUAAUUUUGAAGUCAUUGCUCAAAAAUUGAAAGAGGAACGUAUGGAAGUGGUAAGACCUGCAUGCUCAUGUUUGAUUGUUUUGUUAUAUCAGUGAUCCAAAUUGAUUAUUUUUCUUUGAGAAUUUGAUGUUAAUGCCUUCAAUGGAUUGCCAACAUACAUUGAUUUUCUUUUUCUUUUCCUUGGAUUUCGUUAGAAUCAGACCAACCAUCUUUUAAACGAGGAUGAUGGUCCAAAACCUUAAGGUCUACUACGAUGAAUUGCUACUUUUUGUGCAAGUUCUUGUAAUUCACUCAGCUGGUUGUCUUCGGCAAAUGAAAGGAAAAAGGAAAUUCAUCCAAUCCAGUUCUAUUGAAGAAAAAGAAUCCUAGUUGAUCUUACAAAAUUAAGCUUUCAUAAUUUGUUAACCCAUGGAAUGUGAUUAAAACUCAUGGACAAAGGAUGUUCCAGUUGAGAAAGGGAUUUGAGUGAUUUUUAGCAAUUAUCAGUGAUGUCUUCAUUAGAAGUAAGUUUAUGGUUUAUAGCAGUAAAUGCUCAAUAAUUAGGUACUCCUUGUAUAUUGGCUGACCGGGUCCCAUGUUUGUAGUAGGUUUUGUGAGCUACAGAGGAUUAACUUCAGUCAGUUUUCCAUGUUAUGGCUGUUAAGAGCUAUGUCACCAUUUUUCUUUGUUUACAUCAAACUAAUCUUUUUUUUUCCCCCCAUUUUUCCUUAUUUGUGUAGGCAUCAGAAGAAACUGAAGUUUUAGUUCUUGAUACUUCCUCAAACUUGAAAAUUCCGAAUGUUGGAAGGGAGAGUGUUGAUGGUGUUGAUGCAUUAGUUGGUACCACGAUGCCUCACCCACCAGCUUACACCCAGCUGAAACAAGAGCCUCCAAAGGUUGGAAGCAGUGUCGCAGAACUUGACAGAAAUGGACUAGGGUCUUUUGCGCAUCCUGGAGAAGCAAUUGCUUCAGAAAAUAAAGAAGCUACUCAUAUUUCAACACUUUCCAGCUCUGGUCAAAGUAGAGACUUGAAUGCUUGCAAGUCACCUUCACCAAGGGUUGUGAAUUUGAUGCCUUAAUGUGGAUUUUUUUUUUUUUUGGUUAAGAGGUUUAGCAUUCAAUUUCUUUUUCUUUGGUUGUGAAUUUGAUGCCUUAAUGUGGAUUGGAUUUUUUUUUUUUUUGGUUAAGAGGUUUAGCAUUCAAUUUCUUUUUCUUUAUAGGUUACUGAAGCUGCUGUUCAGGCUCUAAAGAAGCCGAACCGUGGUUUUGGAGCACUGCUGGGUAACCCAAAGAGAAAGUUUGAUGGCGAGAAAAAGGUGAGUUAAUCAUUUGCUAGUAAUGGUUGUUAAACAUCUGCUAUGUCAUUGUCACAUAGCAAAAUAACUAUUUCUGAGGCCUGCCAGUCACCCAGUUUGUGCAUGUGUGGUUGGGAAGAAGGCAACAAAGGAAGAAUAUAGUUAAACAUUUGCUAUGUUAUUCUUACAUAGCAAAAUAACUACUACUGAGGCCUGCCAGUCAGCCAGUCUCUGCAUGUUGGUUGCAAAGAAGGCAACAAAAGAAGAAUGUUUUUUUUUUUUGAAUCUUCAUUCCAUGAUUCACUUUCUUUUCAAUUUUUCUUGUCAACUAGCAUGUACAUUUGCCUUCUUGUUGCCUUUUUCGUUGCGUGAGUCAUUAUGAAUUAUGAUUUAUAUUAUACGGAAAUUGUGAGUGGGCAACUGUUGGGCUAUAAUCAAACAUGCAAAAUUUCGGGUCCCAUGACUAAGCGCUGCUAUCAUCUGGAUUUGUGUGUUGUUGCAUUUUAUAUUUGGUUAACACCCUUCUUAUUAUCCUCCUUUUGAUUGUUUGUUUGUCUUAAUUAGGACAAGGAAGCUAUGAAACUAGAGCAGAUUAAAUCCUCAGUCAAUCUUCCAUUCCACUCAAUUUUUGCAAGAGAUGAACAGUUAAAACCAGUUGAUGUGAUGAAGUCUGAACCAAAUAAGCCUGACAUUCCAUUUCCUUCAUCUUUUGGUAGUGGGCAACAAACGAAACCAAUCAUAGAGGAAUCCAAUAGAGUUACAGUAGUUUCCCAAUCAGAAGAACCCGCUCCGGCUGCUAGGUCUGAUACAGAAGAUAUUAUUACGUUGGAAGAUGAUAUAGAUGAAGAGGAACAAAACCUUGGUAAUUUGGAAACUGCAAGUGCGCCCGGAGAGGACGGUUCUGCAGGGUCUGCUUUGGAAAUGGGUAAACAAGAUGAGACCAUGUCUCUCUCUGAUUUAUCAACUAGUUUCCAGGAGUGCUUCCACUCUGCUAACAACAAUAGAAAACCUGGAAAGCCUGAGAGAUCUGAAGAACCUAGUGGUUUUUUGCAGCUUAAGCCGUUUGACUUCGAAGCAGCUAGGAAACAGAUCGAGUUUGGAGAAGAUGCCAAAGAAAAAUCAGCUGGGGUUGAUGGAAACAAAAGAAAACCAGUGAACUCUGGAGAUAAGAAAAAAGUUUCAGCUGUAGAUCAAGCUCAAAAAGAUGAUGGAACAAAAGAACUGUCACAAGGUAGACGACGUUCUGCUUUUCCUGCAACUGGAAAUCGAAGUGCAACAUUUCGCUGAGUCUCUGGUAUCAAUCAUGCUGCUCUGUGUAGCAGAAAUUAGUUGAAUUUUGGAUUUUCACAAUCAUGUUCUUGAUUUAAAUGGAAAUUAAUGCUGGUGGACAAAUUCGCAAUGGUUGUACGUAUAUUUCCAUUGCUUGAGGUCUUGUCUGAUACAGCAUGAGCUAACCUGAUCAUCUUUUGAUAUUCAGUAACAGGAGAGAUGUAUGGUCUGCAGGAGCCAAUGAUGGGCAAGUGAUACCUGAGGCCGGUGUCUAUUUGAAGGUAAAAUGGGCGAUGGUUCUAGGUUUCAUAUUAGGUUUUUGAUAGUCUUGAGUAAUUGCCCUACUAUCUUCAUAUUUAAAAAACAGGAUGGUUUCAAACCAAAGUGCGGUUUGUAAUCAAAAGCAUUUGAUCUUUUUGUUUUUGUAACUUUACGGGUUUUAUUUUUAGAAAAAUGGUUCUGUACUAUGGUUUAUUUCUGCCUUAUUUGAUAUUGUGGUCAUCUUAGGCUUUAUUUAGUGUAAUUUUUCAGUUAUAUGUUCGUUUGGGAAGAGGAAAUGAAGUUAAUUUUAUUUCACACUUGCAUAAGAAAAAAUUGUAAUGUUUAUAUUAUUUUUGUUAAAAUUAUUAUUUAAAAAUUAUAUUUGAUAUCUAUUAAUAAUUUUUAUUAUAAUUAUAAUUUUCUUUUUCCUCCAUCAUCUCAAUUGCUUAUAACUGCUGUUGAGGAUGGUUGGUGCGAUGUUAAUAAUUUGUAAAGGGCUUAGUAACAUCUGGUUCCGUGAUGUCGGCCAAACCAUAUCGAAGGGCUUAAUUUGACGGUCAUCGGGGCCUCCUGCCCAGCUGCCCUCCUUUACGGAUUCCGCUUCCGCAAAUUAUUUUAUAUAAACUGUUGUUACAUGAUAGUGGUGGCCGGAUGAAAAUACUACAUGACCAUAUAAUGCUUUCGGUGCAAUGAGUGAAAAAGAGAAAUUUUUAUGUAUUCUCGGAUUGAAGGAGAAAUUUUAAGAUUAAGAUUGUGGAGUGGUAGCAGGAGUAAAUUAUUUACUUACAUCACUAUGAGAGUGUGGAACGAAAAUUAGAAAUUAUGUAUUUUCUUUGUCUUAGAUUGAGAGUGAAUCAUUUUAAAUUAUAAUUUUAUCCUUAUUUAAAGAAUUGUAGUUUUUAAUUAUAAAGUAAAUAAAAAAAUAUAUUUGCACAAUAAAUUAUUUAUUUUGUUAUUAAUUUUAAUUAUAUAAAUUAAUAAUAAUUAUUAUUAUUCUUAAUCAUGUGAAUCAUGAUUUUUUUGUUAAUUUUNNNNNCGUACAGCAGAAAUAAAUAUGAUAUUUUUAUUUUUAAAUAAAUGUGAUAUUAUUUUUAUUUUUAUCAAUAUAAUUAUAUUAUAUUCAAUAAGGAAAUGAUAAAAAGAAAGAAGUGGGAGUAGAUUUCUACUUUUUAUUCAAAAACAAAAAUGAGACCCACAGAGUAGAAGCCUAACUCUCCUCCUUAGAUGAGUACUAAAACGUUUAAGUAGGAGAAAUUCAUAUUUUUGACUCCCACUCUACAAAGUAAACAUAAUAAUAAUAUCAUAAUAACAUUUGAUAAUUCUAUAUAUUUGUGACGUCAUAUCUCAUCAAUUGAUUAAUAAAAUUAAAUGGUGAUUAUUUAUGAAAGAACAAAAUUAAUUCAUGUGAGUUAUGGUUAAUAAAUAAAUAAAAUAUAAAAUGUUAAAUUUUGACUAUAAACUAAUUUCAAUAUCUAAUAAUUUAAAAGCUCAAUAGAGCUAUGAUAAAAACUAAAGGGAGGAUUCUUAAUCCGAUCCGGGAUCUUAAUCAGUUCAGGACCGAUCCACUUCCAGCUAUUACGCGUCAAACAUCCAUUUGACGAUUGACGUGUCACGCCAUCUCACUGUCCUCACAAGAAAACCCGUUACCUUCAAAAUGCUCCAAACCCAUCAACGCCGAAUUCAAAUCAAGCCCCAAGACCAAAUACAAAGCAAAAACAAAUAAACAAACGUCUGUUCAUUCAGUCUGAAAAAAUCAAAAGAAGUAAAAGGAUUGGCGAUGGCGAUGGCGGUUGAAGGAGGAGGGACAUUAUCGGAGAUAUAUCAAAGUGCGAAGAAGUUGCUGUUGAGAGCGAGAGACGGAGUUGAGAAACUGGAGAGACUGGAGAGCUCGACGUCGACUGGGGGAUACGAUUCGCCGGAGCUCUCCUUCGCUGUCAAGAAAGAUAUUUCUCAGAUCCAGUCACUCUGCGUCGAGAUGGAUCGCCUAUGGCGCUCCAUCGCCGACAAGUCUCAGCGCGAUCUCUGGAAGAGGUACCUAUUCAUUUACUGUUUUGCCACGUGGCACCGAAUCAACCUUGUGUCGUGUCCUAAUUGCUCUACGCCAGUUCGGUUGCAAUUCUGUGCAUGAACCGCAAUUUUUAUACUGAAUAUUACAUUAUUGAUUUUGUCUGAGCGACAAGGCAUGCUUCCACGUUUACUUGUUGCUUAGUUUUAUUGUUUUGCCUUCUAUGUUAACAGUCUAUAUAAGUUUUAUAUGUGUUACAGGCAUGUGUAUAUAUGGAAGUACAUUAAUAGCUGUUCAUGCUGUUGCUUGCUUGAGGUCGUUGGUAUAUUUGCAUUUGGAACUAAAUGUGCUUGGUGUGGGUUCGCUAUGUGUGUGUGUGUGUGUGUGUUUGUUUGCGUUUGAUGUUAAAUGGAAUUACCUUCUAUCGAGUCAGUGCCGCAAUUUGAUUGCUUGGUUUUUCAGAGGUGUGUUUUUAUGUUAUGUCAUGCAGAAAAGUUGAACAAGUAGCAGAAGAGGCUGAAUCAUUGAAAGAGAGUCUCGAUAAGUACUUUUUAAGAAAUCAGAGACGGAUAAAUGAAGCUAGAGAGAGGGCGGAAUUGCUUGGAAGAGCUGUAUGUUUAUUCAGUUUUCGUUAGAAGUUUUGAACGGAUUCUGUAGUGUUUUUCUUGUCUGGAAACGAGAAUUAGCUUUCCAAUCUGAUGAAUUUCUUUUAUGUUAUAGAAUGGAGAGUCGUCUCAUAUUUUGAGAAUUUUUGACGAGGAGGCGCAAGCAAUGCAGUCAGUACGCAAUUCAUCGAGGAUGUUGCAAGAAUCGUUUGCAACUGGGACAGCCAUUCUUGCCAAAUAUGCAGAACAAAGGGAGCAUCUAAAGGUAUUGACACUUAAGCUCCUUGUUUACAUGCACAGUUGCACACUAGAAAUUUUUGCCAAGCUCACUCAAACUGUGUGCAAACAAAGUUCACUAAACAGGGUCAAAUGAGAAAUUUACAUUCUUGUCAUGGUUGUAUUCUUAACAUGAUUAAAUAUUUAAAUGAGAACAAUGUUAGAUCCUCAAAGCAAUUAUCUUUAAUAUUGAUUUAUACUACUGCUAUAGAAAUUAUAAGUGUUUGCAGCACCUGCACAAAUGGCUGCAGAGAAUUUAGUCUGUCUAUGGUAAUAAUUUUAAAAGCUGGUAACUCCAAAUAUUCAACAGUGGCUGACAAAAACAAUCCUCAAGUUUUAAAGUAAAAGCAAACUUUGCUUUGAAAUAAUCAGUGACAACAAUGACGUGAAAGUGUCACCAACUGUUUAUAUAUAAUAUCUCCAAUAUUCCAGAAUUUAGUUUCAUAAUGGCUGGCAAAGACUUGGUUUUUUUAAGGUUUAAAGUAAAAACGAUCUCUGCUUUGAAAUGUUCAGUGGCAACAGUGAUGUAAAAUGAUCAGCAACUGUUCAUAUCUAGUAUCUCCAAUGUUUAGAAUUUUGUUUAAAAGAUCCGUUCCAUCCAUAAAAAAAUUUCAUUCUGAAUAAGCAACUCAAGAUUACACUUCGCAAGAACACACCAUCUACCAUUUCUCACAAAUUUAAAUGUCACAACCUAUGAUCCAUUACCAAUUGUGAGAAACGGCAGAUUAUUUGUUCUAAUGAAGUGUAAUUUGAGUUGCUUAUUUAAAAUGAAAUUCUUUUAUGGGUAGAAGGGAACUUCUAAACGAAGUUCUAGGAAUCAAAUUAGCUGUUUAGAUUUGAAUAGUUGGUGAUGCUUUGAUGUCACUGUUGCCACUGAUUCUUCUCGAAAAGAAACAGAUUUUUAAAUGGUAUUAUAGAGGUCACAGAAAAAAAAUAGUCAUGCUAUCAUUGAUAGCACUUGCCACUGAUGUUGAUAAUGAGUUUAACUGAUUAACUUCCAUCUUUGGUUCAGAAAGCACAAAGGAAAGCUCUGGAUGUUCUCAACACUGUGGGUCUGUCCAAUUCAGUAUUGAGGCUCAUUGAGAGGAGGAACCGUGUCGAUACAUGGAUCAAAUACGUAGGAAUGGUUUCUACAGUGGUCAUCUUAUAUUUCUUCUGGAGGUGGACUAGGUGAUCCGAUCUUCAUACUUAGCCACGCAUAGAUCAUUAAUCCGCAUACUUUGGAAUGAUUAAGUUUUGUUCUUGAUAUUUGCCCCAUAAGAGGGUUAAUGAGGAUGUACAAGGCAUUCUUUGAUGAGAGACUAUCCUCUUAUGAGGAUGUAUAAAGCAUUCUUUGUUAAGAGACUAACUCGUAUAGGACGGACUCCCAAAGAAGGUUCUUUGCAAUUCUUGAACAUUUAGAGCGAAGUUGACGAAACGUGCUAGUUGUUUUUGUAUUUUGGCAAAAGGGGAAUUACAGAGUUCGAAGAUUCUAAGAAAUGCGCCAAUUUUGUUUUGUUGUCAGAACGCAAAAACGGCCUGAUUGUGGACGGUUAAAUCCGGAAUUAUGUAGUGGAUUUGCAGUUAUUGAAGGGCAUGCUUGGGAAAAUAAUAUGGUCAAAUAAAAUCAAGAACAAUUAUAUUGUAUCUGCUGUUUAUGCGUCCGUACUUGAAGGUGUCCACGUGGCUGGUGUGUGUUUGUUAAACCAGUAAAAUUAAGUAGUGCGAAGUUCUGAUCGCCGCUCAUUGAUUGUUUUUUUUUUUAACUUUAAAUAAACUAUGAGAAAAGGCUUUGAAUGAGUCGCAGAUAAAUUAAAGUUUUUUUUUUCUUCUUCUAAAUUUAUAUCCAAUGGUUCGGCACAUGUUAUUUUCUUUAUUUUUAGUGCACACGGUAAACUAUUGAUAGUAUUUGGUGUAAACUCACUUUCAAAUCGAUGCUUCACGAAAAGUCCAAAUGACGCGCUAUGAAAGUAAUAUAGAUAACUAGGAUAAGUGGAAAUGAUAAACGAAUAAAAUGAAGUAAAAAGAAUUUUUCAUUUUUAAGGGUUACAAAAUAAGAAUAGUUAAUUACUUAAUUAGUUGACUUGCUAAAAAUUUUUCAUGCAAACAAAUGGUCUGGACUGGAAUCCGUUUAAAUGGAUAGGAAGAAAAUUAGAGUGUCGUAAAAGUACUGGAGUUUCAAAUCCCCUCACGUAGUCACAAGGAUUAGAAGAAAAUUGAAUUGUUAGGCAAAAUGAAAAAAAAGAAAAAAGCUUAACAUUUUUAUUUUCUAAAAAAAUGUUUUUCUUAGUUGUUUUGUUUUUUAAUUUUAAAUAUAUUUAAAAUUUUGAAAUUAAUAAAUGACUUUGAAAACUUGAGUGUGCUCGAGCCUCGAGAUCUACUCAAAUUCUUUUACAUUAUUACAUUAUGAAAAAUUGUAUGAUGUCGUGAUUAAACUAUUGUAUCAAUACUAUGAUAAACAUAAAUUUUAGAAAUUAUAUAUAAGACUAGUAAGUGAAAUGUAAAAUAAAUUAAUUAAUAUAAGAGUGGUAAAUAAUGUUUUAAAAUUAUAAACAAAACAAACACUUAUAAAAAUAACAUAAAAAUUAUAAAUCAACAUUAAAUUUUAAUGUAAAAAUAGUUUAUUUAUUUAAUUUAUUCAAGCAAAGAAAAACUUUACUCAUCAAUUGAAAACAAAAAUUUUGUAUUGAAAACAAUGGGAAUAAGUUUUAUUAAUUGAUUUAACCAUGAAUUUUAUAUUCAUGUCAGGAUAUUUAUAAACUGUUUUUUUUUUUCAUUUUCUAUCAUAGUAUUUGUUUACUAUACAAGUUGAUUAAGUAAACUUAUUAUUAUUAUUAGUAUUAUUAUUAUUAUUUAUGUGGAUCAAGCCAAAACAAAAUAAAAAUACAUUUGAAUAUUACUAGACAUAUAUGGAAUAUUAAUACAAUUGAAUCUAACUUUCAGUUUUAUACAUAAUUCAUCUAGUUUCAAAUUUUACUUCUUAUACUAAAAGAUCAUUUGAGGUUGCUAUCGAGGAGGUUUAAAAUGAUGCAAAAUCACUUAUAUCACAAAUAAAAUAUGAAAAAAAAUUUCUAAAAUUUGAUUUUGAGAGUAAGUUUUAUCCUUAAUAAAAUUCCACAUAUAUUAUCACGUCUAUUACAUAACCACAGAAUUAUCAUUAUUUGAUUUAGAAAUAAAAAUAGUAAAUAUAUAAUGUAAUCAUUAUUAUAGUGAGUUUUUAUUUAUUUUUUCAAUAACUCUUAUAAUAUUUACUUAUUUUACAUUCAUUUACAACUCUUCUAUUUUACUUUUAUAAUUUAUAUGUUAUUUUACACUUAAUGUUGAUGUACAAGUUUUAUAUCACAUUUGUAAACAAGUUUUACUUUAUAUUUACAUGUAUUAUGUUUUAUUUACUUAAUUCAUGUUUUAUUUUAUACUUAAUGUUGAUUUACAAGUUUUAUAUUAUAUUGAUAUAAGUUUUUAUUUUAUUUACUAAUGAUAUAUCAACUUACCACUGUUAAUUUACUUAUUUUACCUUCAAUUUGCAAGUCUUGUGUUUCAUUUACAUAAUUUAUUAUGUUUUAUUUUACGUUUAAUGUUGAUUUACAAGUUUUAUGUUAAAUUUACACCUCUUAUAUUUUAUUUACACAAUUUAUGUUCAAUUAUAGUAUAUUAUAGAAUGACUCAUUUGACAUUACAAUACAAAAUUAUAAACAUAAAUAGAUGUAUCAAAAAGUCUUGUCGAAAAAUGAAUCCACCUUAAUACGGACCUGUCUCAUUGUUUUAUAAUUAAAGUUGCACACUCUUACAAUGAACUUGAAGAAAUUGAAUUCUCAACAUCAAUAAUGAGGUGUCUAUUACUAAUAAUAGUUUAUAAAAAAAAUAAAAAAAAUAAAGAAAUAUGAUUAAAUUGAUCAAUGUAAUUUUAUUAAAAAAAAGAAGCAUUUUUAUUACAAAAGCAAUCUCAAAAUAUAUAUUUUUUGUAGUUACAAAAAAUCAUGACCUAGUGGCGACCUAGUGGCGACCUGGUGGGCGUAUAUACAAAAAUCAUAAUAUUUUUAUACUGAUUACAUAAAUUCGGUGAUCACAGACCACAGUAAAACCCUGAAACCGCCCAACGGGGUUCUUUACCAGAGGAAAAAAGGGAGGAAAGAAAAUGACUUUUUAAUAUAACGGCACGGGUUUAAGCCAAAAACGGUGGAAUCAAAUCAUUGACACGUUCGUGCGAUGCCUUCACUCCUCAGGCAAACCAGACUCCCGCAUGUGAAUGCCACGUGAACGUAGCUUCUUCACAUAAUUUUUACCCCAAUGUCCAAAUUACCCCUUAUCUUUUACUCCUUUUUUUUUCUUUUUAACUUUGCCCGAUUUUGAAGUCUAUUACGUAUUGCGGACUGCUGCCCUCGCUUGACGUGUUUUUUCUCCUUUUUUUUUUUUUUCCCUCUCCAAACUAUUCUUUUCAAUUUUAACUAAAUAAUUUUUUUUUUUAUUACGAACAUCAACUUAAAAUUUAGGUUAGUUAGACACUUCCCCACUUCAUCCUUAAAGUCAAGUAUUCAUAUCUAUCUGUCUAUGGUGAAUAAUUUUUUUUAUUUUUUAAACUACGAACAAGUUAUCUUUUUUUUUUUUCUUUUCCAAUAUCACUAUUUAUCCACUUUUAGUUUAAUUCUUUCUGCCUAAGAUGAUCAAUUUAAAUUAAAAAUGGGAUUUUGAAAUUAUUUACUAAAAAUCAUGAUUGUUCUUUUGACGUAUUUGAAUAAAGUUUAUUUGGAAAAAUUAAUGUAAAAAAAAAAAAUGUUGGAAGAUUACGACAAUGGAAAUGUAGUCUCUGGUGAAAUGCUCUGAUUCAAUCAAUCAUCAGCAAAUGCGGUUCGCACGUUGGCAAUGGAACUCGUGAUAGCACAACCGUGAAAUGUCCUUCAUUUGGGAGUCCACGUUAAUCACAUGUGGGUCCAUCUUGAGUGCUUUUGUGCUUUACAAUUAAAAUAGACAGACAGGCUGAUGACCUGACAAUUUCGAGCCUGAUAAAGCCCCUUCAUCAACUUGAUCAGAAGGACAGGACAGCUAUUAAUAGAAAAAAGCAGCAGACUAGUACUAAUCGAGAAGUCAAACAGAUAAAAACUAAAACUAAAUAAUCUAAUCUCCUCCUAAUUCACUAAAUUAUUUUAUUUCUAUUGGUAUAAUUAAUUAAUUGAUUGAUUAAUCAAACAUGCCUUCACAAUUAAAUAGUUUCAACAGUGUAAGUUGAACCACGUGUCAAGCAAAAGCAACCAUCAUUUAUUAUAAUUUUUUUUUAUUUUUUUCGAAAAAGGAAAAAUCAAAAAACAAGGCAAGUUGAUGCCAACAGGAUCUGAUCCGGAAGGGUAACCGAGUCAUUUCGCCGUCAUGCAUGCCUCAAUCCGGAUUGCCUGCCCGCCCCCACGUUGGAAAACCAGGGACGCAUCGAUAAGCAGUUUCAACACCCAAAACACAAACUUGGGGGCGGGAAUUGCAAAACGAAAUAACAGCUUUUGCUUUUGCUUUAAUUUUUUUCCGUUUGUUUUCUUAAAAAGAAAGAAAAAAAAAAAUACUCCCAGUUCCACAAUAGAGCCCCUGGUUUUGCCUAUUUCUUUAAUCCUUUUACGCAGACUCAUGAUAAAUAUCUCCAUCUAUCAGUCAGUCCAUACGGUUUCCUUUCAUCACCAACCCCACCAACGAAAACAAAAAAAACAAAACAAACCCCCUCUUCAGAAAUAUAAUUAUAAUUUUCUUUUUCUAUUGAAUUAAGCUUGUUGGGUAUAAUUUGCUAAUUAAUCAAAGAUCGAUCUAUGACGACGGAAGCGGUCAGCAAGGUUGGAUAUGCGCAUAGUAAGGUUGCUAUGAAGAAGAAGAGCGGUUAUCGAGGUCGAUGCAGGAGAAGAAAUCACGACAGAUAUGCACCCGAUAAUAAAACGGUGCCGAUGGCGCUGCAGCGUCUGUUUCUUUCUUGCAAAGACGUCUUCAGAGGCCCUGGAACCGUUCCCGCUCCUUCUCAUGUCCAAAUGUUGUGCUCUAUUCUUGGUAAGUGUUUUUUUUCUUACACUUCAUCAUUUCUGGUCCAAUUUUCUUGUUUUUCAUUUGGCCGCUGCACUCGCAUGACGUGUAUGUUGUGAAAUCUGAACCCAUCAUCAUCCUUCAUCCAUGCACAUAUAUAUUAUCAGUCAUGAGAAAUUUUGAAUCAGCCAUUAAAAAAAGAAAAAAAAAAAGAAAAGGAAAGAUUCAAUAUUAUCAAAUCAAUACCAUUUUGUUUCAUGAGAUGAUCUAUGAAAGAUGGGAAAGGAGCACUGCUCCUUAUUUCAUUUCCUGUCACGUCUGUGUUUCAAUCAAUUGUAAUAAUACAUAUAGCCACGUAAAAAGCAAGGGGCAAUACUCUUUACAGCACGAAAACCUUCUCAAAAAAGGGGCUUUACUUUAUUGGCAGUAAUGAAUUGUUUUGAGCAAUUCAAUUCAUCAGUGCACUUAUCAUGUUUACGUAGUUUGUCAAUUUGGUUCCAGUUUUUGGUUCUUUUUAUUGGAUUCAGUGCCGAAAUGUCAUGUGUGUUCAUAGGACGUACUGGGAAAAGGAUUAGAAAUCUGUACUGAAUUUUUUUAAAUUUUGGGGGGGGGUUUUUUUUUGGGGUGGAUGGGGUUAUGGAUCUAAGUGGAUGGUACCAAUUUUCAAAAAUGUAGUUUAAUUAACUUUCCAGUUGAAAUUACAAAACCAAACCAUCCGAAAUGGAUUCUUCGAGAAAAGGUGGGUUCAGAAAACAAAGUGGUUGCUUCUAGGUGAAUCCAGAUUUUUUUCACGCGGACACAUGGUACCUUUUGGUUGAUUACCCAGCCACAGUGUUGCUUGAGGGGACAAAAAUAUCAUAUUUGUUUUUUUUUUUUUUUCCAAAUUCCUUUUUAAUUCGUAACUCAAUCUCAUGGGAUCCUACUCAGCAGCCAUUGUGAUUAUUUUUUUUACCUGACGACGCAAAAAUCUUUGCAUUAGAAAGGAUACAUAAGCACAUUUGCCUACUGUUGCUACGUGUACAUGUGCAAUGGUUUGGUUGCAAAACUGGAAGCAUUGGCACAUUAUAUAUAUGUGUGUUUUUUUUUUUUUAAUAUGUAUAAAUGCAUGGAUCAUGACACUUGGCUAAGUUAAAAUUUCCAUUUUCUCGUUAUCAUAAAGAUUGCCAGUGACUCAAACAAGCUUUUCUUUUUAAAUUUAUGAUGCUACAGAUGAAAUGAAGCCAGAGGAUGUUGGGCUUAGCAGUAAGUUACAGUUACUUAGUGCCAAAGAUGCAAUGAAAGGGACGCCAAUUGUCACAUCCACUACAAUAUACAAAUGCCAGAACUUUUCGGUAAAGACAUAAGCUAUUCAUAUUGGGCUAAAUUAAAUUCUUUUAUUAUCGUAUACUAAUUUGUAAACCAUACUAAUUAAUAGUGCAAAUUUGAUUUAGAACUUGAUAGAUUACCUUUUGGAUUCUCUUUUGUGCAGUUGUGUCUUUUCUUUCUUCCUCCAACUGCUGUGAUCCCCUUGCACAACCAUCCGGGAAUGACUGUUUUUAGCAAGCUUUUGCUCGGGACAAUGCACAUAAAAUCGUACGAUUGGGUCGAUCCUGUUGACGCAAACGAUUCUGCAGCCCCCACAAAACGUGAGUACCGCUUACCUUAUACAUAUAUGUCCAUGUAUAAUGCACACACGAACACACACACACACACACUCACAUAUCAAAACAACACGAUAACUUGAAUGUGCUAGCUCGGACUAGGAUGAUCAUUUGUGACUGAAAGUGAUGAUUUAAUUAAUUUGCAGCGCGAUUGGCGAAGUUGAUAGCCGACAGUGAUUUCACAGCACCUUGCAACACUUCUGUGCUAUAUCCAACAACAGGAGGCAAUAUCCAUGAAUUCACAGCCAUUACGACAUGUGCCGUGCUCGAUGUGCUUGGACCUCCCUACUCUAAGGACGAUGGUCGGGACUGCUCAUAUUACAAGGAGUUGCCACUUCCCGCGGUUCCAAGUAAGCGAAACAAAACCACUUGUUACUGAUUAAAAACAACCUCGUUUAAACCUCCUCGAGUAGCGCUUUCAGAGGUCUUACCAAUUAAACCCACCGAUUUUGUUAAUGCAGAUGGAGAGAAUCAGGAGGCAAAAGAGGAUGAUGGUGGUGAGAGUUGUAGGUGGUUGGAAGAGAUUGGGGUGCCAGAGAACUCACACAUGGAUGAAAUUGAGUACUUGGGACCGCAGAUAAUUGAGUAGUAGCUGUAACUAGCUUCAGCCCACAGUCGCGUGAUAAAAAAAAAUUUCAACGCAUUAUCUUCUUUUGUUUCAUAGCUAGUCAAUGGUUUUGUAUUUAUAUAUACACAUAUAUUACGUUGUUUCCUGACCUGAGUUUUCACUAUGUUAAUAGCAAAAUUUCAUUUCUUUUUCUUUUUUCUCUUUAAUCCCGGUAUCUUCUUUAAUAACUUGAUUACUUGAGUACACUGUACCAUUGAAAUCAUGGUUCAUGCCAUAGUUCCCUUAGAGGAAGGUCCAAACCCGGCUUAGGAGAAAUGGAGGUUUGGGCUGUCGAGGGCCUUGGUGUUGCUAUGUUCCCAAGAGAUGUUUACUUGGGCUGUCGAGCGCGCCGAGAAGUGCUUAAUAUUACAUCAAUGGGCCGGGCUUGUAACCGACUACUACACAUUCCCAUGGCGGCAAUCCUGAUCAGUAAUUAACUUGGGAUUUUGCAUUCAAUGAUUGCCACAAUAAUAUCAGCAAACUUUUCAGAAGAACCUUAAUUGAUAAUUGUCAUUUUGCAAUCAUAGGUUAGUUGAUGGAUAUACCAUGGGCCCUGAAAAUUAAUUAAAAUAUCAAACAUUGUAUGCUCCUAGGUUGGAAAUUUUUCAAAAUUUUCAAUAGAAAAAUAACCUCAAAAUCAAUAUUUUACAUGUGAAGAUCUGUUUCAUUAACAAGCGCGAUGGGCCAAACGGAGGGAGCCAGGAAUUUUAAGCUGUUCAUAUUUGACGCCCUAAUUUGGGAUUUGCUAAUACGGAAAAACUUUGAGCUGCUCACUAAUUUAUAUCUUGACUUCGAGAAUCUGCGCAAUUACUAAUUAGUAGCCAUCAAUAAUUGUCAAAAAUCAAUUUUGAAUUUCGAUAUUUUUGAAUGCAUUGGUGUUACGUGUUUCUCCAUACGCGUUAGUAAAUUUGAGAUGGUGUAAAU